rnacentral:lncRNA from 1 species
UUUUUUUUUUUGUAAAUCACUAAUUGGUAUUAUUUAGUUUUAGUUCUAGGAAAUAUUCAAAUUUUGUUAACCUUUUCUUUUUUAAUUUUAAAAAACACAAUUGGAUGACAUUGCCAACAUAGUAUACAAAGCUGGAAGCCAUAAGAUGCAAACUACAUAAACAUUCUAGGAAUCUAAAAGUUAUAUAUCUACCUCUAUCUACCUAUUAUAUAAGAAGAAAGUGGAGUUACUAUAGCAACUCCAAUUAUUGUCAAGUGGAUUCCUCUCAUUUUGACACGUGGCCCAUUCCUUUUCUUUUCUUUAUUUUGCUUUGUUUUUUCUUUUGUUCACUUUAUUUCCUUUCUCCUUUUUUAUUAAAGAUAAUUAAACAAAUCCUCAUGUAGACUGCAGGUUUGUUAUUUAAUUUCCACUUUGUACUCCGUUUUUUUCCCCUAUCAUCCUAAUUAAUCAUUUAUUCUAUUUUUUCUCUAUUGGAUUAGUUGAUGCAUUUUCUUUCAUUUUUGUCCAUAAUUAACUAAAUGAAUGAUUUCAUUAUCGGAGAUCAAGAAUGGAUUUGAUAUUUCCUUUCUUCCAUAGUCCAAUAAUUAUGAUUCAUGAUCUUCUACUUUUAAUGUUUCUUUUUGGUAUAUAUUAUUUGAUAUUUUUUUUCUCAUUUUUUGCGUCUUGAUCUGCAACAUUUGCUUAUUGCUUUUCUCAUCUAUUUCUUUUUCAUGUGACUUUCUUUUCUGCCCAAAAUAGGUAUGUGAUGCUGUGAAUAUUUUUCCUCAAAUCUAAAGAAACAUUUUUUUUUUGUUUUUUAUAUUUUAUUUAUUCUGAAAAUACUUUUUGAUCUUUUUAUUUUUGGAAAAUGCUGACAACAAGACGGGUGGUGAUUACAUGAAGAAUUUUUAGGCUAACAAUGAAAGAAUUGUAACUACUUUUCCCUCAUAAAAUAAAUAACACCAUUAUGCAGAUUCAUUCUAAUUCUAAUUUUUUAUUUAUUAAAAUUGUUAUUUCAUAAUAGGGUGAUAGUACUACAGUACAGGAGAAAAAAUCUAAUAAAUGAAAAUCCAAGGUAAACGAUGAUCAGGAAGAAAAAAAUGAUGCCUAUUAAAUUAAAAAUUAACCAGAAUCUCUUAAUUUAUGGAUAGGUAAUUAUAUUUUAAUUUAUAUAAAGUUUAUUAAUUGUGAAAAGUGCUUAUAAACUGGAUAAGGUGGAUGACGGGUAAAAUAAUUGUUGUGGCUAGCAAUUUUGAAUGUGAAGAUAAUAUUUUAUAUCUCUUCAUUCAACAUUUUGAAUGACUAGCUUGUAUCCAUAAUAGGUAGUUUAUUUUCAUGGUUUUAAUUUUAGCAAAUGAUAGCUUGGAAAUAAAAGAAGUGCAAAAUUAGAUUUCAGAAUCUUUUACUUAAACUGGUUCUAUAUGACUUUGUACUCUUAUCCCUUUUUAUUGCCCAUAAUGAUAGAUAAUGUAAUUAGAGUUUGAGAUGAUUGUUAGACAUAGAACUGAGCAUAUCAUUACUAUUUGACUAAAGAAGUUAAUAAUAUUUUGUCGAUUUGACUAGCUAAAACAAUUGCAGUUUUCAAAAGAAUGCAUUUGGUGGUGGAAGUUAGUAUUGAGGUCUUUAGCUUAGAGUGUCACACUACAAAAUAUUAUUAGAAAAUUCUAUUUUGAUUAAGAAGACAUAUUUGCAAUCAAACAAAUUGUUGGAUUUGAAUUUGCAUAUGUAGAUUUACAAAUAUAACAAUUCAUGUUUUUAUUUUAACUUGCUAUACGUAUUCUAUAACUAUUUGGUUAGAUAAUGUUUUCAUCUAUUUGUAAUGCUAUUAGACAUUAUUUAAAUGGAUAGAUUAACUCGCUCUUUCUCUCAAAAAAGAAAGAAAAAUAUGCAAGUUUGUAUUUUUUUUUAUUGAUGUUGAAGAUAGUGACAGGUUAUUGUGGCUUUCUUUAUUUUUUUCUAAUUAUUAAAAUGUUAGAAACAUUAUGACUACUCUUUAUUUAAUUACAACUAAAACUAUGCUGCUAUUAAACCGAUAAUGCACUCAUAAUGGAUUUGCUUUCUUUUCUUUUUUGGUAUUAUUACCAACACAUAAUAUUGGUUAAAAAUUUUUUUCCAAAUCACAAUAAAUUGGGGUUAACUUUAUAUAUGAAAUUUUUUUCACAGCAAAUUUUAAUUGUUUUUAUACUUAAUUUUUUUUUCUAUAUUUCUAUUCAUUAUGUACUAAAACAUUUGUUACUAUGUAUUUAACUAAUGUUCUAGAGGGCUCUGGCUGUGCGUUGCACAGCCGAGGUACCUCUAGUCUUGUAUAUAAGAAGAAAGUCAAGUUAUCGUUGCAGCUCUUCUUUUGGCACAUGUAUUACUUAUAUUUUUAACAAGUGAAACCUUUUUUUUUGCUAAAUUUUUCCUUCCCCUUUUUCAUUCAAUUGGGCCAAAAAGGUUAAAAUAUAUUUGUUCCAUCAAAAAACGUACUCAUCUCUUCUUUUUCUUUCGAUAACUAACGUCAUCCCUCACCUUUUUAAAAAAAAAAAAAAAAACUAAUCUAACUAAAAUUAUUGCCAUAUUUUUUUUUCUAGGUGAUUAGCUGUUUGGCCAUAAGAGAUCUUUAUUGUUUCUUUGAGUCAAUUUUACAUUUUCUUUUCUCUUCAUCUCUCAUCUCAUUUUUCAUAUUUCUUCUAUUAUUCAAUUUUAAUAUUAUAGUCGAUUGACAUUCGUUUGCUAAAUUUGCAAGAUGAUAUUAUUAUUUGAUAUUUCUUUAUCGAUAAAAAGUGAAAUAUUAAAAUAUAUGAAAAGAUCUUACGAUUAAUUUUAUGUCAGUAACCUUUUUUCUAUGAAAAAUAAAGCAAAAAUUCAUUAUUUUCUUUUCUCUUCCCAGGAUUUGAUUUCUUACUUCACAUUUUUUCCUUUUUUUUUGGGUACUAUUUUGUGAUUACCUACAAUUUUUGUGUAAUUUUGUUAGGAUGAAAUAUAUAUUAUGUGAUACUUCUACCAAUAAGUCCAUGGAAGGACUAAAUGAAGUCAAUAUAUCUCGUAUAUUGGAUGACUCCAUUUCCAAAAUUUUCACCUAAAAAAAGAAACAAAAAUUAUACUGAUAUCUUAGAAAGAACAUGUAUUUAUAAAUGGAGAAACAUGCAGACGUCGUGUGUCUUUAAACCUAUUAGCUAAUACUAGGUGGCGCACAGUGGUAUAUAUGCCCAGUUACUAGAGGUGGCAAUUUGUCCCAAGUCCCAAUGGAUUACCCAUGCCCAUGGGGACUUUGGGCGGGAUGGGUAUUGGAUUUUGAUAUUGGGUUUAAAAUGAGACAAAUCCCAAUUGUACCCAUUAAUUGAUGGGAAUACUUGGGAAAUACUUGGGUACCCAUUGGGCUCAAAUAACAAGGGCUCUGUUUGGUUUAGCUAUUUUUGGGGGGUAUUUUUGAAAUAUUUUAUUAUAGCAGUGUAUAUGAAAAAUUUUUACUAUAAAUUUUUUUUGAAAUAUGUGAUAUACUAAUAUGAAUGGGAUGUUUUUUGAGUUAUUGUAUAUUACUGUAACAUUGUAUUUGAAAAACUUAUUUUUUGAAAAAAUAGCCAAUCCAAACGGAGUCUUAGAUUAAAAAAUUAUCUUUAACAAUUUUUAUAGUCAUACUAGAGAAUAUAAUCUAGUAGUUUUCCUAGUCAUUAUCCACAAGAAUUUUCAACAUUUCAGUCAAUUUAGACCUGUCAUCUUUGGACAAUGAUGAGGAUAAAUAUUCAACACCUUAAGUACCUUGGUCAUCUUGAUAUAUGUUGGAAUAUGACUGUAUAUCUAUUUUUUCCUUUAUUUGUUAAUCCAAUUUUUUAUGGGAAUCCUGAGUAUAAAGCACUUGCAUGUUUAUUUAAUAAAACUAAAAAAAAAUUAAUAAAUCAAAAAUAUUAAAAUUAUAUAAAAAAUAAAAAUGAAUUAAAGGAAAAAAAAUAUGUAGAAAAUAGAUUUGGGUAUUGGGCGGGAUCAAUCUAAACCCAUCCCAAAGUGAUCCCGCCCAAGUUAGUCCCAAAAUACAUAUGGGUAAGGUUGGGCCCAAACCCAUAUGACUCGGUUUCAUCACAAACCCAAGCAAAUCCCGCCCAUCCCGCCCAUUUUGCCACCUCUACCAGUUACCGUUUAGUUAGUAAUGUUAGUGAGAAUUAAAAUGAGUGAAAUGUAGCACAAUUAAAGCGAACCAUAAAAAUGGAACUAUAUUACACAGGAAUAUUAGUGAAAAGUAGUGAUGCUGGCAAGAAGUUGUAAUUAUACAUGCGUUGUAAUAGACAAUACAUAUGCGCAUUUAGUACGUAUGCCAAGCGCGGUGGAAUAGAUAGUACGUAUGCCCAUUUAGUCUUGGUUCAGUAGAAGUAUUAUAGAGGUUGAAUAAAGAGCAGAUUGUGAUUGUGUCACAUAUCUUUACUUAUUGAAAUACAUAUAAAAUUUACAAAGAAGAAAGAAAUAGUAUAUCAUUGAUUUGUGAAAAGCAUAACUUCAUGAAUGAGUGGGAGUCUAUAAAAGUAACACCUAAAUGUGGAACGUGUGAUAUCAGGAAUACGUAAUUUCUAUUCUAGCAGCCCCAAAAAUUGAUACAGCAAUUAAGUGCGAGAUUGAGGAAGGAAGUGUAGAAAAUGCUUGUCUUCAAGACUAUGAUCAGCAACGAAGUAAUAAUCUUAGCAUCAUAAAAAGUUUUACAAGUACUAUAUCCAUGCUUAUACCUCAUAUCAGCAUCACUGUUAUUCAAGUUCAGGGGAAAAAAUACUACACCAAAAAAAAGUAACCAACAUAAAAGGUUUUGAGGUAACAUAGUGAAAGAAAACCAGAUUUUUGGGAAAAAAAAAAAAGGAAAGUCAUGGACAAUAGCAGUGAACAUGUCACCACAUGUUUUCUUUGGAGCAAAACUUCUAUGUACACAUAAAGGGAAAAAACAGAACAAAAUCCAAAAUAACUGUAAAAGAGAAACACAAAGCUUCUAACAGAAAAAUAACAUUCAGCGGUUGGGCACAAUUCCUGCAUCAAACAGAGGGAAAAGAUUUAGGCCAAUGGAAAAAAAUUCACAAGCCAACAUUAAGCUGAAACAACUAAUAAGACCAGAUUUGUGAUUAAGAAGUUUUGAGGUAAUAGAGUACAAGAAAACCAGAAUUUUUUAAAACCGGGGAAGGGGGGUUGUACAGAACUAUAGUAAACUUGUAUCACUCCAUGUUUUCUUAUGGGCUUGACCACUAUGUGUAAAAGGCAUGGAAACAAGAUACUGUCAGAAAAAUUUCCAAGAAUUUUAGAGUAAGAAAUAUGGCUAAUCUUGAGUUGUAUCAGAAAUCUGUGGAUAGCAAUAGUAAACUCGUAUAACCAUAGUAAAUGAAAACUUUUAGUCAUCUUUGUGUAUCAUAAAUGUGCAUAUUAAAGUUCACCAUUGAUUAGUAUAUGGUAAUAGUAUAUGUUAAUCAGUCCUAAUUUAAGCAUUGGUACAAUUUGCUGCUCAAGGGUUUUAAUAAAAAUAAUAUUGAAGCCUCCAUCCAAAUCACUAUCACAUAAUCUUCCAUCUCCAUCAUCUACUUCUACCUCCAGGAUCAUUGCUUUCACCUAUUGAAUAUAAGAAUUAAAGGGAAAAAGUUCUCAAUAAACAUGAUACUAUCUGAAGCACACAAAAUGGUACGCGAGGAACAAAAUCCACAAGAGGCACCACAAAAAGAAAAAAUAAUGAAAAGAAAGAAAAUAUAGAUAGUGAGAUGCUUCAGUAAUUCACCAAGUAUAUGCACAAAGAAAAACAAAAGGGGGAAAAAAUCUAACCCCUUGACACGCUAAAAGUAACUAUUUUCCCAUCAAAUCAGUGCAUUCACAAGGAAAUAACUAACUAAAAUCAGUGCACUCACAUGCAAUUACCUGGUAAUCAACCAAAAAAAUUCAACACCAGACAACUACAGAAGUCAUAAAAUUACUACAGUCAAUCACCAAAAACCCUUUGGAAAAAAUGGUUGAAAAUGGCUACAAACAAACCAUCAACAUGGACAGUAAUGAAAAACAAGCCCAAAAAAAAGACAAGGAUCAACCAAAAAAGAGCAGAGAAAAGUUGAAAGACACCUGAGAUUUUGGACAGAAGCUUUUCUCACUCCCUUAAAUCUGUAAUUCUUUCCUUUGAAAAGUUCCUUAGUCAAUAAAUCACUCACCUGAGAUGUAUCUAAGUAGAGUGAGAUCUUGCAUCCAAACAGUAGGAAGAAUAGUGAGGGUAGUGAGCAAAGCAAAUAGGUGCUUUGAAUUAAUUCAAGCCCUCCCAAGCUUAAAUGUGCAUUAGGAAACAGAGAUGAUAAGUUAUCACUCUCCAGAAUGAUAUAUUCAAUACAACAAGCUUGCAAGGCCAAAACAUGGAAUCUUUAGUAGUUGCAUGAUUUAUAAAUCAUACUAAAAGAGCAGGAAAUGCAGCAUGCCGCCAGAAAAUUAUGUAUGUACGUAACCUGAAAAUUCAGUGAGAAAGAAAAUUAUAUUUUAACAUUCAUUUCAGUUUUCAAAGAUAGUGACCUACAGUAUUAAACACAAAGGUAAUGGUUACUUGGUCUAGCCAUCAAAUUUCUUGGGAUUAUCUUAAAUUUCAACUCUUGAACUUAUCAUCGUAUUUUACAAAACAAAAAAAAAGUAUUUUUUAAAUUUACUGUGGUAUGUACAGUUGUAGUUUGAGGCAAUAUGUACCACAACUUGACUUUCAUCCAUUUAUCAAUUCCUUUUGCUUUUCAGAGAAAAUCUAAAGAUCCGAGUGGAGCCUCAUAAUGUUUCUUACUGUGCAUUUAAUCUCUUGACCUGUAAAAGCACGGAGGCCUUGGCACAUAGCACUACAUUGCUAACAUAUGAAACUUUAGUCCCAUCAAUUUGUCGGGAGAAGAGUUCACAAGAACAGUAACAUCAUCAAUGCCAUCACUGUCAAGCAUAGACCAUCCCUCAUCUGUGGAACCAUUUACAGCCUCAGUGAAAUCCCUAGAGAAAAAAUAAAGUAAAUUUUAGGUUCACAUAAAAAAAUAGAAGCCAUCAGAACGUAAUGUCAAUAGCUCAGAAACCUACUUGCUCAAUCAUUGGCUAAGUGCUCGUGAUGCUGCAGGUCUUCUUCCUCAUAUUGUGAUAGUAGGCUGAGAAACUUCAUGUGAGAUCUGUCUUAAUUGGUAUAAAGCCAGAACAAAAUGGUAUAUUCAUCUCUUUUUGGAUACUUUAGUACAUUCACAAAUACAUUCCAAAAAUUGAGAUUAAAAUCUAAAACCAAUACAAUGGCAUGGCUGGCACAAAGGAAAGAACUGCAUAGAAUCUAAAUAUCAUACCGCCAUUGUUGUCUUCUGAGCAAGCAAUGUUGAUGACUCAUAUAGUGGACGGGUCACUUCAGGCACACUCCAUGGCUGUUGACAAGCAAUACGAUUAUUAUAGCAUGGGUAGCCUACUCUAUGAUGAAACCAGUAUGUUAAGUAGAAUACCUCUAAAUCUAUGUGGUCAACUAUAUGGAUUAUGGAGCCACCUCCUUCACAAGGUCUGGUCAAGUAUUCGUUUGGCAGUAUUUUAGCUCUUACAAAAUGCUGAACAGGUGGUAUACUGGGACCAUUAUGAGUGUUGUUCAGCAAUCUUUCACAGAUCUAAUGUUUUUCAAGAAUUUAAUAAAUCAACCUAAAGUAGGUAAGACAAGAUCGUUUUGCAUUCCACCAGUUUACUAUGAGGUACAUACCAUGAGACUACCAUCUUCCAUCACAAGCAUAUAGUGUAAUAGCCAAAAGUCACGAGUUGGUGCCAGAGUAGUAGGGGCAUAGAGCUGAACAAGGAAAUCAGAACUACAUUUGUCAAACAACUUUACUUAACAGUGGAUGACAAUCACAGAAUUCAGCAUACAUAAAACUUUGACCUGCAUAUAAAGAAGUUCAAUGGUUCCACCGUUUCCAGUAGAUAUCAGCAUUAAGGACAUCCACAGCUUGGCAAGCACGAAACUAUUAUGGCCGAUCUUUUAAGAUUUUAGCAACCUGCAUACACAUGAAUAAUUGGUACAAUCUGUUAUUUAUGAGCAGUGGCCCAUAUCUACCAAAAUCAAUCAAGGGUAAAAGAAUUUUGCAGUUCAAACAAAUACCAGAUCUCUGAGAAACAAAGCAACAUACCUGAAAAAGUAAAAAUCAUAGUGAAGGAUAAAAUUGACUCUAAAAUUCCGACUGCUAUCAGCCAAGAAUUGAAAAAAUAAAAUUUGGAAAAUCAACCAAAAGCCACCAUAGUCAAGGAAUUCAAAAUAAAUAAGUGAAAUGACAAAAUUUUAAGUACAUAUUUUAACUUGAACUUAUAUGAUUUCUAUAAAGUACAUAUAUCAACUCAACCAAAAGGAAAAAUAUUUCUUGAUAAAAAAACAGAAUGCUUGGAGAGAGAUUUACAGUUCUCCACUCCAAGAUUUAGUUCAUAGGCAUAUGAAAAAGGUUUGGUAAAUACUGACUUUCAAAAUUUCUUUAAAGGAGGAUCUUUUAAAUAAUACGAGUAGCAUGCAAAUUAAUGAACCAGUUUAUCAUAAAACUUCUAUGUCUGCAACUUUGAGAGUAGAAAAUAAGAUGAAUGCACUUUGAUAGACAACUUUGAUAGUUUGGUCUAUAUAUAUAUACAUAUAUAUUAGCUUCAUUUUUCAUAAAAAGUUUCGUCCAAGUAAUUUUAGACUAAACAAAGCAGCCUCUCUUUAUAAGGCAGCAAAAGUCAUAGACCUUUACUGUAAAUUAUACCUUAUUCAUGAUAUUGGUUAUUGACCUUCAAACGACACCACCAUCUCAACCAAGAAUCCAGAGGUCCAUCAUGCAAAAUGGUUUGAUUUGAAACAGGACCGUAGCCAACUUCACCAAGCUUAUUAUUUGAUGGAAAUUCUAGAUAGCAGCAACAGGAAUUCGAAACUGGAAUUUCUUUUGUUCUUGUGCUGUAAUCUUCUCCGAAUCCCUUUCUUUUUGCCUUGUUUGAUUGAUCAACAUUCAAGUCAAGCAAUUCAAGAAAAAUCCCAAAAAAACAAAGUAAUGAAACAGAGCAACUAUGAGAAAAAAAACAGUAGAAAUAACUCUUUUUUCUAGAAACUAACCACUUAGAACCCAACUUCAAAGGGGAAAGCAAAACUUACAAAACCCCAUGAGAAUGGUGGAGGAAAUUUUGAAAAUCUGCACCUGCAACAUUACAACAUCAUAAAAGGAAAAAAAAUUAGACAACAAAACUCGUAAAUAAUUAGGGCAAAAAAGAACCAAAAAGAAAAAAAGAUUUAUUACCUUAGAUCCCUUUUCUUCUUUUGCAUUAUCACCCAUUUAAAGAACACUUGCUUCAAACCUAAAAACAGCAAAGAGUAAAAUAAAUAGUUAGAUCGACGACUAAAAAAAUGAAAGAACUGAAAAAAAAAGAACUUCAAGCCCUUCUUUGAUACAAAUAAUGAUUUACCAAAGCAAAUGGAAGCGCGAGUAUUUUUUUGGAGGAAAAAAAAAAGAGGAAGAGCUGGAAAAGAGACAAGCUACUGAGAGGAAGAAAAGAAAGAGAAGGACGGCGGAAGUCUUGAGAGAGAGAGAGAGGAUAGUAAAUUUUGUAACCUUAGACAUUUUGUGAAAAAAGAUCGAAGAGAGGUGGAUGUGAUUUGACAUGGACCACUGUUUGCAAGAGCAAACAUAGCAUGUAAUGGAACGGAACAAGCUAAGCAGCAAGAGAGAGAAGGGGGGAGGGGUUGGAGCAAACAGAAAAGCAACCGAUAACAGCAACAAUAAGAAUAAAAAAAACACAAUAGGGUGAUGCAAAACCAAGCAGAAAGGAAAUUAUCCGAAGCAACAGAUAGGCGAAAGCAAAAGAACAGGCUAGACGAAGCAGCUGAAACGGGCCUGCAUAAAGAAACUGUACGAAAGACUGAGAAUCAGCUGCAAAGAGCAAAUUGGGGGAGAAAAUCGAGGAGAUGGCGCUAAAGUAACAUACAAGAGGAAUUUGGGGGGAGGGGAGGAAGAGGGAAGCACACACUGAUCCAGCUAAAAAUCAGAAGGGAAGGGGGAGAAGAGAGGGGAGGAUUCCUUCAAAAGAGAGGCUUAAUUGGCUGGAGGUGUAAUGAACAAACAUCGUACAGAAAAGGAAAAUGCAUAAGACAAACCGACGAUCAGAGGGACAGAGGACGACAGGGAAGAGAAACGAAAAAGGCGAUAAAAACAGGUGAAAAAAAAGGAGGAGAGGUUACCUGGCGCAGCAAAAUAGGAAGGAGAGAGGAGAAGCAGCAGGAGGAAAACAGGAACUGAAGAACAAAUGGCUAAUCGUGAGGAGAGGUAAGGAGAAGCAACUACAUGGGUCAUCAUUGCAGCAAUCUAAUCCGCCAGCAGGCAGGACGAGACAGCAGGAGGAGAAUGCGUGUAAGGGACAGAGAGGAACAGUAAAGGCUGAGGUGAUGCAGCCGUAGGAUGGAGAGAAAGAGGGGAAGAGAUGCGUGGACAAAGGGAUGUAGUGGCAAAAAAAAAAAAAAGAGGAGAAGAGAAGAGGAAAAAUAAAAUUUGGUAAAAUGCGGGGCACAGAAGAUAAAUUUUGGAGCUGAAAGAUGAAAGAAAAGGAAAUCUGUGGUCGAGGAAGAAAGAGAAAAAAUGAGAGGAGCAGGAUGGAGCCGGUAGAGACGAACUUAGUCAGCGAGCAGAGAGGUGCCUGACGGGGGCAACCUGAUGGAUGCAGGCAAACAGGACCAACGAAAGACGGGUUUUCAAAGGUGGAAGACGUGUAAGGGCAUAAAGUGAACAACAAGGUGAGGGGGAGCAGGCUGAGGAUGCGGAGGAAACACAGUAGCAGAGAGGAGGGGGAAAUUGAGUGCAAAAGGAGGUAAAACUUGGAGUGCAAGGAAGAGUGCACAAGGAGGAAAAGCUUCGAGUAGGUGGAGUCGGUAUAGAGGAGAUUGAUGAAGUGGCAGAGAGGUGAAGAAAGAAGAAAACAGUGGAAAAAAAAUAAAGAGACAAAAGCAGGCACACGGCUGGAGGACUGAUCCGGUGCAAUGAGAACAGUUGCCAACCAACGCAUUCGCUCCACGCCAGCAUCAAACGAAUCCCAUGCCGCCACGCGGAGGACGACCACGUCCGACGUGGAUACCGGGCGUUCGCCCUUAGUACUAUAUAGGUUAAUGAAAGAGAGUAUAGGUCUGGGAGGGGAAGGCGAAGAUGGGCUUGGCGACGGCGAUGAGGCAAAUUUUGUUAUGCUAGUGCAAAGUUCCAGUUAAAAGGACCAAUCCAAACAAACUCACCAACCCCAAAACAUCUAAAAAGCCAUAUCAAUAUGUUAUUUAGCAACACAAAAAGACCAUUUACAAGCGCUCUUCGAUGAGCAGUAAUGUAUCAGGCGCUCUUCACCAGUUUCCGGGAGAGGGAGUCAUGUUCACCGAUCCUCUCUUGAUAACCUCAAUUCCAAAUAGAUAGCCAUCCUAAUCGAAAACAACACAAAGAAUAGAUUAAGAAUACGAAUCAAAAGCAUGAAGACAAUGGAUAAAUGCCACAUUGAAUUUUAUACAUAUGACAUGCAUCUAGACUAAAAAUUUACCUUUAUGUAUACUGAUUUUUUUUUUCUUUUUAAAGCUGCAGACCAUAGGGCCUAGGACGUUAGAAAAUGAACCAAUUAACGGUCCCGAUUGUCAACUCACUCCUUGCAAAAAGUUGAGCAGUAACUGUAUUAAUUUGUAUUCAACGUUAGUGAUAAACAUAUUUUAAAUCCACGUCAUCACUUUGAAAUAGUGCAAAAACAUGUUAAUUAGUACUUUAUUUUAAGUUUUAAAUCAUGUGCUUAUUAUACCAAAAACGAAGAAAAAAUGUAAACCGAUGAGCAUAAGAAAUUUGAGAUCUUUAAUAUAGUCCAUUAAUCUGUUAUUGCUUGUAAAAAACUUUUUACCAACAACGAAAAAGGAAAAUGCUGCAAUCAUUUUUAAUUAGAGAUCUUUAAGAAAUUUGAGAGCUGACAACAAUCAUAAACACUAGCAAGUAAUACCUUUUUUAAAUAUUAAAUAUUUUAUGAUGUGAUGUAUGUAAAAUAAAGAGGUGAUUGGAAAGAUAAAAAUGUGUGUUAGAAAUUGUGUUGUCAUACAAGCAAAUAAUUUUUGGCCAAAUAUUUGAUACGCUUUUUUCUUUUCUUCCUUUUUUUAGUUACUUUUAUUACAUGAAAAAGGUAACAAAAGUUAAAACAUAAACAUUCAGAGAAAAAGCAAACAAAGCAACUUUCAAUGAUGUGCUAUAAAAAUCAUUUAAGCAACACAUAUUGCACCGGUGGGUUGGGCUCCGGCGACAAUAACAACGAAAAAAUUGCAUCGAAGAUGUUGGCCCAAGCCUAUAUCUAAGCCCAACUUAUUGCCAGGAAAACCAAUUCAACUAUAAACCCUCUCGCAAAAACCCCAUCGUGCAGAAAGCUUCGACCUGAGACUGCUCCAUCACUCAAAGCUUCAGAAAUGGCAGCGAAGCCCCUAAAAAGCAACGAUUCAAAGAAGAGAAAGAGAAUUGCUGGACCCAAAGGAGAGGAAAGAAAAGCCAAUCCCAAGAGAUUGAAAUCACCUUCUACCAAUAAUUCUCAGUCGGGGUCCAAGAAACCAUUCAAAGCAUCCAAACAACCACCAUCUAGGCAGUAUGGAGCUAAGCCUCCGACACAGAAGCACGUACCAGAUACCAAAAAACAACGUCGUUUGCUAGCAAAGGUUUCUUUCUUUUUUCUUUUUUGGGGCACCAUUUUUGGUUUUUUGUCGUCCUUUGUUUUGUGGACUUUGCUAGCUGAUAGAAGGUGGUCUUGGGUGGAGGUAGAAAUUAAUCCAAUUUUUGGCUGUUGAUGAUUCAGAAAUUUUUUUUUUGGGUUUCAUAUUCAAGUUGGGAUUUCGAAGAAGUAAAUAAUCAAUUCUAUCGAAAAAGCCUUUAAACUUUUUUCUUGGGUAUUGUAUAUUUUGGUUAGGUAAAACUUGCAUUUUUAGUUUAAUCUCUUUUGGGUGCACGGACUUGAUGCAGGAAUUGGCUGAAGCAAGAAAGAAGAAGAGGAAGAAACACUACACUCUGGAACAAGUAUGUUUUGUUGCUACUACUUUAGCUCAGUAAUCAUUGUUGACAUGCUAAUGAAAGGAUUAUUUGAUUCUUGGUAUUGAACAUGACUCGGGGAACUAUCAACUACCCUGGAAUGCUCAGUGCCUUAGUUUUAUUUGAUAGCAAAGCUUCUGAUUUGGAAAAUUCGAUUGCUUUGGCAAACCAAUACUAGGCUUGGGUAAUGGCCAGUUCCUUAGGACCAGGUGGGGUAAAGCAUUGGCUGCAUAGGGAAAAGAAACUUACCAUCUUCGAUUCAGCUGUAACAUCAACAAUACACCCUAGCCACAAGCAAGAAACUCAAACUCUUGAGUGCAGUGGAAAUUGGGAAUAUUCGUUGUUAUUGUAUCUUUGGCUCUCUCUCUCUUCAUUUGUCUAUAUCAUCUUCGCUCCUCCAUUCUAAACUGACGCACAUAGUUUGUCUGUGGGGGUGUACAUUUCGAGGUGUUGAUUCAUUCUCUGAGUAGAAUGUUUCUUGGGUUUUUGCUUCUCUAGACUUUCAAUAUUCUGUUUUCGUUAUACCAAAAAAUUUAUGAUUUAGCAUAUGCCUUUGGAUUCAAAUCUUUAAGUACAUGUAAAUAUGUAAUACAUACUUUUAAGCUAGAAACCUUGUGAUGGCUGAGUUUUAUCUGACAAUGCAACCAGACAGUAGCUGUCAAAUAUAGGAGUCCUAACAUCUAAGCAAUACUUGAAAUUGUUUCUUUGACAGGAGCUUUCAAUCCUGUGGGAGAAGAUGCGACGUCGAGAUAUUGCGAAAGAAGAUAGAUCCAAGUGUGUUAAUUUUACUACAUUAGAAAAUUAAUUUGCUAUUUUGCUUUUGUCCCUUCUUCAUCUGUCAGGUAGUGGAAGAAAAAGUCUUUACUUCUGUCAUUUUCAGCAGUCAAUAAUAAUGGUUAUCUUUUGCUUGCAUCCCUCUACACAUGCACAUAAAGAUUGGCAAGCGAAGCUCUAGGAAAAAUGAAGGGCAAGAUUCCUGAGAUCGCCAGUUCUCAUGUUUCAUCUCGUGUUCUUCAGGUAACAACCUGUUUAUGCUCCUUCUCCUUUUUUCUGUGUUUAAACAUUCCGGAUUAUUGUGUGUUACAGCAUAAGUUGGUUUUGUCUCUUGACUAGACAUGUGUUAAGUACUGUUCACAAGAAGAAAAGAGUGCAGUGUUUAUGGAACUUCAGCCGCAUUUUAUUAGCCUAGCCACAAACACUUAUGCUGUUCAUCUGGUGACGAAGAUGUUAGAUAAUGGUAAGAUUAAGUUGCAUUUAUCCUAUUGCUUCUAACAAGAUGAUUCUUUAUGUUUGUGAUGGAUGAUUCAUAUCAUCUUACGUUCUUUUGCAUAUUUUAUUAAGAAUUGCUUUAUGCUUGAUGUUUCAACCUUCAAAAUCAUGAAGUGCAUCAAAGCUUCUUUUUCCUUUUUUCUUACUUUGCUUUUUAUUUGGUUGUAGCAUCCAAAGACCAGCUGUCAGAGUUUAUUUCCUCACUGUACGGGCAUGUUGCGCCUCUGCUUCGACACAUGGUGGGCUCACUUGGUAGGAUCCAAUUUUUUUUGGCACAUACAAUUGAUAUAUUGACUAGUUAAAACCUGUGAAAAUUUUGAAAUUGCAAUGGUAUUAGAAUUUAAUGUGAUUUUGGAGAUAAUUUGUGUGGUUCUACAUAAUCAGAAGGCUAAGAGGUGUUUGUCAUGCUUUUAAACAUGAUAUUUGAAGUGCACCUUGCUGUGUUCCUUAGCUGAAUUUCAGUUGCAUGCCAGAUUUGAUUUUUUUUUAAUGCAAUAAAUGUUGAGGAUGAAGCAUUGACAUAUAUCCCUCAACUUGACAUGUAACAAUGGCAUUGAAGUAUUGAAAAUUCUGAUGUUCUGCUGCUUUAUUUUUUGCAGUUAUUGAACAUGCCUAUGAUGUGGGAAAUGCAAGUCAGAAACAAACUCUACUUAUGGAACUAUACUCUCCCGAACUGCAGUUAUUCAAAGAUCUUGUCUCUAUGAAGGAAACCAGGUAAAUAUUUUUGGCUUAGUAAUUCUAGCGAUUCAUGUUAUAAAUCCAUACAAAAAUACAUAGAUACUGAUACGUUCCUUUUUUUAAUAUGAGCUGUUAUUCUUUUGAAAGUUUAUGAGAGAUGUUCUUUUAAGAGCUAAACUUUUCUAAGAUAGUGUGUGAACAGUUUUCUUUUUCUUUCCUUAUGUAAGGAUAGGGAUUAAUUCAAAAUUUUGAGUAAAGGAGUCAAGUUAAUUGCAUUGGAUGUUGUGAUUCUCCACGGUUUGUCCUGUCUUCUGGGGUUGCAAAAAUACCAGUUUUGCUUUUUUCUAAUUGAUUAUCUUGUUCUAAGAAUAUAUUUAAUGAAGCUAUUAAAUUAUAUAAUUGCUCCCAAAUUUGAAAAGAAUUUUAGUUCUAAUAGAGGCUUGUUUACUUUGAUGCCUUUCCUGUCAGAUUAGUUGAUGUAAUUUCCAAGCUACAGUUGCAAAGGUCUUCUGUUGUACGUCACAUGAGCUCAGUGCUUCAACCAAUUUUGGAGAAAGGAAUAUUAGACCACUCCAUUAUACACAGAACACUAAUGGAGUAUCUGACUGUUGCAGAUCAGGUAGUAUUUCCUAUGUGAAUUGCUCUGUUGCUAGAUGACCUUGACUUUAACAACUGUUGCGUCUAUUUGUGAUCCUACAUAUCUAAAUCAAGUAUUUUAAAGUCAUCUGCUGCAGAUGUAAUUCAGCAGUUAUCAGGUCCACUUCUUGUUCGGAUGAUACACACUAGGGAUGGUUCCCGGGUUGGUAUACUAUGCAUCAAACAUGGUAGUGCAAAGGUUUGUUGAAGAAGUCUUGUUUUUGUUUAUCUUCUGUGGAAAAACUCAAAAGUUCCCUGUUCUUUUUGUAUAGUCAUCUGUUGUUGAUCAAUCUACUUUUCGUUUUUGUUUUCUUUGAUGGUGUGUUUUAGGAGAGGAAGAAAAUCAUUAAAGGAAUGAAAGGUCAGUGUGACAAGAUUGCUCGUGACAGAUUUGGGAGUAUGGUGAGUAUGAUUUUAUUAUUGACUUGUCUUUGUUUUGUAGCUAUUUGCAUUUUUUGAGUUCAAGAACUCAGAAUCUCCUGGUUAUUUGUUUUUUGGUUUUCCGCAUUCAUUUUACACCAUAAUAGAUCGCAAGAAAUUUUGAUUGUCGAACACACAUUUCAUUAAUAGGCCAUUUGGUUGUGAACUUUAUUGACUUCUCAGUGCAUUUACCCUACUUUCAUAUUGGAUAGUUUGGAAGUAUAACGUGCUAAUACAAAUUUCAGGUUCUUGUCUCCAUUCUUUCAACAGUUGAUGACACGAAACUCUUAUCAAAGGUUGGUUCCAUAGCUAUUGGUUUCUAGCAACUAAGUUUUUUAUUAAGCAGUGAUGUUAGGUGGCAUCUUAGAAGUGCAUCUUGCAUUACAGAUCAUCGUUCGUGAGCUGGAGGGCAUUCUGAAGGAACUUGUUCUAGAUCAGGUUUGUAAUUUAAAGGACUUGCUUAAACUUGUUAUAAUCUUCUGGUGCGCUCACUUCUCAGGCAGUUAUAAUCAGGCCCAAAUUUAGUUGAGUGUCAGCUUUCUUUCAUAUGUAAUAGAAAAGGUUCAAUUACAAGAAAAUUGUCUCUAGAGGCAGUUGCAACUUGAGUAAUGACCUUCUGCAACAGUUUCAAUAAACUUCAUUAUUCUGGGUUUCUCUUGACGCCGGAAUGAGUUGAUCUGCAAAACAGUUCAAGUAGUCUUAAUUGUCAUGUCUAUGCCCUAUUAGUUAUCUUCCCUUGUAAUUGAAAAAGUGAAUGGCUUUUUCUAAGACUUGGUGUCAAGCAUAAUCCAGUGACCUUCAAAUUUGAUUUAGAAGUCCUGAAUUUGUAGUUAAGGUCUUCUGUCUCAGCUUGAAUUGGAAAGAGCUAGCUGUCUUAGAACUAGAAUAUUAAUGUGCUUAGCAUGGCAACCACCACGUAUACUGAGUUGCUGCAAGAUCCUAGUUAAAGUAAAAAGGAUUGCUUUGCCCUUAUUGAGAUGUGGAACAUUGUGGCUUAUUUGCUGUUAAGGAACAUUUGUUCAUUCCAGAUGUGAUUUGUGCACUCUCUUCUAAGCUGGAUUCCUGGUUAACCAAAGAUGUGAUUCUUCAACCCCUCCCUUUGUGUAAUUUCUUAUGUUUAGGCCUGCCUUUCUUUGGUCUAAAGUUGAGUUUUUUGAAACUUUAUUUCUUCCUGCAUCGAUAUCAGCAUUAAAUUAUUUCACAUUUUGGUUGAACAGUGUUGAUAAUGCUUUAGCUCAGACUACUUUCACCAGAUGCAUAAAUGUUUCUUCAUUCAUGGACUUUUAGAGAUCUGUAAAUCUUGAAUCCAACAGGUUUAUGUGAAAUAGCAUAUAUAUAACCUAAACAUACUUUGUUUUUGUUUCAGAAUGGAAGGCGUUCGCUUCUGCAGUUACUUCAUCCAAAUUGUUCUCGCUAUUUAAGCCCAGAUGAUCUCAUGUCCUUAAGUUUGUCUAUCCCCUCUCUCAACACGAAGGUAACUAGCUUGAUCUUUUUGCUAGUUGAGAACUUUGUAACAUAUAAGUGCAUUAGUUGAACCUAGUGGAUGUAUUUUGGCUCUGUUUAUAUGAUAUUAAGGUAGCUUAUAAACAAGUUCUUUCUUGUCUCAGCAAAAAGAGUCUUCUGAGGUUAAUGAAGCAAGUGAUGAGGAGAAGAGAGACAAUGGUGAGAUCUUAGUUGAGGCAAAUACAGGUAAAAGUGCUGGGAAGAAUUCAGAUGUAAAUGAGGUUGCGAAGAAGGAUCCUUUAACGCGAAGGAGAGAGUUGUUGAUCAAUAGUGGGCUUGCCGAGGUUCGUGUUUUUCUGUACUUUUAUCUAUGUUUUGAUCCUGUAGAUUUGUUUUUUUACUAUUAUAGGCCAAGGAUGAGGCAAACCUUGGGCACUAGCAAGGCUGCUCUGAUUUUUUUUCUUGGAGCUGACUGGGAAGAAGCAGAGAAUCUGUUUGCAAAUGCAAGGCUACAUUCUCCUAGCCUUCCUGAAACACUUUUAUGGCAGGAGGCUUCUGCACUAGGUUUACCAUUGAUUUAUAUGGACUAAAGUGGGCUUUGAAACUGAGCUGGCAUGACACUACAUGAUUCUGCUGAUAUUCUAUAUUCUUAGCCUAUAUUUUUGUACUUCCCUCUUAAGAUUGUAUAGCCUUUAUGUGAUUUACCCAAUUCAGACUGUUUGAUUGUCUCACCAUAGACGCUUUGAUUCCUACCUUAUUUUUACUGCUGUUCCUUUUCUUUAUUUCUUUCCUCUUUUUUUUUUUGGGGGUGCAGAAACUCAUUGAUGUAUGCAGUGAGAUGGCAGAAAAUUUGCUAAGGUCAAAGUUUGGCAAGGAAGUGAUCUAUGAGGUAGGUUUAUUGGUUUUAAUUGGAUCCACACUUAGUUGCAUGUUCCAAUUCAGUGGUGGGACUGAGAUUUUACGUUUGGGGAGGUACCAUUCAGAAAUGAGUAGAAAGAAAUUAUAGCGUUUCAGGGGGAUAUUGCCAAUUAUCUAAGGACUUUUGAGCUCACCUUUUGUUGAAUUGAGGAACUUUAAAUUUAUAUGAAAGAUGUAAAUUCUGUUGUCCUCUUCCGGCAGUGGAUAAGUUUGUUGUCCCUAAUCUGUGAAUUUACUACAGAAAUGUAACAUUUCUUAACGAGUCUAAGCAAUAGCCAGCCUACCAUGGAGAAUAAACUGUAUAACCUAGUUUCUUGAAUUUGUUUAGAGAUGUUCAUGAAUCUCAGUUAUGGAACAUAUAGGAACUUACUAACAAGUUUAUUUUAGCUGUGCUUCAGUGGAUUAAAACCUGCACAGUGGAAGACAGAAAAUCACUGAGAGGUGACUAAAGGUAUUGCAAAGCAGGCACAUAAAUCCUAAUGUAAAUCCUCCUUGAUCGUGAAAUCAGACAAGAAAGAAAGCUAUAAACAAUUGGCUUUAAUUGGUCGCCGCAUGGGUUGACACUAAGUUGUGAUGCAACAAAAAGAACACUUUUGUGAUCAUACCACUCUUUUGUGUUUCAUGCUUCAACCAAGCGUGAGUUUAACUAUUGAAUGUUAAAAAGGGAAAAACAUCUGACAGUCACUCAGGGAAGAAAGAGAUAAUUAAUCCUCCUUCCAAGUUUAAGAGAAAACGAUCACUGGUCACUGAUCAUUGCCUUGUUAGGUAACUGGUAUGUCAGGUUUUUUGUAUGAGGAGCACAGUUACACUAGUAGUUCUUUUAUUUUUCUCAAUUGCUUUUACUAAAGAAGUAAGUUAAUCAUCUUAAAUGAGGUGUUCAUGAAUUAGAUUACACUAAAUCUCAGAUGAGUGUGUGGCUAGAAAGAAGAGUGGUUUUAGGUGAAAGGUGCAACUUCCAAUGUAGAGAGAGAGAGAGAGAGAGAGAGAGAGAAGGUUAAGAAAAAAAUUACAUGACAAUUCUAGUUAUAGAUGUUGUAGUUUAGUAUGUUUAUUGGUCCUUAGGAUUUAGGAACCAUUGUGCUCUACAAUGUAAUUUGGUCCAUUGUUUUUCUAAGUCCUAGGUGACAUACUUUAAGUCAUUACUCUUUGGAGUUAUCUAGAUAGAUGUACCUAAAUUGUUUCCAUCUACAUUUUUAACUAGCUCAAAACGUGAGGCAGACCUGUCACUCUUUUUUCCUUUUCUUUUUUUCUUUUUCCUCCAAAAGUUUUGGGAUUAUAGUUAUUGAGAAUUGCAGUGAUUUUAAAAUAAUUUUUGCAUUUAUCAAGCUGUUGCUUUUCUUGGAUUUGGCUUUAUAAUUGUUUCUUUCCUUAGCUGUAGUCUGUCAGCUUAACUUUUUGUGGAUGAUUUCAUGUAACCUUUUUACUUUCCACAUGAUUUACCAAUGUGUAUAAAUAGGUAGUAACUGGGGGUGCUGAUGGUGUUCUUCACCCUGCUAUGGAUGAAAAGUUGGAAAAAUUGUAUGAAGUAAUAGCAACUCUUGUAGCAGAACCUAAAUCAGAGGGAGCAGAAGACGACCAUCUCCUUGAAGAUUUUCAUUCUAGCAGGACCAUUAGAAAGCUUAUUCUAGAUUGCCCUAUCUUUGCUUCCAAGUUGUGGGAGAAAGCUCUAAAGGGCAAAUGUGCAAUAUGGGCUCAGGGUCACAGGUUCAAUUUACUACUUUAGAGCUUAGCUUUUCUGUCCAUGUGAGAACAAAUAAACAAUGCUGAUGAUCCUGUUAUUUUUUGUGUAGUUGUAAGGUGAUUACUGCAUACCUAGAGGCCUCAGACCUUGCCUUGCGUGAAGCAGCAAAGAAAGAGCUGCAACCCUUAAUUGAUAGUGGCGUUCUUACAUUACCUGCAGUUAAUGAGUCUGCCAAAGCCGAUCAGGACUUCCAUUAAGGAGCAAGAUUGGGAUUAUGUCCAAGCGAACUAAGCAUGAUUGCACUCAUCCAGCCAUUCAGUGUCUUCCAACAUUUGCAACUGCAUCUGAUGAGUUGCUCCAGUUGCAUAAGAUUGGUGAACACUAAAGUUUUGUACUCAAGGUGUAAAAGUAAAUAUUUGACUUAGGAACCCCUUUAAUCUGUUAGAAGGAUAUUGUAAAAUCACUUGGUGCUUAUGAAUCUUGCUUGCUGAUCAUGAAUUUUUUUUCUUUUACAAGCUAUCCUGGUUGUUCAUAAGUAACAAAUCCAAAACCAAAUUCAAGACAAGUUUUCUGUAUUGGCUGUAAUUUUUUGAAUGGCUCGAAGUUUGUAGGUUUGGCUAAAGUUGGUACAGCAAGUUUUCCAUUCUGAUCUGCAUUCUUCUGAUUAUGGUUUCAUGCGCAAUAUGUGAAGCCCAUAGUUUCUGGACAUAGAACGCUCCAGUUUCUUGUGAUUGCUAGUGGUGCGGUGAGGAUAGCCUUGGGAAAGGUAAUCUGCAGGAUUGAAGGUGGGUAGUUCCUUCCUGGAUGAGUCUGAUACCCUUGAUGCUGCAUUGGCCUUCAGACAAUUCUCUAUAAUAGUAGCCUCUUCCAUAAAUCUGGCCCGUAGGUCCUUCAUCCUUUGCAAGGCAUGAUUAGAUCUUGUCCUCUCUGAAGUGGGUAUUCUCUUGGGUUUUGUGUUGCUCGGGAUGGGGGAAUCGUCUGAAAUAUUGCUGCACUUGAAACAGAAGUUCCUAUGCCUCUCCAGAUUGAAAGCUGUUCUCCUCGCGUCGUCUGAUAGACAUGCAUAUGCCUGUGAUGAACGUGGUAGCACGAAUAAUUUAAACGAGAAAUGACAAUUCAAAAAGCUGAAGGCACCCCAACUCCCCGCCCACCGCCCGGAGAAGGGCGAUGUUUUUGGCUUGAAGGUUUGCUAUAUCGUUACCUUACCUACCUACGCGACAUUAUCUAAGACAGCGGUAUGUAAAGACGGAUUAAAAUCUAUCCAACAUCUACAAACGCAUGUGUGAUUUCGCAUUAAAGCUUUGGCACAUCACUUCUAGAUUCUAGUGCUGUUAUCUGAUACGAACGGGUAUGCUCUAAUAAAUCUGAACAAAAGCUUCAAGUCAAAACAAAGAAGAAAGAAAUGCCGUAGUCACCUAUAUGAAAUUGAAAAGAAUAAACAGGGGGACGUAAUUUUACCUCGGAGACAAGCUUGAACGCUGUAUCGGCCUUGGGAUGCUUGUUUUUAUCAGGAUGAAGCUGCAAAGCUGCACGGAGAGCAUUAAGCCGCCAGCCAUCGUAGAGUAAAACCUAGACGGGGAAGAAGAUUGGCGAAUUUGAACUAUACUUCGUCAACUUACCAAGUCUAAGGUAAUGCUUCCUAAUGAUAUCGGGCCCUGCAUUCUCAUCCACCUGUAAGCCAUCGUUGGUUCAAAAACAGCUUGAGAAAACACUUGCAACGGAAAAGAUGUAUUGAAACAUACUUUGAGGACCAGAUACCAAUCAACGAAAGGCGGAUUAGUGGAACCGAAAUGAUGCUGAAGAGCGCAGGUGACAGCACGGUCUGAUAUGUUGCAUAUUUCUGUUACCAAAUGGGAUUUGAUAUCUGAAUCAGUUCUUGCUCUUCCCAUUGACGCAAAAGAUGAAUCCGGUGAUAACUGACCUGGAAACUGAAGAGUAAAACAACAGUGAGAAAUGUAAGAGUGCUUAUUGAGUUCUAUGUACGUAAUUUACUAGCAUUUAAGGAGAUAACUAGUAGGGUGGAGCGGUUAAGGAAAAAAGGGCUUGUUUUGCGGGGCACAAUUUGGUUUUGAAAGUGGAUCAGUACUUACUACUCAGUAGGUAGCUAUAAAGGUGAAUUUGUGGAGAGGUUAAUGUCUUUCACACAAAUUUUCUUGGUGGACUACCUAAGCAGUCAUUUGAGUCAAUCAGCAAGAAAGCUCACAGUAUAAGAAUCAAAUAUUGCCCUACAAUAAAGGGUAUGUCUUCUUCUUUCUUCUUUUUUUUUUGUUUUAAAAUUUUUUUGUCUUCUCAAGACUCAAUUCUCAGCGCCAUUUCCCUUAAUUGCAGUCCUCCUUCAUUGUACGUUGUAUCCAUCUUAGGUCUGUACACAAUGAGUAGAGAUCCUGUGACUUGACUUCCAUGGUCAUCAGUUACUACUACACGUUUGCAAGUACAUGAACAUAUAAUCCUAUUGUUAAAAGAGCCACAAAGGAUUGAGUCCUCCUCCUCACUUUUAGUUUAGCAUUACAAAAUAUGUGGUUUUUAAGCAUCUUUGUUCUCGAAAACAUGUUUGACAGAGCUCUAGAAUCGGGGAGUUCAAGAUUGAGCACAUUUCAAGUUUUCAACAUCUCCAGAGUACAAAAUAAAGUGAACUUGGUAAGUGCACUGAAUUCGAUGUAAAGAACAAAAGGAAAAAAGAAAUAAUAUGUAUUUGUUUUCUUAAAAGAAGAGCUGAUAUACAUAUAAAUAUUUUCUUUGGUGUGUACCUCGAAAAUAAGGGAACAGAAAAUUGGAACCGGGUCAUAAGAUUGACUAGAGCACCGUGACCUAUUCAAAUAAACAGAAGAGCCGAGAUGAUGGAAGAAGUUAAAGUUAAAAUCUCAAUAGGCUACCAACUAAGAAUUGGUUAAAUACUAUAUAAAUCUAGCAGUAGCUCCUACUGUACAGGAGGAUUCUCUUGCGAUGCAAUGAGAGCAUAAUCAUCAUAUGAUGAAUGUUUCACCAGUAUUAUAUUUUCAAGUUGCAUUAAAGAUGAUUAAUCGCAUUUAAUUCCUCACGAGCUAGGCCAAUACAGGGAUCCUUUAAUCAAACGUGAUGUUGCAUGUGACCCGCAUGCAAAUGUACAAUUCCAACCUCUCCGGUUGGAGACAUUCAUGGAAUGCUGUUAAGAUAGGAAGCUCGGUGGUGCUGGUUCUGUACAUUGUUGUGUUGUCCGCCCUUUUCUGGGCAGAUUGCAAAAAACGUCCCAAAAAUUUUGAAUUGCAUUCAAUGUAAGAUUUUGAUUUAAAAGGAAAAGUGAAAAAGAAAAUCCCUCGACUAGAUACAUUAACCAGUGGUGUAAGAUAGUGAAGAACUACUAGUAUUUGUUUAGAUAGAAAAUCCAGUUUCAAAGUUUUGGUGACAGCAGACGGCUGAACUUACCUAAUCUUGAUAUCACACUGUAAUAGCUUAGUGUAUUAAAACAGAGGCACAAGAUUUUAUAUUAUUAUUAUUUUUUUUAAAGAUGGCUGUAGGCUGUAGCAACUAAUUAAAAGGAUUAUUUCUUAUUGGGCUUGAUUCUAUGGUCAACGCCAUGCUCAUUGUAAGUAGCGUUGGUAAAAUUUUUUCAGGCCCAAGUUCUUGGCCUCCUGUCGUCUUGCUGGGUUUCUGCCCAAAUUUUCUAUUGCCUCAUCCAUAAUGAAGACAUCAAAAGAAUUGUCAAGAUAACUGCUCAGAGGUUACACACACAUAUAUAUACUAGAAUGGCUCUGGCUGUACAAUGCCCAAUCUAUUGUGUAACAAAUAUUGAAAAAUUCCUUGCUCUCUUAUUUUUAAACUUGGGCACAAUUGUAUCUAAUUCUUAUUCUAAAUUAGAAAUAAAUUAUCCAUUUGAAAAGGUUCAAAAUUCUCAUCAAACUAAAUAAUCAUUCAUCUAAAUCCAAUAGCACAACCAAUUCCCAACCUAUUGUGUAGAAAAUAUAAUUCAGUGCACUUAAAUUGUAAGUAGUGAUAAUUCUUAUGUAGAUGUAUAUAAUGUAAUAAUGUGUUUACCAUAGCUCACGCCCGCCUAUUAAAAUUGAAGAAAUGUUGAUCCUAACAAUAUUAGAUAUGAACAUUAUUUUUUUUUAUUAAUUGAAAUACCAACCUAAAUACUGUUGUUAUUUGUUGUUCUUUUUUCUUUUUAAGUUUAAAAAUUUUUUAAAAGCAUUUUUAGGCUAGAGGAUAAAAGUUUUAGCUGAAAAGAAAUCUGAUAUUAGAUAUUCUUGUAGAAAAUUUUAUUAAGUUCAGUGAUUUUGUGGUAUAAUUGAAAAACUUUUGUGGACUGCUUGCAUCAUUGGUCAUUAGGUUGUAAACAUAGCGUGCCAAAUACGUUUACUGGCAAGAUGCAAAAAAUAUUAAGUGCGUAAAUUAUUGCUUUCUAGCAGUAGCAUCUCUCCAAUGAAAAUCAAAAUAUCCUAUACUAUGUAGUCUAUGUUGCAUCUGUAAAUGUUCAAAAGAUCUUAUACUAUGUUGCAUUUGUAAAUGUUUAAUCAAUAAGAGUAAGAAUAAAGAAGCAAAGGUAGAACCUUACUUCUUAAAUUAAAUUACAUAAUAUCUUUUCCAUUUAAAAAGUAUAAAAUUCAUACACCUUUACAAUGAAGAUACCAGUUUCUGGGGAUUACAUUUAUUCACCUUCUGCUUAGAAUAUUAUUUUUUACAUGAAAGAAAAGGAACAUUUGUACAAUGGAGAAGAAAAUGUAAAAAUGGCUUUCAGUAGAAUGAUUGCUUCCAUGGCAGCCAGCCAUCUGUAAAACAAAGAACAAAGAACACAAAUUGCUUUUAGUAGAAUGGUUGUCUCCAUAAAGAGAAGUCAUUCACUAAAUUUCUCAAGAGUUAGAAAAGGGGAAAAAAUCUUACCUUCAAGCCAACUUCAAGUAGAAGGAACAGAAUUCUGGAGAAAGGAAAUUCAAAAAAACCUAAAUCCUCCAAUACUCUCCUACAAAUUUUCCAUGUCGUCAGUCAUAAAAUAAGAAGAGAAAAAAAAACUAAAAAACAAUGCAUUGAAUGUUUAGAGAAUGAAAAAAAAUACUCAAGAACUUAUUUUAGUCAUUAGGGUAAUAUCGAAAGGAUCAUAACAUGUCAUAAUCAUAUUUAAAAAUGGGGCUAAAUUUGUAUUAAAAGUUUAGAAGAACACAUUCAGCUACACUGAAACUAAUAAAAUAGAAAAAAAAAAUGAAUUUUGGCAAUCAAAACCAAGACUCAAAUUUAUCUAUAAAAGUCAAGCAAAGAAGAAAAGCAUCCCCAUGGCUACAAAGUCGGCUGUAGUUGGGGGAUAAUAUUCCCCAAAAUGCCAUUCUGUAAGAAUUAUCUAUAAGAUGAAUUCGAAGGCUACGCAUAAUUUGGGGAAAAUUUUGCUGAUUUUUUGGCCAAGAGGUACAACCUAAUCUAACCAAAAGUUCCCCAUUUUCCUCUUUCCAAGUAGAAUUAUCCUGUGGGUAAGCAAAUUCUGAGCAAGAAAUUACAAAAAAAAAAAGGAGUUUAUUUGACAUUGAAUAAAUGAGAAAACAUCAUCUGCUAAAGCAGUUGAAUUGCAGCUUCUGCCUUUCGUCUGAUGAGAGGAAAAAGAAAUAGGCGGGAAAGAAACAGGAAUGAAGCAGAAAGAUGGUAGGCUAAAACUAAAAGUCAAAAGAAGCAGAAAGUGAUAGUACAGAGAAAGAAGGGAAAGACGCGGAUGAACAGGAGAACAAGUGCAGGUGAAAAACCAAAAUUCAGCCCAAAUAGUGAGCUACUGUUCUGGAAGCCUAUUAUGUUUAGAAGGGCAAACAAGUAAUUUUAAGUAAAAGGACAAAAAUGUCCUAGAAUAGUUAUCAAUUGUUUAGACCAGGAUAUACUUUAUGAGGUUAUUGCCAAAAAAAAAAACACAAUAGUUGCUUAGCUCCCAUGUUUUGCCACGUGGAUCAACGUGGGAGAAGAAGCCUUAGGUUUUUAUAUAUAUGUAAGAUAUAUAUAUAGGUUACAAAUUCUUGCUUGCAGUUUUGAAAAGAUACCAUUAUAAUAUAACAAGUACAACAUCCGCGAACUUCUGAUUCACAGUCACAGGCAAUCAAAUAACCGAAAAAUAAUGGCUGUACGACCAUAAUUCCACCAACCGCAACCCACCACAUUAGCAACAAAAUCAACUCCUUUUGCAAAGUGCAUUCCCGCUUAAGCUUGAUUACCUGCUAGUAAUGGUUUGGUUUUGGGCAUUCCCUCGUAUGCAUUGCUUUGGACUGACUAUGAAUGGGAUGUUUUGGGGAGCGAAUUCUUUGAUGGUGGCUGCCCAAGAAUACUCUUUUGCAGUUGGGGGCCACCCACCCUAUCCCUAACCCCAAAAAUUGCAGAACUUUAACCUCAGCGGAUACAUUUAUAUUGUUUGCUGUUUAGCCGGUUCAUGUCGUUAUUGCUGGUUGCUUGUCCACGUCCACACCCAAAAAAUGCACAACUUAAACCCCGACAGAUACAAAUCACCUAGCACUCCUAAAUGGUUUAGUAAGCUCGCGAGGCCUCAAUGUGUAGGAGUCCUCUUUUGUUUUUCAUUUUUAUCUUUUUCUGGAAUCAGUUGUAAGAGACAUGGGAGAUGUUAAAUUGACUGCAGACACGAGUAGAACCGUUCUCUCGAAGAGGAGGAUGAGGAUGUCAUUGCCAUUUGCCAGCUCAACCCUCUCAGCCCAAAAUACAAACAAGUUGCUGGCAAUAAGCAUUAAUGAGCGUCCAGAUAUUCACAGAUCAAAAACAGGGGAAAGGAACCCAGAAAUGCACAAAACCAACAUACAUAUCUAUGCCAACAAAACCACCACUUUCACUACUAGUAUCAGAAUGUCAAAUUCAGUUCAUCGCCCCAUUAGCAACCUAGAAAAAACCCUUUUCCCUUUGCUAGUCCCAUCGUACUGGCCCUCCAACCUGUACCGUUUAUCUCGCCCAGACCACUUCUUAAAAGCCAUGAAUCCAAGUUUGACCAGGACAUAGCCAGAACCAACGCUCGCUAUGAAUAGAGUUUCAUUAUCUGCAGUCACAAACUAACCAAGAUUAGAAACAUUUCUACUGGAGGAUCAUAACCCCCCCCCCCCAAAACUCCAAAAAAUAAAUAAAUAAAAAAUUUCUUGUUAAUAUUCUGUAUAUUAUUAUUCUGUAUGAUAGGAAGGUAACUCAUUGAUCGCCAUUGUAGUAGGACCUGAAACCAAAAAAAAUUAUUCUGUAUAAUGUUUUCGAGAACGUAAAAUCGUAGACAAAAUUUAUCGCCCAAACGAAUAAAAAUAAUGGUCAGUAAAAAAAAUCCAAACUUAAUCGCAACGGAUCUAGAAAAAACUUUAUCAAAACCGCACUUAUAUCCCAACCAAUAGAUCUAGAAAACCCUAGCGAGAUAGCAUUGCAAGCUAUCGUCCAAACAACGGGAAAUCACAUUGAAUCAGAAAAGAAAAGCAAAAGCACAAAAAAAAAGUAGAGCACCUUCUAGAUCCGACUCAAAAAAAUAAAAAAAAUAAAAAAUAAAAAAACACAUAGGAAACUGAUCAUAAUCUAUUUGAGAGAGAUCGAGGAAGGAAAUUUUCUUCUUACCGGAGAAAUUUCAGCAACUGAAAUUGGGUAAAUGCCAGUUGGUGAUAGAGCAGCGGCUAUAGGGAUGAUGCAGAAUAACGCCAACGGACCUUCUGUCUCACAUCCUAUGCCAUUCUCUGUCUCACUCUUUAUUAUAUUGCUAUUUUUUCUACAUAAAUAUCAUAUUUUAGUUCUUUUUUAUUUCUUUAAAAUCCAAUAACUAUUAAUUGAAUAAUACAAAAAAUUUAACAAACUCAAAAAAUCAAAAUUCAUAAAAAAUGAGAUUUUUUAUGAAUUUUCUCGUAUGAAUGCCUGGUAGAAAAAUUUUUCUUUUGAUUGUUGGGUGUAGUCAGCUCAACAACUACUAGAAAUUUUCAAAAAAAAAAAAAAAACUGCUAGGCUAUUAGCCUUAAAGCCUGCAAUUUUUUUUUUAAAAAAAAAACUUGAAAACUAAGCCCGGUGGCCUUUUUGGUUAAUUUUUUUUAUGUUCAAACGUAAGAAAAAUGUCUAAACAGAUUUGCUAAAUCAAUUAUUUUUAUGUUCAACCUUAAGAGAAGUUUUUAGAUUAAAAAAAACCACAUCUCAUUCAAUUUACAAGAAAAUGCAUUCCCCAAAUCUUAAUGUGCAACAGUAAAUAAAUAUUUAAAAAUCUUUGAAAUAUAAUCAUUGAAAUUAUUUUGUAUAAGAUUUGGUUUUAUAUUUUUAUAAAACAUAUAGAAAAUUGACAAUUACAUAAAUAAUAUAUACAAAUAAAUUAUUAUUUGGUAGUAGGUAGUGAUAAGAAUAGAGGCAGAAGUAAAUACAUGGCAGUGGUUAGUUACACAUAAAAAGUAAUUAUUAAUCUAAACUAUAGUUUGACCAAUAUAACAUUGUUGUGCAAUAUAAAAACAGAAAAAAUAAAAAAUAAAAAAGAACAAAGAUUUGAUAACGUGAAAUGGUGAGAUGGUGAAGUUUAAAAAUUAAAAUGUUAACCAUUCAAAUGAUAAAAAUUUAAAAUAACUCUAAAUAGCAUAUUCAAAUGGUGAACUUUAAAACUAUGUGCACGAAAUGAUAAUAUCAACAACCAUUGCGCCUUAAUCAACUUAGCUUCAUACAACACCAAGUGAUAAAGGUAAGGGCAACGGGCGCAAUGGCCAAUACGUUUCAACAAUCUGUAACUAUAGAAUAGAAUUUUGUAGACUCCACAUAUGGUGUAAAAAAUGAUGUAUAAGAUGGAAUUUGGACCUUACAUUUUUUUUUUGGCCAAAUAUUGACCAUGAAGCUUCAGGAACAGUCCUGCCCCUCCUCCAGUAUUUAGUUUUGAAUCCAAUGAUGACAGUAUGCCAACUAGAUUGAUACAUAGUUUAGGACCAAAAUUUUGAUGUAAAGUAGUUACUCAUCAAUUUUGAUCGCAUUCACAUAGUAAUCUGUAUUUGAUAGAAUCAAUGAGUAUGUCCAAAUUUCAAUAGUUAACAAUUUAAGCAUAUGCAUACAAUUAGCAAAUCAUAAGAGAAACUUAUCUUAAUAACUAGAGAGUUUUAUAUUAUGCAAAAUUCUCAACCUGGAAGAUUACAAUAUAUGGAUAAACAAGUCUUUCCCCAAACUAGUUGCUACAAUUAUUAUGCAAGGCCAUAUAGGACAUGUCAAUAUACAACUUUAUGUUUGAGUAAGGAAUUCUUCAAGGCAAUUAUCAUGCAAAGAAUUUUCUUUUAACAAAUUUUAUGCCUUUUCACACCUAAGACCAUCAAGUCUUGAAACCUCCUAAGGGAAUGAUAAAUUUCAAAUCCUCAACAUAUUAUUAUACUACAUAAACUUCCUACGUCAACUACAAUAUCAAAUGCUUAGCAAAAUAAAAGUAAGAUGGUUAUCGACAAUAAGAGUGACAUUACAGCACUUAAGUAAUUAAAAAACAAAUAGAAAUUGAAUAUAUACAAAAUCUUACUUGAUCCUUCAAUUGAAUUUAAUAGACCAUAAAGUCAUUGCAAAAAGGGAGAAAACAAGAAAGAAAUGGAGGAAAACAGAGAUAAAAGAAUGCCAAGUUAGAAUUAUCUCAGUGGAAGCAUCACAUGAUAUCUUUUCUCCUAACAAAAAUACACGAAAUUUGUAGAUAAUUACAAAAUAAAACAAAAAAGAAAAAAAAAUGCGAAGUGAGAAAUCAAAUCUUGAGAAGAGAAAAGAAAGGAAUGAAUUUUUGUUUUAUUUUUCAUAGAAGAGGAUCACUGGCAUAAAAUUAAUGCUAAGAUCUUUUUAUAUAUUUUAAUAUUUCACCUUUUAUCCAUAAAGAAAUAUCAAAUAACAAUAUCAUCUUUCAAAUUUAGCACACGAAUAUCAGUUGACUAUAACAUUAAGAUAGAAUAAUAGAGCAAAUAUGAGAGAUGAAGAAGAAAAGAAAGAAAAGAAAAUGUAAACUGGUCUCAAAGAAAAAAUAAAGACCUCUCAUUGCUAAACAACUAAUCACUAGAAAAAAAUAAAAAAAUAAAAAGAACAUGGCAACAUUUUUAGCUAGAUUAGUUUGAAGAAAUAAAAAAUAAAAAAAUGAGGGAUGAUAGUGAGAAGAAGAAAAAGAGAUGGAGUGCAUUUUUUGAUAAUGUAAAGAUAUUUUAAACUUUAUGGCCAAUUGAAUGAAAAAGGGAAGGAAAAUUUUAGCAAAAAAAAAGGUUUCAUUUGUCAAAAGUUAAGGCAAUACGCGGGCCAAAAUGAUGGGAUGUUAUAGUAACUUGGUUUUCUUCAUAUAUACAAGGUAGAGAUAGAUAGACAUUUUAGAUUCAUAAAAUGUUUUUGUAUUUUGCAUCUUCUAACUUCGAACCUUGGAUACUACGUUGGUAAUGUCAUCCAUUUGUAUUCCUUAAGAAAGAGAGCUGCACCAAUCGUCUCUCAUAUAUCACAUAUGUGAAAAUUUAGUCUCUUAUAACAAAAAUGAUCAGUUUUGAUCCCUAACAAACAAAAAAUGAUCACCUUUAGUCCCUUUUCACUUUUUCGAACCAAUUUUGGCCGAAACUCAUUGGGUCCAUAUGCAAUGCCCAAUUCCUAAAGGGUAAAAGUGACAAACCACUGUUGAUCAAUUAUGCGAGGGACCGACUGUGCAAAACUUUAGUUAAACAUUCAUAAAAAAAACACAAAAACUAAGAAGCAUACUUUUGGCUUCAAAUUCAGGACAGUUGUCUUGGAGAAGAGCAAAAGCUUGUUUUGUAGCAACACGAACUGCCUUUUUGGAUGGAUCGAUUGAGUUCUUGAGAUCAUUGAUCUGAAACAAGGAAUUGACACCGCCAGGCUUGAAAUCAAGCUUUUGAAUCCCCUUCUCCAUAAGCUGGACUCUCCAUCUCAAGAACUGAUCCUUAGUCCCAAAUAUCUUCUUGUAAAGCUCCUCAUCAUCCAAAACUCCAAAAAUGUUGUAAUAGAUGGGCCUUUGCAAUCAAUCCCAUUCAUGUAUGCAACAGAUGCAAGAUCAUCCCCUAAAUCUUCAUCCAAAACUGAAUCAUUGUUCAACUCUUUUCUCCAUUGAAGUGUAUUCUUCAGCAUCUCAAAUGCCUCAUUGACUUUGAAUUCCUUAACCCUCAAAAAUUUCAAGAGAACCACAUCAGUUCCCUCAUGCCCUUUACUAGCCAAAAGAGACACUCCCCAAAUGGAGAUAUCCUUGUCAAUUUCAACAUCUACGUCAGCCUUUUCACCCUCCUCACCAUUAUCAUCACUCUUUUCUUCAGCAUUUUCUUCAGUUUUCUUCUCUUCAUCACCUUCAUUUUCCUUCUUUCCAUUUUUAUUCUCUUUAACUUUUUCUUCACCUUUUUUUGCAGCCUCAUUUGUUUCUUCUUUCUUCUCUUCACCUUCCUUUUUCGAUGACUCCUUUAGAGCCUCUUUAGCCACUUCUUUCUUAAAGAGCUUGUUUCCCAGAAUGGCUUUUUCCAGCUUCGACUUCAAAAUCAUUCAAAGCCUUCUUCUCAAACUCUUUGAGAUCAGAAUGGAAAUUAGUUUAUUCCCUAUAAGAAGAACUCUUCUCAACCAUCUUUCCUUCUUUGCAUUCAUCACCAUCAGUCACAUCCUUCACUUGCUGCACUUUCUCCAUCUCCUUUUCUUCCUUUAAAACCUCUUCCUUUGUAACAGCCACUUUAGCCAACACCUGAGUUGCCUGUGAUUUCUCCUCAACAGUCAUGAUAACAAUGCCUAAAAUGAACGCAAAAACACCAAAAAAAUGAACAAAAUCAUUCAAUAAAUUAAUCAAUUACAAACCAAAUACAUAAAUUAAAGAAAGCCCAACUCAUUUUUACUUCUGAUUUUGCUGAAUUUCUAUCACAAACUUUUCUCUUGCUUCUCCAAUCUCCACUGCUGGUUCUUCUUUGGCCUUCUAAAGAGUUGAGAGAAGGAAAUCAAUAAUGGUUUGAGAGGAAGGGGAGAAGGGAGUUUGACUCAUGAUUUGCCACUUUUAUCCAUUAAAAAUUGGGCAUUGCAUGUGGACCCAGUGAGUUCCGGCCAAAAUUUGUUCGAAAAAGUGAAAAGGGACUAAAAGUGAUCUUUUUUGUUUAUUAGGGAUUAAAACUGAUUAUUUUUGCUUUGAGGAACUAAAUUUUCACAUUUAUGAUAUGCGAGGGACGAUUGGUGCAGUUCUCCCUUCUUAAAAUUAAUGUCAAGCUAACUCAUAGCACAAUACAUGUCACGUGAUGUGCGACAUGUCAAGUGGUACUAACACAUGGUUUGGACACGUGUCAGGGGUAUGACACAUGUUUGUCGAGGUAGACGUGGCAAUUUUUGGGUAUUUGCAGUUUUAGUACUUUAUGUUUGGAAUUAUAUAUUUAGGCCACAUGUAGCUUCUCAGCAUUCAGGACUUAUUUUCAUGUAAUAUCAUUUAAGUCAUGUCCAUUUACUUUAGAUAUUACACAUAAAUAAGGAAAUAUCCUCUAUUUAUAUUUAAUAAAAAUAGUUUCAAAGCCAAAUUUCUAAAAAUAAAUUCCAAGUUUCCAGUUUAGGGUUGUACAACUAGAAAAAUUCUAGAAUGAUAGGGUUAGCCUAAUUUCAAAAAGAAAAAGCCAACCCUAAUUUUCUAGAAUAGGGUUAACCUAAUUUAAUCAUAAGAAACAAAUAUCGAGAUUUUUUAUUCUCACUUUCUAAGUGUUUAAAAUACCAAACUUUUUGUGGUACUUAGUCUUCACAAACUGAUCAAACUUAGGUACAUGUAUUCCUGAACCCUGAUAUUACUCGAUAUGCAGCUAUAAACAUCCAAGGGUAUAUGUUCAUUCUAAUUAAGUGCUUUAUUGUGUCGAGAAACCUUCUCUCAUAAGUGAAAUUAUAUGAUCUAAUCGUGGGAUUUGACAUUGGCCUUAUGUCUUUAAACUAUGCACAUAGCAUUCACCUAUGCACCAGGCCUAUUGGAAAAUCAGUACGACCACGAUCCUCUCCACCCAAACUUUUGGUCUUCGAAAUACCAGACUUUUGGUCCACUACCACACGCAAAAAGGUUAAUACUCCCUCCGUCCCACUUUGAUAGUCAUGUUUUCCUUUUUCGUCUGUCCCAAAUUAUAGUCCACUUUCCAAUUGAAGAAUGUAGUUGUAUUUUAAUUUUUCUAAAAUACCCUUAUUCAAUGUAAGUUGUUAUUACUAUAAACCUACCCCAUUUAAUGAGAGUUGAUUAUUUUUUUACCAUCAAUUCAAAUUCCCAUAAAGUUGUACUCUAAUUCAUUUGAGGGUAUUUUAAAAAAAUAAUUAUCUAAAUUGAUUGUUCCAAUAAAAUUAAUUACUUUUUCUUAAACUGUGUGAAAAAAAAAUCAGGACUAUCAAAAUGGGACGGAGGGAGUAAUGUAAUUCCAAGGCAACCAAAAAUGUGAACUCUGACUAAACAUCUUGAGGCCCAAUAUAUAAAGAGGUUGACCUUUGACCAAAAAAAUCAACAGGCCCAACGGCUACCAAUAACUGUGUGGGCCAUUACACUUCCAAAUAGCUGCAAAAGGUUAAAUCGGAAAAUCAAACUGAGAAUCUCCCAUCAAGAGUUGUACCAUAUGGCUCAACAAAAUGAUUCACAUGGACAACAAAAUUACUAAAACGCCAACCACCUUGGACAGACCAAAACCUUCAAAAGCUUGGAAAAGGGUAAAUCAGUAACCCAAGCUAACAUCCGCUGCUUUAAAGAUUGUACCACAAGCUCCAUCAAUGAUUUACAUGACAUGGAAAAGUACAAAAAAAGCCACGGGGAGACGGACGAAAAGCUUGCCGAAGCUGUUGCCAAAGUGCUUUUCAUACUACAUGUAGGAUUAUUAUUUUUUUUUUUGGAGCUUGAAUUAAAAUUUUCUGUUUGUCACAUAAUAAAGCCUUUCUGUAAAAAUUUGACCAAGAAUCGUGCUACCAAAUGCAAAUUUAAAGGCGAAUAACAUACUUUAUUAAUACUUCAAAACUCUAUAACAACGGGGCAACCUUAAUUGGUAGAAAUAUGUGCAUAAGAAACACAAUACUUCAAAAUUCCAGCCUCUCCGGUUGGAGACAUUCAUGGUAGGAUAGCAAGCUUGGUGGUGCUGGUUCUGUACAUUGUUGUGUUGUCCGCCUUUUUCUGGGCAGAUUGCAAAAAACGUCUCAAAACUUGUAUUUGUUUAAUACUAUAUAGUUUAGAUAGAAAAUCCAGUUUCAAAGUUUUGGUGAUAGCAGACGGCUGAACUUACCUAAUCUUGAUAUCACACUGUAAUAGCUUAGUAUAUUAAAACAGAGACACCAGAUUUUUCUUUUUUUUUAAAGAUAGCUGUAGCAACUAAUUAAAGUGCUAUUUCUUACUGGGCUUGAUUCUAUGGUCAACUCCAUGCUCAUUGUAAGUAGCGUUCGUAAACUUUUGCAGGCCCAAGUUCUUGGCCUCCUGUCGCCUUGCUGGGUUUAUGCACGAGCAUCUUCCCCAAUGGUUAUGGGUCUACAUUAUAAGGUAGUGAGUGAUGGUGAGUUUGAAGGAAGUCAGGCACCCAGUGGUGGUGGAGUCUUGCUUUGUCCUAAAAAUGGAAAAUCAAACAAAUUGGCACUCGCUCAAAAUUUGAUCUUUAUAUCUAAGGAAUUGGUUGACCGUUGAUUUUUCAAUCCAAGAAUUUGCCCAAAUUUCGAGUAACUGUAAUGUUAUUGUGUACUAGUGCAGUGUGUAUUCCUUAUACAACACACAAUUUUCUAUUCCAAUUCAAGAGCCCGAGCAAAUCCUCCAUUGAUAAACACUGGAGCUCAAUUCAUCAGGGAGAGCAGAAGACCAAGCAGCCAAAUCAGGCAAAGCCCUUGUCAAUGCAAGAAAGUUUGCACCUUUUUCUUUUGGCAUUAACUUCCAGUUCAGCUCCCCGGCACCAGGAAAUGCUUUCCUCAUUGCUCUAAUUGCAUUAUUUUGUUCCCAACCCAGUUCCAAAUUCCCUUCCAAUAAUUCUUCACGUGCAUCAGAAGAAACUCCCCCACAAUUCACCAUUAUUCUACCCUUUGGCAUCAGCUUCUCUCCAAUUUCCGCCCAAGUUUUCACCUCCUCCAACCCCCUUAAAACCUUUCCGUCCGCAAACAAAUCCACGAUGAUUCCGGCGUAUCCUCCGGCAACACUGGCAUUCGCCGAGAGCGCAUCGCCGAUGCGAACUCUUAAUCCUCCUCCUCCGGCUUCCGCACGGUUCUCGAGCUCAGAGAGCCCUAGGUAUUCUCUGGAUUUAUGAACUAAGAUUUCGUCGAUCUCCCACCCUUCGAUCUGCAACGACGGCCACAAAUGAAGCAUUAAAUCAGCUGCUGUUCCGCCUCCCAAGCCAAAAAUCGCAAUCGGACCGGCAGGAAUAAUCCGCGGCAAGCUGGCGAACUCGUCCCAAUACGAACCAGUCCAUUUACUUCCGCCCUUGCCGAAAAUGCUGUGAAUCUUGUGGCUGGAGUCGAGAAGCAAAAGCCUCGACUCUGCAGUUUCCAAAAUCAUAAUGUCGUUGUAAAUGCUUCGAACCGCAGUUAAUAACUUGAUAUCUUCCGGCAGCGGUUCGUCGGUAUUUUGACCAUGUCCGUCUUCAGCUGACUGAUGCUGAACUUCAUUUUUAGCAGUGCUGCUUCUUCUCCGGGAAUGGAAGAGCUGUACGGUCCUUCCGGUGAACGGCAAGGAAUGUAUUGAUGAAGAGGCGCGGCGACGGCGGCAGCAUUGAGAAGGUGGGUAGCUGGGCGAUGACAGAGGAAGGGAGGAAUAGGUAGAUGAUAUGAUACUACUGGUAGAAGAAAGAGUCUUCAUCGAGGAUAAGAAUUUUUUUUCUUGUCGACUGGUUGAGCUGACUAUUUUCGUGGCUUCGUUCGACCAAACAAACGACUGCGACUGCGACUACUGCGACUGCGCCUGCGCCUGCGACCACGGAGCACCUAAUCCCCGCGUAAUAGCAUGCCACUAGUUGGAAUAAAUAAUGGGCCAUUCGCAUUAUGCCAUGGGGCUGGAAUCUCUAUAUACUGUAUAGAUUGACCUGGCAUUCAUUCAUAGAUCCAUUAGUCCUUCACGAAUUUUGUGCACCGCUCUACUACAUAUACUAGCAUGAUUCUGGCCGUGCAUUGCACGGCCUACCCACUGAUAUGAUCAAACAACUUAAUCACACCUGGGCAAUCAGGACCAUAUAUGUAUAUAUAUGAUAUGACCAACUGAAAAAUGAAGAGGUAAAUAAUGAAUAUGCAAAUCACAACCAUAGAUUACAUAAACUCAAACAUUCAUGUCUUAGCAAAACACACACUUCAGUUCAACCCACAGUUACAUAUUAGGGGGUUUAAAUAGGCUUCAUUGCCUAUUGAGUUACAACAUUGAUGGUUAAACCAUUCAUAGAUAUAUUAGGAUCCAUUACUUUCUAAGUCAAAAGAAUAAUGGAUCAUAAUAUAAUUCAAAAGGCAUUGUCUAAGCAAUCAAGAUAGUCAUCAAGGCAAUGAACAAAAGAUAUAACAAAAGUGCAGAAAUCAGGCAUAUCAGUCUUCCUUUGCUUUAGGUUUCUUGGCUGGACUGUCUUUGAUAUUUGCAGGUGGACCAUACGGUUUUGCAGGUUCUUUGGCAAACUCUUCAGGAGCCUUUGUUGGUUGUUUAGGAUCUGUGUCUGCUGGUAAAUCUUCUGGAAAUUCAAGGCUUCUUUUUGCUCCACUGGUUGCAGAUGUCUGGCUGUCUUUGUAAGAACUGGCUCCAGCAAUUUCUUCAAGUAGCAACUUUGUGCUUGGUGUGAACAAUUGAUCCUUUGAUGAUGUUUCUGUAUGCCUUGCUGAUGAACUGCCAAGUGCAGAAGAAACUUGAGUGUUUUCUGGAAGUUCCAGAGGAAUGGGACGGUCUGAUAGUUCAGCUGCAGUAUAAGCCUUGAUGACAGUAUUUUUUUUCUGCAGUUGACCUUGGAAAGGAGUCUCAUAGGAUUUCAGAAAACAGACCACUGUGUACUUUUUCAAGGCAUCAUUAAGUUCAGUAUCUAUUUGAAAGCCCUGCACCAGAAAAUUUUUUUAGUUAGGUUCAGCGAAUUCCUUUCUAUGUAUAUCUGUAUUUAUGCCUGAAUAUAAGACAGAAAAUUCAUACUUACAUCUUCUUGUGCUUGUUUAAGCUGCAAUGGAGUGAACUCAAUCAAUUUUUCAGCAUCUUCUCCAGAUAUAAUGCAAUGUAUUGAGCUCGAAGCAUCAGUUAUAAUAAUUGGAAUGCGAGCCCUUUAAUUGAGUGGAGGAAUUAAGAUUAAUAUAUGGUAACAAAUGCGAAUAAUAUUUAAUUUAGAAGCAUAAGUUAAUGAUCUAACCUGAGUUCAACUUCACUUUGCUGUUUGCAUGAAGGACAGUGGAUGAUCCAGUCAAUGUCAGCAUUCACAAUUUUGUGACAAUUCGCACAAGCUGUAGUCCAAUAUUUGCUGAAUCCAUAUGCAAGUUUGACAGUUCCUUGCACCCAAGCUGCCUUUUGCUGAGGCAGGCAACCAUGAAUGGUAUUUGAAUGUGAAUUAGACAGAAAAUAGUUAUAUUUAACCAAAAUUGUAGAAUAACAAUAUGGUACUUACAACUGGAAAUGAUGCCUGAAAAUUGCUGAUUGCUUUGAUAUCUUCUUCAUUUGGAGGAGGAAGUAAACAGUUUGCAUCAUUGUAUGUUUUAGCAUCAAGCAAAUUCCUGAUUUCUUCCUUGUUCAAGCUGAACCUGAAUGAUUAUGUUUAGAGCACAAAUACAAAAUUUAUCAGUAAAAUAAGUUGAUAAUUUAUGGAAAAAACUAAAAAGAAAAUUAUACUUACCAUUGCCUCAAAGAUAGGUCAUCUGGAAGUGGAGGACUAAUCAGAAUUCCAGAUGAAUACCUUGUAGUGAAUGACAAAGCUGUAAAAAUGAUGAAAUGGUUUAGUAAUUAUAACAUCAAGUACUUAAAAGACACACAAUAAAGAAAUCAUAAUGCAUAAUGAAAAAUUUACUAUUGAAUGUGGUAACUUUAACACGGAGAGCUAUGAUUAGAGGGGCAGUGCUAAUCAUGUCUGCUAUUUUGCUCCCUUCAUCAUGUUCAAAUUCAUUCCAGAGAGUCAUAAGCAUCAGUUUCUUCCUGUCAGGUAUAACAAAUAAAUUAUAACUACUGCCAUUAAUCUAAAAUGAGUUAAUAAAAUGGUAGUAUUCAGGUUUGAUUACUCUUCAUUCACUAUUAUAAUGUCUCUAGAAAUAGAAGCCGGAUCUGGCUGUUUUAUUGGGAAUGCGUGAAUGACAAAGCCUCUAAUAUCUGAAACAAAAGUGUUGAUAUGAAUGUAAGAAAUCAAUAAAAUGUCAAAUGACUGUCAAGUAAAUUAAAAAAUAAUGUAACAAAAAUUACUGCAAAGGUUAUCUGAAUCAGCAUAUUUGUGCAGAUCAGAGAAGUUUGUCAGCUCAAAUAUGCAAGGCAGCAUAGGUGGCACAGGUUCAGCAUAAUUUUCAAUCAAAGUCUUGUAGUUCAAAAUCCAGGAGCAUUCAUAAGUCCCAACUCUGUAUGUUGGGUCAGCAGGAACCACAAUUGCAUUAGAAACAUAAUAUCUUUGAUAAGGCUGCAGAAAUUUGCUGAAGGUCUUGAUGUGUUGUUCAUAAGUCACAACAGAAACUUUUGUUCCCUGAUUAGGAUUAGGAAAAGUUAGUUAUAUAUAUAUUAUGAGUUAUAGCUAUAACUAUAAUGUUGAUGGCUAACACUAUAUUUAUGACACAGAAAUUAAAAUUAUAGGAAUGCAUACUUUAAUAGUUAGGCAAGUAUUCACUUGUAAUGAAACUAUAGUUUUGAUAUCAGUAGAUGAAACUAUGGUUUGUAUAGAUGAAAAGGUUAACUGCCAUAAGUAUAUCAAUUGUUCCAGUUCAUUAGUCCUGUGCAAAUUUAGAGAAUUAACAUAUUAUACUCCCACAUGCUGUCUGGUACAGCGUGUCUUGAUGACCAGCAGAAAUAUGCAAUUUUUUCUCCCCUUAAGCUUUUACAAUUCCAUUAUCUGUUUAGUGUGUGUGUUUUUUGUGAGAUGUAAUAAGCAAUAAUAUGACAGGGUAAACUGGAAUUGCAUAUGUAUAUGUUUGUGAUAUGCUCAUAACAAAGGUUUGUAAUGCAAGAAUAACUUCGGUAUAAGGUAAAAUUUUUUGGUAUAAGUUUGAAAAUUGAGUUCUCAUUCACUCUUUUUUUUUUGAUGUCACAGAUUGAGAACAUUCUUCUUUUUCUUCUAGACCAACAAAGCCUACUUGCUAGCUGGAUAGAAAAACUUAAUGAACAGCAAGAUUCCCUUCAGGAGCAGGUUGAUAUAAGUAAGAUAUCAGAGGUCUAAAUUCACUGAUUACUAUGUCAAAAGUGGUGCUAAUCAUCCUUAUUCUCAGCUUCAGCAAGUUUUCAACCAUGUGGUAAUGAAGAAGCAAAUCAUAAAAUGUUCGUAUACAGAAUCUAAAAUGUUCUCAUCUAUGAAUUUAAUUAAUGACCAGAGAGAUAGGAAAGAAUUGCUGACCUCAGCAUCUGUGAGCAGAAACCGCAUAAUUCGCCUAGGUGGAACUUCACGAGUUAAUUGACUGUGGCCUUUGUGAACAACUUGUGCUAGAACAGUCCACUUUUCUGCUCCUUUCUGAAUGUUUAGUACCGAAGAUAUAUGUCUAGGCAUGAUGGGCUGUAUUUGUAGAGAAAUUAGAUAGUGAAUUAAACAAAAUAAUAAAGUUGGAAAAAAAGCCAUGAAUAUUAAAACCUGAUAAUGUAAUCUGGGAAGCUUCAAGAACUUCUUUAUAUACUAUAUUUUUAGUAUGAUCAGUGCAUGAUUCAUCAAAAUAAGCUGGCCUAAUAAGUACUUUUACAGCCGAAGCUGUUUUGGCUCUUGAAAGUGCAACAUAUAAUUGGCCAUGUGAAAACACAGGUUCUUUCAAAUAAAUACCAACAAAAUCUAAAGUUUGGCCUUGUGCUUUAUUUAUUGUCAUUGCAAAGCACAAACGAAUUGGAAAUUGUGUUCUCUUAUAUGGAACUGGAUAUUGUUCAUCACUUGGUGGCUGCAAGGAAAUUCUAUGUAUAAAAACUUCUUUGCCACAAAAAUCACCCACUGCAAUUUUAGCACAAAUAACAUUCUUGCUCAAACUCUUUAUUAUGAGUCUAGUUCCAUUGCAUAAUCCUUCAGCAGGAUCAAGAUUUCUUAAAAGAAUUAUUGGGGCAUUGGAUUUUAAGAGUAACCUAUGUGGAGGUAAAUUGCUUGGCGUAAGAGUAUUCAAAAGAUCAAUAUAUUCAGAUUGAUGAUUUUCAUUCAGUGUUUCAUCAUAGCUUAGUUACUCAGUCAAAUCUCCUGGAAAUUUUUUGAUCAAUUGAUCAUUUAUUUCAUCUACAAAGUUAUUCUUUGUAGUUAGAAUUGCUCUAUUUUGUGAGCAAUACAGUUUGUUUGAAGGAUCUUUAAAUUCAGGAUACACAAUAUUGAUUAGCUUUUCAAUUGCAUCAGUCUCAUUAUUAUAGUUAACUAUAAUUGAAGAUGGAAGUUUUACUAUGUCAUUCUCAUUUGUUUCUUGUGUCCCAUCUCCAAUUCUUAAAAGAAACUGCGUGAAUGAAGGAUCUAAUUUUGCUCUCAUGUUCUCUAUUAAUUGCAAUUUCUCUAAUUUGUGCCAUAAUGGAGAAUUUAUCAAACAUGCAUUUAUCAUUUCAGCUUUUGUUCCUUUUCUAACAACUGGCAACGUUUGUCUAAAAUCUCCACCAAGUACAACUACCUUUCCCCCAAAUAUUUCUUCUGAAUUCAUUAAAUCUCUUAAGAGAUCAUCUAAAGCUUCAAUUGCUGCUUUUUUAGCCAUUGGUGCUUCAUCCCAGAUUAUGAGUUUUGCUUCUUUGAUCAUUGCAGCUAAAGAAGUUUGUUUACUGACCCGACAUGUUGCACCAUCAAAGAUAUAUAUUGGAAUUUUAAAUCUGGAAUUUGCAGUCCUUCCACCUGGUAAAAUGGAAGCUGCAAUUCCUGAUGUAGCUGUAGCAAGAGCAAGAUAGCCUUUAGAUCUAACAUCAGCUAACAAAGCUCUAUAGAGAAAUGUUUUUCCAGUACCACCUGGACCGUCAAUGAAAAAAACACCAGAUCUAUCUGAGUAAAUUCUCUCAGAUAUGACUACGAAUGCUUUUUUCUGUUUUUCAUUGAGUAGCUCAAUUGAAUUUAAGUCAAUUUCUGAAAUGACAAUGUUUCUUUCUGCUCUUAAUUCUCGAGUUUCAUUGUCUAUAUUUUCAUAAGAGAAUCCAAUGGGAAUCAAAUUAUAUGAAUGUAUACUUUUUCCCAUCGAUUGCAAAAAUCCAUCAAUUUGUUGCAAGACAUUUCUUUUCACUUGUGUAGAUGUCAUUGCUGAACAUUUGGCAAAAUCUUCUGACAUAGAAGAUUCAAAAUUUUGCCACAAUGCCUUUGGGUCAUUAGGGCAAGAAUAAACCAAAAGUGUUGCAAAGAGUCUCCUCAUUUCAUAGGGCAUAUGAAAAAGUGAGGCUUCUUGUAAACAAAUUUCUUGGCUGUUAUCAUUUUGUAACAAGCCUCGAAUUAAUGCUGCUUCUUGGAACGUUUCUACUUGAACUCCAUUAAAGGUUCUUAGGUCAUCAAAUGAAAUUGGACAUCGAACCUUUGAUAAGAGUAAUCUCAAGUAGUAUCGUUCUCCUUCGGAAGGAUGAGCAGUCAUUAUUCGACCUAUUGAUUCACCUCUUUCUCUCAAUUUCCAGUAUUUUUGCUUAGGUAACCAGACAAAAUGAUCAGGAAACUCUACAUAAGUACAAUUUAGAUCCUGAGCUGCUUUAUCUGUCCUAUUCAUGUAAAAAAAUUCAGUGAGCAUUGUUUUUUUCAAAUGAUAGUUAUCGACAACAUUUUGAAGAUUAGCUGUUUUUUUGAAACUCAUUGGCUGAUAAUUCUCCAAAUGUAAUUGUAAAUGAAUAAUAGGUGGCUUUAUUUCACUCAUACAGAAUCUAAAAAUUCUCCAUGCUGCCUCAGGUGGAGAAACCCACCUAGCUGAUACAUAUUGUUUAAUUUCAUCAAUUUCUGAAUCAGAUUUAUUAUUCACUACAGAGAAGCUAGUUCUAUCAUGACCUUUAUAGAUAUACUUGUAAAUGUAUUUGACUGCUUUAAUUGUAGAGCAUAUUUCAACAUUAAGAUGGCAAUCAAAUUUAGCCAAAAGAUAUGGAUUGUAUGGUACAACCCAUCUGUUAUCUAAAAGAGCUGAUUUAAUCUUAAUUUGAACUCCAUCAUCUCUUCUUCGAUAUUCAGGAUAUGCAUUAAGAGUUUGGAUAGUUUCCUCACAGAAAUUUUUAGGAAAAUUAUUCUUGCAAGUUCCAUUUUUUCUCAUGCAUACAUUUGUUGGAUCAAGUGAACCACAUGGUCCAUGAAGCAUAUGUUUAAUGACCAAAUUAUAUAGAUGUUCAUUUUUCUCUUUAUUUGGUAUCUCAGCACAGACAAUUUUAUCAUAUUCUUCAGGGGUAUACAUCUUGAAUUUUGACUUUAAAAUUAGCAAGAAAUGUGCAUGUGGCAGUCCACGUUUUUGGUAUUCAAUGACAUAAGUGUAAGCUGCCACUUCACCGAAGAUGCAUUUUUUCAAAAGUUCAUCUUUAAGCUGUUCUAACUUAGCAUGAAAUACUCUAGCAAGCAAAUCUGGUCUGUUUUGUGCCUCUUCUUUGUCUAUUAAGUGUUCUUUUAUUUCUGGCCAAUUAGGAUUGCAAGUCAUGGUCAGAAAUAUAUCCGGUUUACCAUACUUCUGUACUAAUGUCAUUGCAUCCAUGUAUUUACGUCUCAUAUUUCUCGGCCCUCCAAUAAAUGAUGGCGGUAAUAUGAUACGUUGGCCAACAUUAGAUGCUUGACUCUCACCUGAUCCUAAAGCAUCUAUUAUGCCUUUCAAGAACUCUCUCCUAAUUUCCUCUUGUUGUAAUCUAUAGAAGUCAAGUCUUUGUGUCUCAAGCUUCACAUAUUGAUCAACAAUAUAUUGUUGUAGGAGGCGAGCAAAAUGUAAUAGCCAAGAUUCAUCAUUGUCUCUAAUCUGAAGUUUAUAACAAUAGUAUUCUCGAAGGGACACAAAAUUUGGAUCUUCAUGUAUGUUUUCCAUUGCUGUGGAAAAAAUAAUAGUACAUUAUUAAAUGUGUAAUCAUAAAUAUUAAAUAGGUAAAAUGAAAGAUCAUGGUAUAUAGUUAUUAUACUAACCAUGUUCUUCAUUUUGGAUUAAUUGUUCUGCUGUAGCAGCAUUUGCAGGGGAAAUCAAAUCUGCUACAGGUUGUUUUUUUUUCCUCUUUCUUCCAUAUACUUUUGCUCCUUUCUUUGGUAUUUCUUGGUGCCAGCCAAGAUCACCAAAAGGAAAAAGUAUUGGAUAUUGGAGUGGAUCAUAACAUCCAUAAUAGUACUGUAUAUUUUUUGAAGCACCACUAUGGGUAUGAACUCUAAUAUCACGCCUGCCAGUUUCUCCAUUUUCUUGCCCCUCAACCCACAAACCAGCAACUUGUGAAGUUGUCGGUCUAUUAUAAACUCUUUGAUCAACACCGGGCAGAGUUUUUAACACAAUGUAGUAGUUAUCUAAAUUAGGUACCUCUCUCAAAUUUCUAAAAAAUUUUGCAUAUGGAUUAGACUCAAGAACUUGCAUAAUUUUUCUAAUCACACUUUCAGAUAGUCUAGGACAAGCUGCUAAUCGAUUGCUUACUUCAGUUUCAAAAUCAUUGAAAUAUAACUGUAAAUUAUUACUAUGAUCAUUGCUUGAAUUGAAAUCAUUCAGAAAAUGAUAUAUUUGUCCUUGAAUUCUAAAAGUGUAAAUUCCUUUAUUCCUUUUUGAGAGAGUCAGAUCAGCUUUAACACCGAAGGAAGUGAAUCCAAAAUGAUUAUUAUACGUUCUAAUAAGAGCUCUAAAAGAUUGUGCCUCUUGUGAAGAUGAAGUCAAUAGCUCUUUAAAGAUAUCUGGAAUUUUAUUUUGAGCUAAAAUAACUUCACCAUCUUGGCAACAAAAAUACGCUGUCUCAGAAAAAAACUUCUUCGCUCCACAAUGAGGACAAUCUAGUUGGCGUGGUAGGAUAUCAGCUUUGUCAGGAAUUAUAUCCAACAAAGCUCUUCCUGUUUUGUAUCCUCUUCCUAAAAUAUAAUUAUUUUAGAGCACUUAGUAGUCAAAUCAUUCAAUUGAUUUUAAUGCUAGUUUAAAAACAGAUAUUAGAAAACUUAAAAAUAUUAACUAUAGACCUGGCUGAGUUUUUUUCAGAGAUGAUCUGCGAUGUUUCGAACGAGAUCGAGAAGUACACUGAACAUCAACAGCUGAGGAACACUCAUUCACAAUCGUGAUGCUUGUUCGAUUUUCAAUUAUAUUUGUAGAAGCAAUAGAUUUAGAUUUUGCUCUCAAUCUUUUGUUUUUCCAUCUAAAGUAGGCCAGUCUCCUAUAUUCUUUCUUAUUUAUUACCUCUCCAUGAUAUAUUUCAGAAUAUUCAAGAGGGCUCUUAUCAUAAGGACCAAUUGAUCUAGAUUUUCCUCUCAAUUUUUUCUGUUUCCAUCUAAAGUAGGCCUGCCUCCUAUAUUCUUUCUUAUUUAUCACCCCUUCAUGAUAUAUUUCAGAAUAGUCAAGAGGGCUCUUAUCAUGAUAUAUUUCAGAAUAGUCAAGAGGGCUCUUAUCAUGAUAUAUUUCAGAAUAGUCAAGAGGGCUCUUAUCAUAAGAUAUAACAGAUGUACUACCUAUUAUAGGUAUAUGGCUAUUCACAGAAAGGGGAGGAAUAUAAUUAGCUAGUUCCAUAUCUAGAUUUGAUAUUUCAGAAUAGCUAAUUUUUUCUUUAACGUUUGCAACUUGUUCACUCUGAAACUGAUUUUCUAUAACAAAUGGUUCCUCAUUGCAGUUCACUUGUGACAAAGUAGCAGGUUCAACACCACAGAGGUUGAUUAAAGAUGAAUUCAUUGUAGGCAAACAAUGCUUGUCAGUAGAAUCAGAGGUAUAAUGAACUUCUCCAGUAUUUUUUGGAGGAAAGUAAACAUUUUUACCUCUGCAGUGAUUUGGCAGAAUUACAUUCCUAUCGAUGUGAUUUUGUGAAGCACAUGUUUCAACAGAGUGCUUUUCACGGAUGUCAUUCUCACAGUUGAUUACAAUAGGAGAAUAUGGUUGAGAAACAGAAGAAUCAAGAGUAAACUUCAUAUGCUCAGUCAGCAUAUUUAAGUUUCUCCUUUUGUUUCUUUCCAACAUUGCUAAAUCAAGGGAAUCAUCAAACAUCUCAUCUAUCAAUCUAAAACCUGAACUAAAUUUUCUUUUUUUCUUCAUUUUGAAACACAGAAGAUCAAAAUCUAAUUUUACUAUAAAUAAAGCAAGAUACUAAACCAAAGGUACACAAAAUGACAGAAUCAAAGCAUCCUAGAAUAGCUAAAACUAACUAAUAUAUAUAAAAUGACAUCCUUAAUAACCCGAAGUACAAUGAUACUAAAUGAUGUAAUUAUUGAAUAGAUAAACAGCUAACAGCAUCAUGCAACAUUUGAAAUUAAAAACAGAGGCAAAAGUAAACCAUCAUAGCAUAACAUCAAACACAUCGCAUUUCUUAUAAUAAUUAAAAGAAAGCAAUAAACAGAGGCAACAACAAUGGGAAAAAAUUGCAGUUCAAAUCAGAAGGUGAGAAAACAGAAACAUACCUAUAUUUUCUUUGCUCGCCUGAAUGUUUGCAAAAGUCCGGCAGCAUUUGAAAUUAAUAUAAAAACAGAGGAAAAAGUAAACGUAAGCUUAUCGAAAAAUUAGCAUCAUAAUUAUUCUUUUAUGCAUAAAAUAAAAGACAUGGCAGUCUUUAAUUAACGGAAGGCAAUAAAUGAACAGAAGGUAAGAACAUUCAUCAAACUAAAAAAUUGCAGGUUGAAAUAAAAAGACACAGAAUAGAAAAUACCUAGAUUUUCUUCGGUCGUCUGCUGAAGACCGGCAAAACUGAGGAACAAAAGUAUAUAUAGGACUGGGAAUAGUAAAUUUUGAAAGCUGCAUCAUAGCAUACGUCGGUAGAACAGGCAUCCCUAAAAUGAGCUGAUUUUGGGGAAAAAGAGAUAUCAGUGAACUGUUUUUGGGGCAAAAGAAGAAUUGACGUCAAUUGGGCGACUUUUUUAGAGACAAUCGAAAGGAAGUACAGUUAAUUGCUCGAGGAAUUGACAGAAAAUCGAAGAUUUUGCAGGGCCGUAGAUUUUGGGGAAAAGGAAUUUUACUGACCUAAUUUUUGGGGCAGGCCAAAAAUUCACGUGCGUGUGGAGGAUUUUCUGGGUCGAAAUCAAAUUGAAGGACAAUUUAGUUGUUGAAGGAUUCGGUAAGAAACUGAAAAUUUUGCAGGCCGAUAUAGUAUAGCGGCCUAUUCGAUCGAGAGAAAGAAAAAGGCUAUUCGACAGAAAAGAAGGGGAAGGGAAUUCUGGGUAAAUGAAGAAAGAAGGAAGUUCAAUAAGUAAUAAGACAAUUAAGGUGCUGUUGACUAACUUCAACAUCAGUCAUCAGUCAUAUACUAACGGCUAAGCACAUUACUUCUAACGGGCAUAACUCCAUUAAUUUAUAUUAAUUAUAUAAUGAAUCAUAUAAUCUAAUUCAAAACAGCCCAUGUGAUAAAAGGGCCCACAAAUAGUUUACAAUUAUUUGCACUUGAUCAGAAAAUUAUAAAAGAAAUAUUUUCAAAAAUACAAAAAUAACCCUAAAUAGUUAGCAACUAUUUAAUGAGUUAGUUUUCAUAAAAGCAUUCAAUUGACCUUUCACAUCAAUUAAAAACCAAACAAAAGGAACAAAUGCAAAUAACUAAACCAUUGUUACCAAUUAGCCCCUAAAUAGUAAGGAACUAUUAAGACAUUGAAUUUGAAGACCAUGUCUGAAAUAGACAUUUCUCACUUUUUGGUAGAAAAAACCAGGAAAAAAACUCCUUUCUCUAACAAUAUAGUGACACUUGGCAUUCAAUUGAGAACUCCAAUUGUUCUCUUAUCUAGUUGGUAGAUAGAUGACUUCUUCAAUUCUCCGCGAGAGCACAUAGCAUCUUUUUUAAAAAAAAAAAAAAAAAAAUUUGUAUGGGAGGCACUUUUGCUAGAAAAUAUAUGCAUUUUGGGGGAUGUUGUUAACUUUGGUGAGCUUCACUUUCACAUUAGAGUAUUUUAUUUGUGCAUAAAGAACGCAAAAUAGAAGCAAGUCAUCCUCCCUCAAGACCAACCAUCUCCCAUCUCCAUGGUUUCUUUAAGAAGACAAGUAAUUGAAUAUGAAAAUUUGUAAAAUUAUCACAAAUAAACUUUUUCGAUAAUCUAACUCAUAAUCUACUAACCAACUUCCUUUAGUGGAGUUGGCCACAACAUUAAUUGUGGGGUGGGAGGUCAAGGGUUCAAACCUUGCCUCCCAUCAAUGUCCCUCAAUAUGAGGUUUGUUCUAAAUCCAUACGGGUGUGUGGUGCACCCGUCUGGUUUGAUGGUGGUUCAGUCCCCAUCAGGUUCCCCCGGCUCAGUUGGGUCACCCCAUAGAGUAGGUUUCCCCUCCCCUUAGGAGUAGGAGUAGGUUAGACUAGGCUAGAUGUGCCGUUAAGCUAAAAAAAAAAAAAAAAAAAAAAAAAAAACUCAUAAUCUACACUUGAGUCCUUCUAUACCCAUAACAUAUAAAAAAAAAAGAAAAGAAAACAGGAGAGGGAAAGAUUUACGAGUUAAGAAUAGAAGUUUAGAGAUGAAUUUGAAAUCACAUGAUAUGAAGAAUAUGUAAAAAAAGUUUAAACAUCAAUUUGAUGUCACGUGGUAUGCAAUUGCAAGAUGAAAUCAAUGAUGCUCUCAUAGGGUCCAAUAAAAUUUGUUCGUUCGUUCAACUUGUUUGCCAAGAAUUUUAAAAAAAUAUUUAAUUUUAUUUGCACGAUUCAUUUUAAAUGAAUAAUCAUAAUUGAGUCAAUUUUAUUUAGUUCAAUUUAAACGGUCAAUUGUACUGUUCAAUGACCAUAAAAUGGCCUAAUGAAAUUAGUUCAAUUUGGAGUGUUCAUUGUGAAUGAAAAGAACGACCAUAAUCAAAGCAAUUUAAAAUUUAGCCCAAUUCAAACCGUCAAUUACGCUGAGCGAUUCCUCGCCAACACCAGAUACCAGAGAUGAGAGACCCCCCUUGCACACUACGCUUAUCCAAACCCGGGUCCGGCAAACCGGAACCCGACCCCUAUUUAAAUUCGAGAAUCAAUCAACUUGAUCCAGAGCUGAUUUUUUUUUUUUUUAUCAACACAGGCAGACAGUGUCCCAACUUUGAUCAGACUAAUCUUUCUAUCUUUGUGUAUCCCGCUCUUCAAGGACAUAUAAAAUGAUAAAAAAGUCGAAUUUUAACCACAACGUGUCAGGAUCUAACGAGGGAACCCAGCACCAGUCGAGUGAACCCGAGGGGCACCGAAAGCUGAUUCACGAGCCCUUACUUAGUUGGAACCAACCAUGAACGAAACUCAAUCUCAAGGGACGAGAUCGAUCAUACCGGACCCCACUCAAUCACCAAAAAAAACAAACCCAUACACGCUUAUCGCCGGCCAUAACCGUAGACAAUCACGGCCCCACAUUUACCCGCCACUUUUACUCCUCCUCCGCCUCCUCCUGCAUCUCCCCCAAUCUUCAUAUUCCCCAGACCACCCAAAAACCCAAGAACAAGGAGCCCCUUUCUUCUACUUCUGACCUUUGCAACACCUUUCCCUUUAAACUUACCUUCCCACCCCUUUUCUCCUCUUUCACCUCCUCACCUCACCGAGGGCAAACCUGUCCUUUUCCUCACUCCACCUUCUUUCUUAACUCCCUUUUUUUAAUCUUUUCGAGAUAUUGAUCUCAGUUUCAAGCUUACCAUUUCUCUCUCCGCGUUUAUCUUUUUUUUUUUUGCCUUACUGAAAGUUGAAACCUUUUUCUUUUCUGUUUUAUUGGAGAUUGAAUCCAAAUAAGACGCCACAUCACGGUGUAGUGUAAAUUUGAAAUGAAUGAAUAGUGUAUAUAGGGUUUUAGAGUGUGUUUGAUCUAAUGGCAGCCACGACGAUGGCGACCGCCGCUGGAGCGGUUGUGCUGCUCUACUAUGUGCUCAAUCGGCGUUUAUCGGCCAAAGGAGGGGAUGAGGAUGUUGCUGGUAAGAAUGGCGAGGAGUACUCCAAGCGAUCCGGCAGACGGAGGAUGUCUACCCGGAGGCCAGUAGCUCAAGCUCCGGCUACGUGGUUUGAGACGAUUAUGACGUUGUCGGAGACGCUUAGGUUUACUUACACCGAGACGUUAGGGAAAUGGCCAAUUGCAGAUUUAGCAUUUGGAAUUAAAUAUUUAAUUCGAAGGCAGGUAAAGUCUUUUUCUUCCCCCUCUUCUCUCGAAUUAAUGAUUUUUUUUUUUCCAUUCCUCUGAAAAAUUGUAUGCAUAUAUACGUUUUUAUUCAAUUUUUGUCGUUUGCUAGUGUAUUUAUAGGCUGUUUUAGUUGAUAAAGUUCAAGACUUUGCUACCAAGGGAUUCUGCCAGCUUCAAUUGAUGCGUGUUCCUUACAAAUCGCGUCUGAACUCUGAAAUGAAAUCUUACUGCGAUGAAUUGGUUCAUUUUUUAAGUUUUACUUUGAAAUAGGAAAUACUUGAUUGCUAUAGUAUUGACUAAAAUGUUUGAAGGACUUUGGUUUCUGAAACUUUCCAAAUAUGCUGUUUUUGUGGAAAACGCUGGACUAUGCGUGCUUUGGAUUUGUUGACUUGAGGAAAAAUCCAGCUUGUUCUUGAUAGUGUGGAAAUGAGAUGUUGUUCUUAAGGAAUUUUCUUUUUUCUAUUUGAUUUGUAUGGUAGAUGUUUCUCUGACUUGAAGUGUUUAAUUUAAUUUAAUUUUUUUAUAGUGUUUGUAUUUGGUUCUUCAAAAGGCUAAGUUCUCAAACUGGCUUACAAGGGAUGCACAUUGGUUGUGACACGGCAAAACCGAAAUAAACGUCUUUGUUUGAGUCCUUCCUGUUGGGUGCUUGCUUUUGUUUAGUUGUUGAUCUAAUUUGCUAUGCUUUUCAAGGUUCAAUGUUCUCAGAAUUUAUAGCUCAUAUAUUUCUUGCAGGGCAACCUACAACUUGCAAGUGUAUAUGCUGGAGAAGAUUCUGUACAGUUGAAAGGCAUUGAAAUAAUUGCACAGUUGUAUUAUUAUUUGAAGUUGCUGACUCUUUGUAUGCUGUUCUCGAAGAAACCAUUUCCAGUUUUUUUGGAGUCUGCUGGUUAUUCUCAAGCAGAUGUCCUUCUUCAAAAGGCCAAAGCAGGAGUAUGAAUUAUUUUUUGCUGUCUCUGGUUAUAUAGUUUGUGGUGCUUUAUGAAGUAUUCAUCCCCAAAUUUUAUUUCUGCAGCUUUUGAAGCCUGCAUUUACUAUUAUACGUGAUAAAGAUUCAAAAUGCUUCCUUCUUCUAAUUCGAGGAACUCAUAGCAUCAAAGACACAUUAACUGCAGCAACAGGAGCAGUGGUCCCUUUUCACCAUUCAGUUUUAGAUGAUGGUGGCAUAAGCAAUCUAGUGCUGGGCUAUGCGCAUUGUGGAAUGGUUGCGGCUGCACGUUGGAUUGCAAAGCUUAGCACUCCCAUCUUGCUGAAGGCUUUACAUGAAAAUCCUGACCAUGAAGUCAAGGUAGGUGCUAUGUUUACUAUAAAUUUCUUCUAAUUGAAUAUUUUAUUUAUUUUUCUUGUUCAUAUAUGGUUACCUCGUAAUUUGCAAUACAACUUUUUGAGCUAUCUUUGGUUAAACUGUAAUGUAUUCGAACAAUGUACGACGCUUAAAUUACAUUGAAGUUAUUAGUUUCAGACUUUGUGCUCUGUCAUGGCACUUGCAUUGUGGUGUAGAAUUAGUUGCAUUGUGGUGCAGGUUUACUAGAACUAUGGCAUAUGUUUAGUUGCUUUUUAGUUUAAAUUUCUCCUAGCUAUGUCUAUGAGUUUGCAAUUCUGCACGGUAAAGCUGACUCUUUUACUGUGAUGGUUUAAGAGUAUUAGACAUCUUGCAUAAGCCACCCAAUGAUUUUUGUCUUCUAUAUGCGAAACCCAUCUAGCAUGGAUACCUGUUCCCCCUCCCGGCUUCAUAAAUCCCACCCCUCCCCUGCUGGAAAAAAUUUGAAAAAAAACAUGUAGAAUGUAAGAUGAUUUGUUUUUGGUAUUGCAGAUGGUUUGAGUAGUUUAAGGAAUAAAUAUUCCCUGAAACCUACAAAAUUAGAGGAAAUACUUCUUUGUUUUUUUUGAAUAUCGACCAAGAUCUUUGAGCAUCUGCAAAUUUGCUCAGAAAGCCAUUGGCAGCUCAGUUCUCUUGCAGUACAUAAACUAGACUAUUGAGUAUUCAGUUCGACAUAAAUAAUUGUAAUGAAGCAUAUCAAAUUUCAGAUUGUUGGCCAUUCACUGGGAGGCGGCACUGCAGCACUUCUUACCUAUAUCCUCCGAGAGCAGAAAGAAUUAUCCUCAAUCACGUGCGUCACUUUUGCACCAGGCAUGUUAUGAUCUUCUAGGGUAUACUUUUGUGUUGACUGAUGAAAGAGGCUUGUUUCUUCGAAUGUCAAUUACUGCAAAAUUUUGUUUCUCAUCCAAACAUUUCUACCAAUUAUUUUAUCCCAUUGCUGUGGAGUUGUUGAUGUGUUAAUAAAAUAUGUCUUUGGCCUUUAAAUCUGCAUCUGCUAGCUCGAUUGUUGGUCAAAUUUUUACAGAGGCUUUAUCAAGUGAGUAAUUGAAAGUUCUAAUUCAAGCUUCAAUAUGUAAAGUGGAUAUGGCAAAGUGUAUCAGCUGUAAAUAGGUGUUUCUGGAUCAGGUGUCUCUAUUAUGUAAGCCAUUCUUGCUGACAGAUAAAGAUUAGUGUGUUAGAUCAACCUGCUAUUCCAAUACAGGUCAAAGAAUUGUAUCAGCUACACUGGUUGAAGUACUAUAAGUUGUACAAUCGCCCUCUUCAUUCAAUUAAAAGGAAGGGAGAGUUGGGAUCCUGGAAGCUUCUUAAAAAACAUGCGGUUUGAUGAGUCGAGGCUCCUCUGUUCAUAUAGAACCUGUUUACAUUCACCUAUUGUCUUCUAUGUUUGAACUUGUAAAGAUGUUUGCUGUGAAUAAUUCUUCCUUUAGGGCAGUAAGCUUUGGAUUUGUGUAGCUGAUUUACUAGGGAAACUUGAUUUGAUCUGCUUUAAUAUGAGUUGGUUACUUUAGUUGAUCUAUUUUUUCUACAUUGAGACAAUUAUUCUGCCAUCUUUGUUUUUGCUUUUCUUCAGCUGCUUGCAUGACAUGGGAGUUGGCAGAGUCAGGAAAACACUUCAUUACAACAAUAAUUAAUGGCUCUGAUCUUGUGCCUACAUUUUCAACUGCUUCUGUGGAUGAUCUUCGUUCAGAGGUUCGGUAUUAUUUUCAUUUGAAAAUAUUUUUAUGGGAUAUUAUUCAUUCAUGAUCUGAAAAUAACCCCAGACUCAGCUGAUAGGGCCUCAUCUUAUACCCCAUUAGGUGACAGCUUCAUCUUGGUUAAGCGAUCUGCGUGAUCAAGUUGAGCACAACAGAGUUUUAAAUGUGAUAUAUCGAUCUGCCUCUGCUGUUGGGACUCGCCUACCAUCUAUAGCUAAUGCCAAAGCAAGGGUUGCAGUUGCGGGUGCAUUUCUGCGGCCUGUUUCAAGCAGCACUAAGGUAAGAUGUCGUGUCACUUAUUGGUGUAUUUUGCAGCUAAUUGUUGUCAAUUUGCUUAUAUAGCAACGUGUUUUUUCAUUGUCUGCAUGCUUAAGAUCUGCUUUUGAAGAAGGGAAAAUUAUCGGUUUCAUCCUUCACAUUUCAUAAAAAUAUUCUUUUCAUCCCUCACUUUUAAAACGAAACAAUUUCAUCUUUGACAUUUAAAAACUGAAGUUCUUACAUCCCUGAACCCAAAUUUCAAUCUGAAUCAAACCACCAAUCAACAUAAUUACAAAUUUUGGGGGUGUAAUUGGUGGAUCACUUGGUUAACUUAACUUGAUAUUCAUGUAAAAUUUAAUGAACCCAAAAAUAAUAAAUAAAAAAUUAUAACAUAAAAAAAAAGAUUAAUCUUUUCUACAUUAUCAUUGUAUAUUCUGACGGUUUUAUGUACCGCCAUAUCAUUUUAAUUUUAAUUUAAAUACCAAAUUUUAUAUUUAUGAUACACAUCUAGAUUCGCAAACGGAUAUACUAAUGGUGUAUGAAAAGAUUUACCCAAAAAAAACUCUACUAUUCCAAGACAAAGAAUGGCCUUUUAUGUUAUAAUUUUUAUUUUUUUGGUUUAAUAAAUGUCAUGUGAAUAUGAUGAAAUUGACCGAGUGAUCUAUCAAUUCUAUUUCCAAAAUUUAUUACUAGGUUAUUGAAUGGUUUGAUUCAGAUUGAAAAUUAGGUUCAGGGAUGUAAUAGCUUUAAUUUUUAUUUGUCAGGGACGAAUUUGCUUCAUUUUAAAAGUGAGGGACGAAAAGAAUAUUUUUGCGAAAUGUGAAGGAUGAAACACAUAAUUUUCCCUUUGAAGAAUGGCAUGUACAAUGUGGAAAGUCAUUUUGGUUGUCUUCUCACAAAAUUUGCAUAGCUCAUUAAAAUACUGAACCAGGUCCAUGUUCCUUACUUGUUUUUGGGCACUAUUUGGAUCUGGUAGGUGAUUUUUACUCUCAUAUAUUACAGGUAGUGAUGAAGCGUGCACAAGAUGUAGCUCAAGCAGUUGUUAAGACCCGCACUUCUUUCUCAUCAUGGACAUGCAUGGGUCCACGUCGACGAGUGGUGAAUGCUCCUUCAGACCCUAAAGCAAAUGAUAUGCCUGAAGCCUCUUCUCUUAUUAGUGAAACAGUGUCUGUAUCUAGUAUGACUGAAGUUGUAAACAGAGAAUCCGAGUCAAACAAGAUGGAAUUCUGUUCUUCAAACAGUGGUUCAGCACACGAGGAAACUGAUGAAGAGGAAGAUCUUAUUCAGGUGGAUAGAGUCAUUGCCACAUCUACCUUGGAAGAUAUAACUCGGGGUGAGUUGUGGUAUGAACUGGAAAAGGAGCUUCAGAGGCAGGUGAAUGAGGCUGAUAUUCAGGCCCAGGAAGAAGAAGCUGCUGCUGGUGAAGAAAUUUCAGAAGAGGAAAAGUUGCUGGCUGAUGCAGUGGAGAGUCAAACACCCAUCUCAUCUUUAGAUGUUUCAGAAAACCUGCAAUUUUACCCUCCGGGCAGAAUAAUGCACAUUAUUUCUGUGCCUGCAUCUGAGGCAAGUGAAUUUGGCGAGGAUGAUCAUAAACCAGAGCAGGUUGGCAUCUACGAAACACCUAGAGAAUUAUAUAGCAAACUACGGUUGUCGAGGACAAUGAUCAAUGAUCAUUACAUGCCAAUGUAUAAAAAGAUGAUGGAACUACUGAUCAAGGAAUUAGAAAAUGAGGAAGAAGACGUGUCUGUGUAGCUUUGAAACCAAAUUGCUGCAGAUUACCUGUUGAUAGUUUUGGACAUUCCCUUGUAUGCUUUGCCUUGAACUAUGAAUGACGCAUUGAGGAAGCAAAUUCUUGAUGUCCUUUUGCAGAAUUAUUAAUAGUAACCAUUUUUAACUGCCAGAAUUUAAUUUUCCAGCAUUAAUCUAUUGUAAUUGCUUUCGGGCCAACAAGUUGCAGAACUUGAACCCCAGCUGAUACAAUUAGCAUGUGUACACUGUUUAGCAAGUUAACGAGCCUCAGUUUAUAGCAUUCUUCUUUUGUUUCAGGUACUUGUCUUUUUCUUUCAAGUUACCUUUGGGUUUAACCUGAUCACAUGUUUAUCAGGGAUCAGUUGUAAGAGCCAGAGAAAUAUAAAUUGAUCAUAGGGAUCAAACCAACUUCAGUAAAACUCCUAUCUAAGAGAAUACACGAACAUGACCAAAACCCUGAUUCUCAAAAGGAUAUCUCUACCCAAUUCCCAUUCGAGCUUUCUGAACGUCUUACUAUUAGACUACUGCUUGAAAACAUGCACCAACUUCACUAUUAGAUAGUUACAUGCUCCAACAGAAGCUGCCGCUUUGGCCUAGCUCUACUCCAAGACAGAGUAGGGCUUCUUGAAAUUAUAAGAAGCCAGCAAAAUUUGGAGACUAAAUCCUAUCCAAAUAAUGUUUCAAAUGAAGUCUUUAAGAUGCUAGAUUUAACAUCCAUUAAUGCCUCUCAGAAGUUUGAUGUAUCAACCACCAUAGCGGAAUUUUAGUGGCCCAGGAGGCUCCUCUUCCAUGAUGCCUGAACCAGUUGUUGCCAAGUAGUCACGGAUGGUUGUUUUACGAUCCGCAAGAAAUGUGUGAUCAACAAAGUUAUUGUAGACCAGAUCACCAAGAUUUUCUGCUGCCAGUACACUGCGGUGCCCUUCCAUCAAUAUUGGCUCAUGUAUAGCAUAACAAGAUAAUUUUGCCACAACAAAUUUGCAAGCAUAAUAAAGUUCUCGUAGAUUAAUGGCAGUAAUAGAUUCUUGAAAAGUAAAUGUAUGAUGCAGUAAACAAGUGAUGCAGAACUAUCACUCAACCCAUCACUGAGAAGGUCUUGAAAACUACAGAUACAAUUCGAUAAGUACAUCAGAUUCCAGAAAAACAAAAGUUCCUAUUGUCCGAAAAAUAAGAAAAUAAAGAAAAGUGAAAUUGAGUAGCACUCACCAGUGACGCAAAUAAACACGACAAGGUAGUAUAUCAUCAUGCCAAAUCUUUUGGAUACCAUAUCGUCCAUACCUUUGGAAAAAUAUUUCCUGGUUUCCUGAAAGUUAUGUGCAAGAAGAUAGAAGAUGUUUUCAUUUUACACCAUGUUGCUUACCAAAAGAAGAAACAUAUAUAAACAUGUUUGAACAGUUGGAUAAGAGGGUCAAGGGUGCACACAAGUAGGACAAAUCACAGUGCAAUUUAGAAUAUAGAGGAUAUUCAUACUCCCUUUAACUUUAAUAAUUAAACCCAUAAACAUAGUAGGAUACAAAUAUCAGUUAGUUUUCAGAAUUAAAGGACUGUAAUUCAUCAAAGAUAACAGAUGCUCAAAUCUCACCAAACUUCCCAAUAACCAAAUUGAACAAACUGUUCAUGUCAAAUUUUUGUGCAACUUUAACAGCUUGUUAGAAACAGAUUCACUUUCUCCAGCACAAAGUCUGAUGCAUGGAUACAAUGGUAGUUGGAUGUCAUCAUAUCAAGUAAAAGACUUGAGGAUUACGUUAUAGAACACAAACAAAAUUCAACAUACUGCUUUUCAACUCCCCAAUUUGUUUUAUUUGGGGGGCCCCGGGGGGGGGUGGUGUUGGGAACUAGUCGAUACACUAAAGAUAUCUGAUAAUCACCUUUGCAUCUAUUCUGGAAAUAUUCUUCAUCACUAUAACGGGCACAAAGCACCUGCAUAAAAAUUAGCAGUGGAACAUAUCAUGAACAGACUUAUGGGCAAGUUAUGCCAAAAAAGGUAAGGAAUCCAUGAACAAGAUUCAAAAUCUAGUCAAGCAUACCGCAGGAUUAGUAUAAAACAAUCCGUUUAUUGUCUCGGGUACUACCUAAAGACAGAUAAAGAAAUCAAUCUUUAGUUAAAAUCAUGAAAUAUUUAGAUUGAGUACCAUAAGUUCAACAGAAAAUGAAGAAUAACAAGGUAUGGUAAAGCAACUCACUACUAAAAAACGGAAUUCAUGCUCCCUUUCAAUGAAUGAUGGAAUCUGAAUUUGUGAAUAAAGAUAUCAGGUCUCAAAUAACAUCUGAAGCUAAUGGUAGAAAUUCAACAAUUCAAGAACUAAAGGUAUACACAUACCUCUGAUUUUGGGAUCUCAAAAAUAGUGAUUAUCAGAGAUUCACCAUCACAGGGCUCCACACUCAAGCUUGAUAUCUCCUAAAAAAUAUAGCAGCAUUCAGUUAAAAGAACCCAAGUACAUUUCAAAAUUGUGAUGAAGUGCAGCAAGAAAAUGAAGUCCUUAGCAUCUUUUUAGCUAAAUCUCUCCUUGACACCCUUACAAUAAGUAAAGGAAGAGAGUAAAGGAAGAGAGGCUGAGACUAAGAAAAAUAAUCAACUUGUAAAGCUUUUUAAGUCGUUAGGUUAGCAACAAGCAAGAUAAUUUAGUGAUUGACAUAAAAGUUCAGAACAUAAAACUGAAGCAUCAAGAAAGUCACUGCAACUCAUCGAAUCCUUUUUCCUCAACUCCUGGUGGUGUUGCGGUGAUAAAGUCGGAAAUCCUAGUUCUAUAUCACAAAUAUCAAAUAAUUAAGGUGAAAGACACAUCAAAACAAAAUUUAAUGCAGUGGUCUUUUAUGGAUUGCAUUAAUGCCAUGGCAGAUACUUAACUCAGACUUCGGACUAAGGAUCAUUCUCUCUCAUCCAAAUAUCUGCUUACACUGAUCAGUUUCGUAUUACAGCAAAACUUCCUUUGUUUUUUAUUAGCUAAUAUAAUUGCAGUAAAAUCUCGUUUUAUUUGAAAAAUCAAUACUUUAGCAAACUAGGAGCAUGAAAUGUAAUCCACAAUACCAAACUUGCAUGAUCAAUUUAAUAGCCAAAAAACACGCAUUUGUUCCUCGUACUAACACGGAACAAGUGAAAUGUAGAACUGAAACCUUAGUUUCAGGUUUCGCGAUACCACGCUCGAAGAAAAUCGGAGCAACAUGAGCAAAAACUCGCCGGAAUCCACUCAGUUUACCGAUUCUGAAGUUUAUAAGCUCCGGAAACGUGCUCCGUGCACUCCUCUCUGCUCUACCAACAACGUAAUCAUCAAAAUAAGCGAAUACGGAAUACUCCCUACAAAACAAAAAAGUUACUGCCAUUACAAAUGCCAGAUUAAAGCAACUAUACGGACCGGAGAGGAGAGAACCGAAGCCGCAAACGGAAACAAGUCCAUCGGAGGAGACAAUUUUGUCGAAAUCGGACUCGUGUUCCAAAGGAUAAGGACAGAAGAUGUCGCCGGAGGACAUUGAUGCGGGAGUUCGCCACCGUCCACGAGCGAAGAGGUUGGGGGAGAAGUGGGGACGAGAGAGAGGGAGCGGUUUCAGAAAAAGGGCGGAGGAGGAGGAGGAGGUGGUGGGAAAAGGGAGGUGUGCACGUGUUCGGCACGCGUGGCUCAACAUGUGAAUAUAAUGCGGAUUUGGUAAAUAUCCUCUCAAGUCUCAACUCGACUCGCCCUUCAAAUCUUUCUCUGGCAUAUGAAUCACGUUCUGGAAAUGGAAUGGAAGGUGUCAAGUCACGUUAGUAUUGGGCAAGAACUACGUCGUAUUAGCUGAUCCACAAAUCAAAAUUACUGUUGAUUUACAAGUCAAGAGUAUUUGGCUUCUGAUUCACAAAGGCCUAUUUUUCUUCUAAGCAUAUGUCAAUUGUUUUCUUUUUAGUACAUGUACAUUCUAGCAUGUUGUUUAAUUAUUUUACUAUGAAAAACAUGUUACUUUUUCUUUUCCCUGCCUAGGGAAAUAGGACAGGAAUGGUCAUUAGAAGGACAGUUCCUGAGCAGUUCACGGCCAAAAUUUGAUCAAAAAAAUUUAUACGGUACAGAUUUUAUCUUGUAUCUCGAUUUUAACAAUAUGUGUGGGACCCACAAAAUUUUGUUCUAAAGUUACACGUUAUUGAAAAUAAAUUAUACCAUGUGCAAACAAAGUUACGCGCUGUGCAAAAUGUGUGUGGGACCCACAAAAUUUUGUUCUAAAGUUACACGUUAUUAAAAAUAAAUUAUAUCAUGUGCAAACAAAGUUACGCGCUGUGCAAAAUGCAUAUAACUGCUAGGAACGGUUGCAUCUAAGUGCCCGUGGUCCCCUGCCUAGUGAUAGAUGUUUAUAGUGGGAUACAUAUAAUCUUUUAACAACAUGUCAAUUAUGGUUUAAUUGUCAACGCACUAUAGUGCAAGUGUAAAGGGAUAGGAGCAGAUGUCUUCAUCUAAUGGAAUCUAAUGGACAAAUCAUUUUACAAGACAUGUGAAAAUCAUUUAUCCAGUGGUAUUUGAUGCUAAAAUAGAAGUGGGUUCAUACGACUUUAGUGCAUUGUUAGUACAUUUUUGUUUUUAUCAAAUCAUGAAUUGGCCUUGUUUGAAUUGUAGUUUUCAUUUUUACGUUUUCUGGGAAUACAUCUGCAUCAUAUAUAUCAAAUCGUUAUAGUGAAUACAUCUAUAUCACAUACACCAAAUUGCUAUUAUAGUAUAUUUUUUUACAAAAACUCCAAAAACUAGCAAUUUCAUAGUAUGAGGUUUGGGUCUUGUUUGUCUGACCUCCGGAAACAUGAAUACAUAUUCAAUAAACUACUUUUAGUUUCUACUUAUAAUAGUUGUAGCUGUUAGCCUUUAGAAUUAAGACUCGUGCUGAUGAACUGAGUGAUGUGCUUGUCAACGUCCUUAUUAAGCAGUAGUAACUACGUCUUUUCUUGCUACCUUAAUGAUUCAAGGGAAGCAAGCUACACUAUUUUGCUGUUUUGUGAUUGGUUAUGGUGUAUGUCAUAUUAACUCCUUUCUCCACCAUUCUUGAUUUAUUCUUGACCGAGUUUUGAUGUAGAGAGAACUCAACACAUGGACAGUGAUCUUGAUUGAUUUUAUUUUUGAAAAGACUACACGUAUUCGGAGGAUAUCCUUCCUGUACGCAUAGGAUUGACCUGGCAAUCCUGUUGGCUCACUGGUGAUGUUACCUUAAUCUUGAUGCAUCACAAUCUUCACAGAACUUUUAUGUUUUCGGGUCAUUCAGCUCAUAACUGUUCCUAUGUAUUUACAAAGACAGAGGCCUGGAAUGAUAGCAAAUUCAUAUACAUCAAGAAAGCGAGGCUGCAGCAAAUGCAUCCCUCCUCCUCGUGUUUCAUGCAAGUUUCUUACUAAGCUUCAAAGGAUCAAAUUCUUGUGAGGGACAAGAGUCGUGAAAAAAUAGGCAGAUGGCUGAUAUGUCAUCCAUUGCGAUACCUGGUCUCUUGCGUUUCCAUGCACAGACUGCUGAUUCUACCAGCUUCUUAGCCGAUUCUUCCCUUUCAGGUGUUGAAGAUACUAUGUCCACAGCUUCUUGGUUAGAGAUGACAUCCCACACCUACCAAAAGAGAACAUGGAGUACAUUAGAUUAUGUUCCAACCUCGUGGUAUGAGCAGUGCAAAAAGAAAUAUCCUUAACCAGCCUACUAGCUAAAGUUUUCCUCCUCAGAGAAGUCUCUACUUUUUACAUGAUGCUGAGUAAAGAAACAAAAAGGGCAUACACCAUCUGUUGCCAAAAUGGCAAAUUGAUCUCUAUCUGUUAUCCUUCUCUGUGUUAAUUCUGGUUCAGAAAUUAGACCAAAGUCUUUGAUGUAGUAGUCACCAAAGGCUCUUGAUAUUGCUAAUCCAGGGCCUUCAAGUGUGUUUCCAUUUGGCAUCCAAACUCUGUAUACCCCCGGUUCAUCAUGACAGGAACAUAUCCUUCCAUUUGACUGUGUAAUUCGCUCGCUUUCCUCUGUAACAUGAGAAAGAAACACCUGCAUAACUAUGGGGAAAACUCAUGGAGAAAGAAAGAGAGCGUACGAGAGAGAGCUCACGAGGUAAAUUAGGCUUCAGGUCAACAGUAAGCUGAAUUGGAACCAAGCUGCCAUCAUCAGAAGUUGUUGCCAACACAGCCCGAGAGUCACCAACAUUUGCAACAACAAUGAGAUUACCCUGGAAUUCAUCAAAAGAAAUGAUUCAGAAAUAAGAAAUCCACUAUUGGAUGUACAAAUUUGAAGUCACCAUCACCAUAUUCUGAUUGAUUUACAAAUCCAAAAACAAUAAAUUUGAUAACCUGUCUGACAAUUGUCAAAGCUGUUGAACCACUAUAAAAAGAAUCAAUCCCUGGAAGCUGAGCAAGUUGAUAAUCAAUUGCUGAGCAAGCCUUGAAGUAAGACUGCUUCCAUAUGUCAAACUGGCAGCGGCGUCCAUCUGAUGAUCCAAAUUCAUCACUAUCAGGUUUCACGACAAAUUGAGCAAGAGUUUCUUGCCAAUUGCACAGCAAAAAGGAUGGCAUCAAUUGCCUCACUGUCUUGGCCACAAGAUGUCCCCAAGGACCAUGCCCGUCAAAAAUGCCACAGAAUAUCAUGUCCUCUUGGCAUCCAAACUCCUAAAAAAGGUAACCCAAUCUCAUCAAUAAACAAAAUCUUAAAAACUACAGAUUGUUUCAUUAGUAUAGUGUAUUGUGGAUUGUAAUCUACAUACCUCCCAGACAAUAAAGCGAUCCUGAUUUAUUCCUUUCUUCCCCUUCUUAGAAUAAGCUGAAGCCAUAUUACUGGUCCUGUUUGCAUUGACAAUGCCAGAAGAAGUCAACAUCAUUUCAUUUUUUCUUGCUUCCUUGGCCAAAGUAUCUGCGGCUUCCCUCCCAACACCAACUCUACUCUUUCUACCACUCCUAAUAGAAAUAUUUUUUGCCAAAGUUGAAAGGAUAGUGGUAAACUGCACCAUCUUCUCUAAUGAUUGUCCUGCACAAGCUGAUGUUACAGCAAAAUUCACUUUACUUGAAAAUGGAUCUUAUUGUACUGGAAAAAAUCAUCUAAAAGUUUGUUGAAAUCACUAAAAUUUUGUAACUUCAUUUCAGAACUCUCUGUGAUUCUUUUUUCUCUGAAUUGGCAAGGACAGCUACAUGUUCUAUUAAUCCAAAGUGAAUAAAUAAAUGACGAUUGGGGAUAAUUUUAUCUCUCAAUUUUAUUGAUGAAAAACGAAGAGCUGAAGAGCUUAAACAUUUCUUUGAUCCAUUUGCAUCUAUUCAUGUUGACUGUGCUUUGAACUGUAUUUAGGCAAAAGUGAUGGAUGCUUUCAUUUUCUUUCAAUCUUUGCACAUCCAUUCUGAUAGGAAAAAGGGCUUGAUAUGUAAAAAGAUCAAUUUUCAGUAAUCAUGUUAAGUUUAUGCCUUUAUAAGCUAAAACCCCACGAGGACAUGAGAAAUAUUCUUCAUCUGUCUUUUCCUGAGCUGUCAGCAAGUUUCUAAUGGAGAAUUUCUGGAAUUCUAUAGUUUCAAAGCAUGCUUGUUUUUCCUUUAUUUUGUUGGCAAAGAAACUGUGCAGGCAUAGUUCUACCAUCCACUCAUGUUACCAAUACCUCCAUGUUUGAAGAAAGCAAUAUGCUAGGUGCCAAUUUACACUUUAUAGAGACUUGGUUGUUUUCGGCUUUUAUAAAGAAUGAUAGCUUCAAUUUCAGAACUCUCAAAACAAAGCAAGAACUCGUAAUUUUCCAAUCAACCUUCUACCCUCUUCUUCUCCAAGAUUUCUCAACAAAUGAAUUCAUCGUCUAGCUUUUCAUUCACAGCGAAAAACCACUCAAUCCAAUUCUAAACAAUAAUGAAUAUUCAUCAACCACAUAGGGAAAGUUAUGCAUAACAUCUUAGAAGUCAAAGAAUAUAUGAGAGGACAGAUGAUACGCACCACUUGUUACUUGCGGCCGGCUCUUUAACUUAACCAAGAAAGAAAUUCUGAAACUCCAGAAAUCCACAGAAAGAACCCAUUUUCCGUCCAGCUCCGGGGAAAAUUCGGCUAGUCAGAUUGAUAUGUAAGGGAGCAGGAGACCCUUGAGAUGGCUUACACUCCAUUCUAGUCUCUUCCUCGUUACAGCGUAAUAUAUAGAGUCAUGUAUUGCUUUAAUGCAGACGUGCCAUCGGGUAUGAUAGAAGUACAAAACGACCCCUAGUUUAACAGCCAAAAUCCAAUCAAAAGCUGGCCAUUUUAGAAAUUUAACAAUGAUUUUCUUAAUCACCAUUCUUCGUUUCCUAUGGAAAAGCCUUCUUUCACUAAGUCUUUUUCUGGAGGGUAAUGUAGGAGUAACCUUCUAGUUUAAGAUGUCAAAUUAAUAACGACCAAGCACUGUUAAAAGCUAAUUACAAUUUAAUCAAGCAAUUAAGCAUAAAUUAAUGGGUAUGGAUUUGGAUAAUGAUGCAAAUGCAUAGGAUAUUAGGGGUAAGCACUUAAAUAAAGUAUCUUGGUGGUUCAAAAUGUUGCAGACUCAGCUUGGCAAUUGGAAGAGCAGUUGGUAACAUCUUAUAUGUCACCGUUCAAUAUUAAAUAUUAAUAUCCGUAUUCCUUCUAUAUUUAUUUAGGUAAUUAAAGAAAGACUUGAGGGUGAUACCCAGUCUCACAAGUUGCAUCACCAUUCUGUAGUAUUUUAUCAAGCGCUAAUUUUAAAAUGGUUGAAAUUAUAGGAACAUUUUGGUUUGUGGUGGUUCCUGCUAGAAGCUCGUAGCAAAAGGUUAAUGAGUAUGACAAAGUCAAUGCAGGACAGACAUCAUAUGAGAACAUGAUAAAAUGAUGCUAGAGUUUCUAGAAUAUAUUGAACAUAAAAACCUCCAGUACGGCUGAAAUUGCAUAAUUUGCUCUGAAAGAUGAGAUUAACUGAAGUAAUGUGGACGUUAACAACUCUAUCCCAUGUGCUCUGUUUGAUGACAAUUUGAAGGGAGAAGGGGAUCGUCAAACCAUGAAUUCUCAAGGCCUAACAAAAGGCAUAGUUUGACUUGAAAGUGGCCAUGAUAUGGAAAAGCAGCUGGGAAGAAAUGGAUUAUAUAGCGCAUGUCGGCAUCCAGCAACCAGCGAGUAGAACUCGCUAGCUAAUUAUUGAUUUACAUAGUUGGAAGGUCUCUGUCCAGUUUGUUUGUAUAAAAACCAACUUUCGUAAAGUUCCAACUUUCCUUCCUCUUGGUGAGGCUGAGCCACCAAGUUUGUGUGUAUUACGUGUUGGGGGUUCGGAGUAUGUUACCGUCUAGGACUGGAAUGCCCGCCUUGUGCCUCCUUGACAUUGCAAAUCCAAGUACCGAACCCAUGAAAAUAUCUAGGGAAAAUAAAUUACUCACAUUAAACCAGGCCAUAUACGAUGUUGUCUUAUUCUAAUAGAAUACUAGAUGAAGUGAUUACAUGAAACAAUGAUACAGUUCAAUUUCUACCACAGAGACACACGUCUGUUUUUUUUUUUUUUUUUUUUUAUAUAUAUAUAUCUAGCAAGGAAGGUCGAGAUUCUUUCCUCCCGAGUAUAUGAAGUCACAAAAUCGAAAGAACUAUCGUGACAGUUCCACCUGCCACACGUGUUCUACAGGGGGAAAAGGCCACAGCCAUUUAAUCUACAUGCUCCAUUUGGUUAAAGAUUUGCUAAUGCACUCAAUGCUCCAACUUUCAGCUGGAUUUUGCUUAGACAAAAAGGUUUGGCAGCUCAACAAACAUACAAGUUCAAUAAGAUCCCAAUAUAUGAUCGCAUCUAAACAACUACUCAAUAGUGAGAGGGCUCGAACUCGAGAUCUCUCAUUUACACUCUCUCCUCCAAACCACCCAAUCCAUCCCUUCCCCAACCACCAGAGGAUGUGAUGUGGGGGGGGGGGGGUGGGGUUUUAUGCACAACUUUUACAGCUAUUGAAAACAAACUUGGGGAGUGUUUUAAGUUGAAGACAUCUUAAAGCUCCUGAUGGCAAGAUAUAGGAAUCCACCUAGGAGAAUUUAUCAAACGUCAAACCAACUGCAAUUGUUAAGUCUAUUGCCGCAAGUGAUAUCAAACUCAAACAAACAAUUGGCAUGCUUAGCCAAUCAAUCAUUCCAAACAAAUAAGAGAUGUGAUUAACAAAGAUCAGCGAUUGAGCCUCACUGCCAACUCAACACCUUUUUCUGCUCACAACUUAUCAGUGAUGCUUGCAGUUCCUGAACAUGAUGGUCAACUCUAAAGUAAUGCUUGGUAUAGCAGUAUUGACCAUGGACUAGACUUCUGGUAAGACCAUGUUCUCAUCCUAAAAAUAUGCGCCCAAUAAUUAAUGCUCUUGGCUAAAACGGUUAUGAGAAUAUACAAAAGAAACCUAGAGAAUGCAGAUCGCAGAAAUUUGAUUGAAUAUAUCAAUGAAAAGAUGCAAGUGAAUGGGUAACAAGCAAAAGGUAACAACUAGCUUGGUGGAGGAAUCAAUUUCCCUCUCCAUAAAGAUAUUUUGCUUCGCUUCUAGUUGAGUUCCACACAAAAUAGAUACAGGAAGCCAACAUCUGUACGAUUAGGCAAGAAAAAUGAAAACAGCCAUAUUUUGUUCUCAUCUUUCUCCUCUUCAGAUAGAAUUGACAGUUGAUAUUAACCUUGUAUCUUUUCUAUAAAUAGAUAUUACCCUAAGAUGUCGUGCUAUUCAUCUGCUCAGCUUGAAAGUCUCUCAAGAGCUGCAGAGACUGAUGAUAGAGAUUAAGAUCCAUGCCAUCUACAUUCCUACCCACUCGUGCCCUCAAAAUUGCCUGACAUUUAUGAUAAAAGCUCACAGUAAAUAAAUGCAUGAAGUGGUCAGAAAAAAUUUUAAAAAACCUCGAGAGGUUUUUUAUGUGUGCCAUGAUUACGCUUAAGCCAAAAGACACGCUGUGUAAGAUAUAUUGCAUAUGUAAGCACAAUCAAUCAAACAUGCAGGGUCAAUUUAAUUAAUUAAGAGCAAAAAUCACAUGGUACAUUCAAAAAACUUAGCUUGAUCACAGAAAUGAAGCGUGGAAAUAAAGCGAGAGGUUGAUCUCCAGAUGAAGAAUGUCCCAAACACAAAUACCACACCCAUUUCCUAAUUUUCCUAUGUAACAUCACUUAUUUAUCAUCCUCUGCAGCCUGUUGCUCUAUAAGCCACUGAACUUAUAGAUGGAGAGAUCAAAGGAUUCCAAACAUCAAAUUGUCAUCGGGAUUUACAGAAAGGGCACCAGAAUGGAGGAUAUAAAUUCAAUGAUUGCUCAAAUAUUUGUAUGUAGUUGUACAAGAAAAUCACCAUAGACAUGCAUACCUGAUUGCUGGGGUCAAUAAGCAGUUCUCCAAUGAACUGGUACAAGGAACCUAUGCGAAGAUUGACCUUCAAAUGUUGCGUGUCAAUCUUUAAGGAAGCAUUGCCUUCGACAAUUGAGGCAAUUGCAGUCUCUAUGUCAUACUCCUGUAGCCUAUAAAAUAGAACAAAUUAACCCUCUCAAAGCUGCAUAAUUGAUUUUAGAUUGUAGCACACAAGUGGCAUAUCUGACAAAAUAUCAUAAAACAAUUAAGGAGCUGAACUUUCUUUAGAAUCCCGUGUAAGUUUGUAUAAUUUUAUGUUCUUCUGCACUCGAAACACCUCAGAAAUUUUACCGUGGUAUAUUGAUAUGAUGGUAAGAAAAGUAAAUGGCAAUGAUGACACCACCACGCUUGAAGUUGAAGUAUAGUUGCAGAUAAACAUCGAUAUAAAUAUAAAUAAAUAAAUAAACUUCUGAUUGAAAAGCAAGAAAUGCAAGAAGCAACAUUAUCACUAACAAGUGUGCAAAGACACCAUGACAUGAGCCGAUGAAGGGCCUAUCAGAAAAACCCACUACCAUACUUUCGAGUUGAGAAGUGGCCUGCUUUCUCCCCUUCUUAUUAACUUUUUCUCUAUAUGUUUCACAAAUCGAAAUAGACAAAAUUCAAGAAGCAUUUGCAACAAGGAGCAACACGUAAACACCUACUUUCCAGUAACUCGAAGCGAUGCUCCUUGCGUGAAUUGUGAGGAGGAGGGAACUAGUUCCUCAAGAGUCACCAACGCACCAAAACUUACAGCAGAUGUUGCCAUUGAAGCAAUUCUACAAACAGGCGGAGCUAUAAGAGUUUCACUGAGGUAUUGUUGAUCGUAAACCAGAAAUUAAGAUAAAAAUAUCCGAAGUUUGAGAGCAAUUUACAUGAUCAAUGUCAACUAAGUAAAUCAAGGCAUGGAUUUCCAAAAGACAAAAGACAAUUUUAUGAUUAGUUUGGGGUUUCAGAAGCUACCUCCAGAUGAAGGUUAAAAAAUGUUCCCUCGGUUUCCAAAAUUAAAAAGGCCGGGAAUAUUUUGGACCAAUUUAGUUAUCGAUUCGGCCACUUGGAUUCUGAUUUUUCCCUCGUGGGCCCGUUUGAAUUGCUGAUUUUUAAUCAAUCUUAUACUCACUCCCUUUAAGGUCCAAUGUGCUCCAUCAUUUUUCAGUAGACGAUACAUCUUUUCUUCCACAUGUCAAAAGUGGAGGCGAGACUACCACAAACAGAGAAAUUCGAAAUGAGUUGAACAGGGGCAGGAGACAACUAGAAAGCGGAUUGUUGGUCUGAGCAUCUGAAGGCACUUUCUAAACUAACCAUACGUAGCCCAGACUCUCCACCGCCCAGGCGUCAUAGACCAAGGGAAACAUGACGUUGCUGAACAUAUACGUUCAUCAUUUAUAGGAACUAAUUUAUGUAAAAGUUAAUUUGAGAUACAUGGCCAACAAGUUAUCAAUGUGUCAGGAACCAUACAAAAAAAAAAAAAAAAAAAUUCAUCAAUGUCUAUCCGAAAUGUUCCUUUUUUCGGUUUUUAUUUUUUUAGGGGUGAGGGGAGGUUGGUUGAACCAUAUUGCUCUAUAAUCUAUAUUGCAGAGAAGUCUUGUGCACAAAUUUUUGUGAAUCUUUCAAGUACAUAAAAUAUCACCCCCAUGAAGACUUUAGAAAUCUUCGGUGCCUGCUGAUAUCGUGCUGAAUAUUAUCGGUUGAGAUGGUAAACAAUCAUUUCUCUGUCACUGGAUCCUCAUCCUCCUCUAUGAACAGAACUGCAAAUCUUAAUGAAAGUGCUUCCCGCAACUGGCAAACUCCGGCGCUUAUUGUCAAAGUAGACCACCAGAUAUGAUAGUUCAGGUGUCAACAAUGGACUAAUGCCUUGAGGAACACCAGAGUGAAUCAUGAAACUUUAAUUUCAUUCAUAUACAUGUAGAAACAUUAAGCAGAGAAACUUGUAUAUAACUUCCACUUCCUCGAACAUUAAGAGCCCCGCUAAAGAGCGCCUAUAUAUAACUUCCAUUUUCUUGCUGUAUUUUCUUGCUUCGAACUGAAGUUUCUGGUCAACCACCACCCCUUUCCAUCUCUCUCUCUCUCUGGUUGGGGGGCUCCCUCUGUGUGUGUACUCUCCGCCUGAGGUGCAUGUCUCACCAUACUUAAAGACACGUGGAAGAUAAUUUUCAGCUAUAUACAAGCCGUAGUUAAUAAAGAUGAUGCUCAGUGAAAAACUUGAGAUGAUGCAUAGUACUCGCUUUCAUUGAACACAGGUCUUAAAUCUUCUUUGGACAUGAAAUCCAAAGGGAAAGAAACAAGAUGCCCCCUAACAGAUUCUAACCUCUCCAAGGGAUCAGUGCAUUUAAUAUCCCCAUCUUGAUAAGACUCGAGCUUAUUUGGGGCUAUUCCUAAAUCAAUGGUUGCCUGGCCAAGUUUUUCUUUCCAGUAGACCAUGCAUUGACGGAGAGAAGCCCUGCAAGCUUACACAGAUUUUUAUACAAUCAACAACAAAAAGAAAAACAAAUCUUUGAAAGAAGGAACGCACCUGGAAUGGAUUAGAUCAUUGGGUAUACAAGAAAAAACAUCUUGGUAGAUCAUGGUAUUUGUCUGGCAAAAUCACAUUACACAGAGAAGUUAGUUGGAGGUAAAUAAAAGCCAGUGUUACAAACCCUAACUCAUAGCACAUAUGAGUUUACUCAUUGUGAGAAGUUAGUUUACUCAUUACAUUGAGAAGUUAGUUGGAGGUAAAUAAAAGCCAGUAUAUAAGAUUUACUCAUUGUGAAUGGAUUAAUCUUCUAUACACUGACCGUGUAUACACUUUCACCAUUAAAUGCAUGACACAUAAUCCGAAUUUGAAUUUGAAACCCAAAUUUUGCAUGUGUCGUACAUCCAACCGUGAUAGUGUAUACGAUGUCAAUGCAUAUAAGAUUUACUCAUUGUGAAUUCUUUCUUUUACAUUCGAGAAGAUUACAAACUUGUUGGCUCAAGUAACAAAAAUGACUCUUCCAUCAAAUCAUACUCUGGAGUUUAACUCCCAUCUUUAUUAUUGCAGACAGAAAAUUAUACACUGAGAAUCAAGAUAGAAGUAAUGGGCAACAACCAUAUCCUGACAAAGAUGAGCAAACAUUUCAUUGACGACGUACUUGAAAAUGGCAUUUUACCUUGGCAGUUGCCAUCCAUAUUCCCUUAUAUGUAGAAUCAAUCACCGGAUCUCUUAUUUGAUGGACCUAAAAGAGGAUAACCAAUUAUCACCCAAAUCUCACAUCUCAGAAAAAGAUGAAAGACAGAUGCAGAGGCCAGAGGUUAGAAAUCUUUCAUCUAUUAAUUCUACCUAGUCCUUUUCUACUUGCUUUUCUGUGAAUGACACAUAAAUUGGCUAUGCAUACCCCUCCUAGAAAGAAUGGGGAAAGAAAAAAGAAAAAAAGGAGUUCCAUAGAAGAAAUGAUUUCGAGAGACAUGACUAUCACACGGUAUCAAAAGGGUGAUGGAAACUGACCUCUCCAGCUCUAAGACCAAGGUGCUCAGACCAUAGAGAAAGCCGCAAGCUCGAUGCAAACUUCCCAGCCUUCCAUGGCUUGCCUCCCAUUAAUGAAUCAAACAGUUCUUUGUCCUCAACUAGUACACCAAUCUGAAACAACAUAAGUAACAUGGCUGGUCAGCAACCAGGGGCAUAAUUUAAAAUGCGAACCAGAACCAAAUUCCUAGUGAUAAGCAAUCCCAAAUUAUGUAAUGAAGUGGAAGUAAGAUUCAACAAAUUUUUUGAGGUUCAGAGUACUGCAAUAUGACAUACAAGUCAACACCCAUACCAAGAUGUAUUUAGAUGUGCAUUUUAUCAGCUAGGAGACAAAGCUUGCAUAGCUUACCAAACAAACUUCUAUGCAUAAAGAACAAAAAGAAUGGGCUGAACGACGUGAAAAAUAAUAAUUAUUGGGAUGCUAAGAAAUGGCUAAGAAGCUCAGGAACUUAUGCUUGCUAGAGGAAGACCAAGAAAAAUUUGACUCAGAGAAGAAGUAUUCUUCCUUUUCUAACAAAGCUAAAGGAAAAGUAUGUGCUUUCCAUUAUUCUUUGAAUAAAAUAGACGAAGCAGCUGACAUCAAUCACUCUGCUUAAAUGAUUAUACAGUGAUGCCUGGUGACCAGAAUAAGCAAGGUACAAGUCCUUUACAGAGGUAUAAAGAUGCAAUUUACCACCUGUAAUCUACAAGGAACAAACUCAAGUAAGAACCCAUGAGUAAAGACUGAAGAGAAUGGAUAUAGAAUAAGAGAGUAAUGUAAACCACCCCGAACAUUCAACUAAAUCUGUAUAAAAAAUCCACAGAUAAAGAAAAGGAAUAAAAUAUAUACCUCAGAGUCCCUUGAGCCAAGCAAACUUCUAUCAUUGAUAUUAGCAGAUCCAACUAGAGUUAUACAAUCGUCAACUAUCAUGAUCUUGCUAUGUACAUACACCUAGAGAAAUGAAAAAAUCACCAAUAGCAUCAUCAAUUUUAUGUUGUAGAAGCAGAAAAGAGAACCUUGUAGUGAAUAGAAACAGUGAAUUCUUAUCCCCUUGAUUUGCUUUUGCAAGUCAAGUGUAGUGGAAAUGAAAUGCAAUUAUCCAAACAUUCAACAAAUUUAUUUUUAAGUGCUGUAACCAUCAGACUAUUACAUGUUUCCAUGAAUUUCAUCUUCUUAGAUACUAAGCAGUUCCAUGGCUUCAUGAGCUGUAACUACUACGUGUAGUAUCAAUCAAACAAACAACUCAUUUGAGUACGGGCUGCUGUUUUCUACCGUGCAUAAUUCUGCUCGGAAGAAUAAAAGUGGCUCUGCAUCAAGAUAGAAUGAAGAUAGGGGCAACCCCAGAAAGGUGGACAGGAGCCAAGGUGUGGAAGAGAAAGGAGGUGAAAAUGUACAGGGUUUAAAAAAAAGAGUUAAAAAAAAAGAAAAUAAAGGGACAGAUAGCAAUAAAUAAAUAAAUAAGAGAGUUGUCUUUGCGGCUGCAAGGGGUACAGUUAAAGCAAUGCAAAGUUACCAAAAUUAAAUAAUAUUUUAGCGUAAAAAUCUUAAAUAAAAAUAACAAGGGACUACCUUAGCAUUUCUUCCAAUUUCAAAUAUGCAACUUGCAAACUUCUACACUUAGAUAUAAUGUAUACCAAAUAACGAACUAACAUAUCCUUAUUAAAUAAUCAACUAAAGAUAGGUCCUGCCUGUCUAAUAACUAACAAAUGGACAGUUCACUCACCUAAACGGUAAAGUGCGUAAACGAGUCAAAUUUACACAUAAAUACCAUCAACAACUAAACAAUCAGAAGGUCAUAGAAUUAGCAAUCAGAUGCUUGCAAGAGACUUCUUAAUACACAAAACUUGAAAAAAGAAAUUGCACAGUCACCUGACUGGAGGCCACAGGACCACCUUCAAAAAGUCUACCAUGAGCUCUAAGACCAUAGAAAGAUAUAUAGUCAUGCACUCGAGGUCCGAUGUGAUCAUAAAGAUUGUCCAAUAUCGAAUUACGUCCUCUGCAUAUUGUUCGAUACUGCCAAUGCAUAAUUGCUCUCACAGAUGCUGCGCCACCAUCAUCCACACCACCCUGCCAAAGUAUAUAGAGUGAAAAAAAUAAAUAAAUAAAGAAAAAUUACUCAUAUUGGACAAGGGGAACACAACCAAGCAUAGUACCUGGAAGCCUGGAAGAAGUGGUAUGACAAUUAUAACUCUGAAACACUUCUUUUCCUUGUAAGCUCGCAUAAUGCGUUGGUAUAAUGCUUCCAGUACACGAUUCCGUAUGAUCUCGUCUCCAGAAAGACCUGAGAUGAAGAAUUGAUUCUGGAACAAGUUUCCAGGAAUUUAUGUCAGACAAGAAACUAAAAGCUGCUUAGAAUAUGCCUAGCCUCCUUAAAUGGAAAACCACUCAAGAAAAGACUGAUCAAAUACUCACACUGACGGCAAUUGCAUCAGAAAAUUGAAUGCAAAUUUGAUAAUACAAAAUCAAAAAGCAACAAAAUUAUUCAGUAAAAAAUAAGAAUGUUCAACAAAUGACCUGUCACAGGCAUGGUAAUCUUUUUCAAAAGAUAUCCCUUGUAGAAAAGGAAAACCAACUUCCUCAAAACCAGACCAUGAAACUUGCAGAAGAAAAAAAGACAGACAAGUGCAACCACACUAACAUUAGCUUGUACUUCAGAGAUCAAUUGCCUUAUCCAUCACAGGAACGAAAAGGACACUUUUGAAUAAUUGAAACCUGGGAAGCUUCAGAAAAUGCUAAAUGAAUGGCUAUCAAGACAUAACAUGUAGAUCCCAUUGAAUGCUGUAGAAAGUUGAGCAUAGGCAGUUUCUUAGCAGUCACCAAGGAUAAGGUAGUGUUCCAGUUAUAAACAGGACACUAGUGGCACAUAGGGUCCUUUCCAAUAUUAUUUUCCAAGUUAUAUUCUCCUCUAGCUGUGCCUUUAGUCCCAUCCAUACUACCUUCCCAUAUUUCACAAUUUUCCAAGACUUGCUCAAAUAUAUUAAACACUCCGCACGAAAAGUCACAUUCAAAAUAUUUACCUUCGUUCUGAAACUACUGGCCCAAAUUUACUCCAAAUUAGUUACCUAGAUUAACACAAUUAAUUCAUUGAUUAUAAAAAAAAAAAAAUUUACCACAACUAAAACUAUUAAAGGACAGGAAUACCUCAAUAUAUAUGAAGUGUUCUGCCUUCUCGAUAAGAGAACAGUAAGCACUGUGAAUGCUUUCCUCUAUUUGGCUAGUUCCAGCAGACCAUUGACUGACACUCCUUAUAACCUAAACUUGGAAGCAUCAAAGAACGGUAGUUAUUUAAAUAACCAACAUAAAAAAGAAAAAAAUUUUAAAAGAGUAUAAUCCUCAGAUAUAUUACAUAGAAUCUUCUAAAACAAGCUCAUGUUUGGGAUGCUGUAGGCCCAAAAACAGUUGCAGGUCAUUUUUCACAAUAUACCCAUAAAACACAUUCCACCACCUCCGCAAUGACAAGCCAUUGUAACAUGAUGUAAAAGUAAGCAAUUAAAACAAUCUUAAUGAAAUUCAUAUGAUAUCACAGUACAUUCUCCCACUAAGAAAAGGUCUUAAGCUAAAUAUUGUGAACUAUACUCGUACCAGAACCAGUUCUUCUACCUCAGCCCAUGUAGCAUAUAUAACCGCUAUUUGCUUACAAGUAAAGGUAUGUAGGUCAAAGCCCCCCAAAAAGAACUUGUUAAGUAGAACAAGCAAAGAUUCCAGCAUAGCCUAAAUAGUCUUAAACAAAUUGUACCUUGUGCUCAUUAGCCAGUAACAGACACAACUCCACUAAAAAGAAUGACAUAAACAACCUGGAGAUUAUAGCACACCGCUCUGUUUAUAUAGCCAAACACAACGUAAUAUGAAUCCCACAUAGGAGGAUAGCAUGAGAACAUCAGCAUAUGAAUCACGCUUAUAAUAGUAAUAUGUCUAAUGUUUAUUUGUUACAUGAUACAGAAACAAAAACAUGAUCUUAAUAUGUAAUAUAUCCUUCCUAGCAAGUGGGAAAAGUUACUAAUCAUGCCCAUCUAUUAGGACAGGAACCUAAUCUACUUAAUAAUCACCAACACUUUCUAUAUCAUACACUGAUGGGACACAAUAUGGAUGCACGCAUGUCACUCAGUAUAGAGAUCCUCAACCUCCUAAAGAAAUUAUAUCUAACCCCAGCUAGAGAAACAAAAUCCUGAGCCAGAGUUGCAUGGCCUAAACACUACAUCUUCAAUGAUCAAUAAAAUUAGAUGUAUACAUGAACUCAAGUAGCUCAUCAUAGAUAAACAUUUGAUCAGAAAGAACUGGGGCACUGUGACAUUUAGAUCUCACCUGACAUCGACAUGAAACACGAGGACCAACUUGUCCACUUUCAUCUGCCAGAUCAACUUGACCACUUCGAUCCUGUGUUUCCCACCAUUCAUUACCUGAAGGCUUGAAUCCAGGCUGCAUGGAAGACAACUCCUGCAGCAUAUGUGAGGCAUCAAGAUCAUCUACAAAACCUUUCAUUGGCAUAUCUGGAUUAAUUGGUUCAACUUUUGACUUUCGGAAAGAGAAAGGACUUUUGCUGGGCCUGCUUGCUUGAUCAUGGAAACCAUAUUCCCUACUUAAACCAUUUAAUUUUAAUUGCCCCUCUGAAGCAUCGAGCCCAUCUGCUUCUUGAGGCAUGAGUAAGGGGAUAUCCUGGCAGGAUGAUCGAGACGAAAAUGAUUCUUGCUUUUUGGUGCGUUUACGGAUGUUUCCAUCAUUCUUAAUUUCAUCAUCAAUGUCUCUGUUAAUUCCCAUGUAGUGGGGAAUAACCAUGUGAUGCUGUGGCAUAAGGAGUGGGAUCGCCUCCUCAUAUGGAGCUUUAUUCCUCUGAAAAAUGAUAUAGCUAUAAAAUCACCAAAGCUUUUAAAUUCAGAGAAUACCUAAAACUGUAACAAGAUUAACCUUUGCAUAGUUCCAACGCUGAACAAAAUGUCUAGCAACAUCACGGCAAGGCGGUCCCCAAAAAGCACAGUGGACAUCAUGCCAUGGCAUACGCGGAUACUUUUGCCGAUCUAAUUCAUCUUUCAUAGUAUCUUCCCAUGAAUUUGGUUCCGACUCCCUGAAUUGUUAUUAGGUAUCGGACAGGCAAUUAUUAGACAUAAUCGAUGCAGAUUGUAGCUCUCCACAAAGUCAAUCUCAUCACUGUAUGUGUGUGUGUGUGUGUAUGUAUGUAUGUAUCACACAAUGAGUCGGUACAUUUGUAGAUCCAUUAUCAUCAAAAAGCAAAUUGACAUCAGAAAAGUUACAGAUCCAAAUUAUUCAUACUUAAAGUAAACAAUGUAAAGUAUCCAUUUUUACUUGUUCCUUGCAACAACAAUCCUCACUCAGGUAUAGCAACAAACAACUAGAACUACUUCAAGAUCAUUAAGACCAAGUAAUUUAUGGAUGUUCCAAUGCAGCAGACCAUCAUGUCCCACUAGAUAAUUCUGAGACUAAAUUGACUUCUAAAAUCAGGAUAAAUAGUUAGCUACAAGAUUAAAAUGAACUUGUAAUGAAAACACGGGGAAAGCACCUUGGGUUGUAAUAGUCCUUUCCAGGCCAAUUGCAGGGAGGGUAAUCGCCCACUUUGUGUUCAAAUGAAUCAUAGCGACCAAAGCAGAGGUCAAGCCCUCCAAGAAAGCAAAUAUGGUGGUCAACAAUAACAAUUUUCUCAUGGUGCGACCUAUGUAUAAGCAGAUGUAAGUCCACAGAAAUUUCUGUUUCAUCACUGAGUGAAAACAAUAAUCAAGUACCAUAUCUGUAGGAAAAGAGUAUGAAAACUUAAACAGCUACUGGCUUUGACAAUAAGGUGCAUACCAUAAAUAGACACCAGUAGAAAAAUGGUCUGGAUAUCGUAGUACUCUCACAUUCUCAUGGAUGCCAAGAAGCUUUUUCUUGCUGUAGACGCUGUUAAUUUUCAGAGCUAGGGCAACCUCUUUGUAUAGAAGAAUAUAAAUCUACAGGAAAAGAAAAUUCAAGAAUCCAAAAUUAAAGUUCAUACAGUUAGGAUAACAAAAGCAGGGACAAGCCAUGUUCAGAUGCAGCCACAUUUUCAUGAAAGCCACAAUUGUUUCCUUCAAAGAACUUCAGAAGUAUUGGCAUGUAUGAAACAUAUAACAAGUAAAUCAUAUGUACAGGCAUAUAUACCUGAACACCUUGCUUAGCUUUCAUUUCUAGUAAAGCAUCAAGCCGAGAGGAUGCAUGAGCAUCAAAAGGCCGCCGCAGGUAGAGUUCUGGGCAGAGCCACCAACCACAAAUAAAUAUCUGCAGGAAACUUCUAUUCAUAUUCUACUUGCUCAUAUAAUAAAAAGUGAAGAAUAUUAUCUGUGAAGGUGAAACUAAAGCUUUGACCUCUGAUUUUGCAUCCUCAAUUGCCAAAGCAAUCGCUUCAAAUGCCACCCGACCAUCUACAAACCACUGAGCCUGACUACCAUCUUCUGUCAAUCCCCGAGGAGGAGCAAAAGAUCCAAAACGGUGAGGGUGACACCAACCCUCAGGUGGCCUAAGACCAGCAUCAUUAAUUGCAGCAACCCAAUCUUUGACUUUAGCAUUGGCCUUGGUUCUGACCUUGAUGCACCGGAUUCCACAAGAUACCUUUAAUAACAUCAUAAUAACUUCAGAAAAAGUGCAACUUCUUACAAAUAGCAAUGCUGACCUUGGAUGAAAACCAAUCACUCAUCAUUUUAACUGGGACUAGGAAGCUAGAGGCAAGGUAAUACAAGUCUAUGCUACAAACUUCCUUCAGAUCACGAUGCUUUUUCUUGUUAUUCUCAUCAAAGCAUGGUACCAAAUAUUCCACUGAGAUGUGGAAAAGUUGGGAAAGGAAUAGGUUUUUAUUAAAAACCCAAAGGGCCCCCAACCCAUGAACCUUUAGAGUUGCUUCAUUUCCACAAUGACUUGCUUGGGUAUUGACCUUCUUCUUCUCCUUCUACAUCCUUUCAGGAAUAGUAGCAUAAAUAUUCUUUGCAGAUCUCCAACCAUCUCAACAAGUUUUCUCUAAUUUAACACAAUUAUGAUUGUUCACUUUUUGUAACAUUUAUUUCGUUCAAAUUCAGGUCAACAUUUUAUUUCUUAGUUGACUAAAUCAUUAGCAAUUUCAAUACAGCUCCUUACUUGCCCAAAUUAUCUCUCUUCAAAUAGGUGGCCUUAACCCUGAAAUUUUCAUUUUGAUUAUACUGAUGCACUAUGACACUAGAACAUAUAAUGCUAUCACUCCAUUUAACCAUAUCUAUUUGUUCCUAUGAAUGCAUCAUCCCCGGUCCCUUUUUUAAUUCAAUCAUGAAACCUAAACGCUUAGAUCAGUAAACCCAUUAUCCGUAUCUUUAACUAAAAUAUUCCGUCUCCAACAAUCAAGAAUUCAAGGAAAAUUAGAAUCCUAAUCCUCUUUAUAUUCAUUUACAGGUUUUUAUUUAUUUAUUUAUUGAAAAUUGAUUGUCUACAGACCAGUGGCGGAGCUAGGAAUUGCAAUUAGGGGGGGCGAGUCUCUGUUAUUUGGACCAAGUCCAAAUAACUUUCAAAUAUUAUUGUUUGGGUCCUUGAGAGGGGGGCAAAGUGAAAAUUUUUAUCAAUAUUUUUUUGGGGGGAGGGAGGGGGGGGGCAAAACAAUAUAAUAAAAAAAUUUUUACUUAGAAAUUUUUUUAUAACAAUUGGAGGGGGGGGCAAAGUGAAAAUUUUUAUCAAUAUUUGGGGGGGCAAAACAAUAUAAUAAAAUUUUUUUUACUUAGAAAUUUUUUUUUUUAACAAUUGGAGGGGGGGCGGUUGCCCCCCCUGGCCCCCCCCUUCCCUCCGCCCCUGCUACAGACACACUCCCAAAGACAUCCUUCUCAGGAACAAGAUGCAAAUCUUUGUUAUCUUUAGAGACCCAUAAGAUGCUCUAAGGACUAACAAGAAACUUUAUACUUCAGGACUGGACUCCGAAUGUAAUGCUUCAGGAAGAGUGUCAACAUAGAAUGGGUCCUCUACAAGAAAAACAUGCAUAAACAGCUUACCCUGAAAUAAUGGCGCAAAGGAUUGUGAUCCUUUACUUCUUUUGCUAAUGAUACACGGCCAUCUCCAUUACCAUCUGAUGCUGGUAGUACAUCAAAUACAAUUAUAUCUAGAGGUUGCGCAUCAAAAGGAUCUUUGAGGAAGGCCAGAAAUCCAGGCUUGAGUACAGCCCAGACCUGCAUAUAAUUCCAACACUGUGAUAUUUCUUGUAGAGUAAAUCUAAAUUAGAUACUACAAUACAGGUAUUAGGAGCAUGACCAGAUUUAAAUUAGAAACUAAACUAUGCAUAUUGAAAGCAUAACUCCAGAUAGCUGAAAGCAGGUUCUAACAAUUUCAGCAUUCAAGCACAUGACUGGUGUUAGCUAAUUGAGAAUGCUUAAAAUCAAGUGAGGACAUACAAACAGAUUUUUUAUGACAAGUUGAGGCCACACAGUAAAAAUGCUUAGAUUAUGGUUGACACAAUAUUGAGGGAUGCACAAGAAAAACUUUCCAGUAAAGAGAGAACCAAACGAGGAAAGCUGUAAAAUAUGAAAAGACGAAAAGAACGCAGUAAGGGAUACAGAAAAGCAAACCCAGUACAGCCUACCUUUUUCAUCAGGUUGCGAAACCUGUAUAUGAAGAAAAGGGAGAAAAGACUAGGAAUAACAAAACCUAAUAAUUCUCUGAAUAAGAACCACAUAAGCAGGAUGCAAGGAAACUCAAAAUUCUAACUACCCCAAGCACUGACCUCUUAGAUUCUCCAACCAAAGUCAUCAUGAAAUAAAAGCAAAGCAAAGCAACAAUGAUCUUGUAGCAACUAAAAAUUGAAAGGUCACCAGUCAAUGUCAUGCAGUAGUUGAAAACAGUAAUGGAUCCAAAUAUGAGAAGAGGAAUUCUCAAGUAGUAUGCAAUUUUCAUUAUCCCCAAAAAUCAGAAAAAACAGAACGAGAGAUUCAUGGUAGAUUAUCCAGCGAAGAUAAUUACCUUCUGCCAAUUGUCUUUGCAGCAGCUGAACCACUGACAUGAACAACAGCCUUGAUGUUCAUCAUCACUUGGGAUUUUUGGUAAGUGCUUCACCAUGACAUAAUCUUCUUUUAGCUUAGGACCAUACUCUGGUAAAAAGGACAACCUGGAGACUUCCAAAAAUCUGCAAACCUGCCAUAUAAUUGGGAAAUGUGAAAGACAGAAAAAUACCGAGAAAGAAAUCUGGAGUAGCCAAAACAUGAAUUCAACUUAAUUUUCAAAAAAUGGAAACAUUAGCUGCAUAAGAGUUGUAGCCUAAAUACACAGUUCAGCUUAAAACAAAUCAAAGCAACGAUAUCUUGACUAACAAUCGCAAUCUCCUAGUGCUAUUACGGGUUAGUUACUAUUCCACCACACAGAUAUUCCAUGGUCAAUUAUUCUUUGGUGAAAGAGAUGUGCGAGAAUUUCAUACACAUGAUAACAUGGAAGUAUGUGCUUGUGAAAAUUUUCCCUACCGAAUUUGUAUAUGUAACAUGAAGGGUUGAAGUAGUUGCCGAAUAUCAGGUAAAAUCUCUCUAGGUGCUUAUUUAAUUCAAGGCAACUUAAGAAACAAGGUAACUCAUUUACCGGGUCAAGCUACUGACUCAUGCUCUUGGUGCAAGCACACAUGCAUAGAAAACACUCUUUCUGUUAGUUGCUAAAUUCGAAGGAUGAAAAUAUGAACAUUAAAGAAAACAAAGUGUGCUAAUUAUUAGGUUGUAACAAAAGUUGCUACACUAUCUUGCAAGCAAAUCUAAAACAAAAAUUCUAGAGUAAGACUUUGCAUACCUCCCGUGAAUUCACUAUAUCCAUGUUCCCAAGAAAGUGAUUCAAGUAGCCUUGCAUUGCUACUUUUGAUCUGUCAGACAUUGAAUUCUGCCGUCCUAGGGCAGGCCGAAUAAUUGGCAGGGCAGCACUUGACGGAACAUCUCUGAACAAAAAACUACCUGUAAGAAUCAUACAAAUUAUGAUGCUACUCGCAGUAUGUAACACUUACUCCCCUUUCACAAUAAGCAAUAUAAUCUCAAGAUUCACCUGUUUUUGACACUUUCAUCAUUACGCAGAGGAAUGGUCUCAUCUUCAGCUUCUUCAUCAUCCUGUAUAACCGGUGUAUGAUCUCCUAUUCCUAAAUUUUGAAGCCAUUCUCUGACCUUCACAUUUACGCAUCCAUAAGAAACACAUCAGCAUUCCACCACAGAUUCAACAUGAGUAAAAGGUGCAACAGUUUGAUCAAACAAACCAACCUCCUAAAAAUAAACUGCAAAAAUGCACACCGAAGCAAAUGAAUCUAAGCAUACCUGCUCCUGCUUUUCAUGAAUUUCCUCAAUAAAUGCCCUUUUCUUCAACGCAAAAUGUAAAUAGAAUACUUGUGAAGCUUUCUUGACUAACUGCCACUUGAACUGAAGAAAGAAUAAGUAUUAGUCCAGCAGAAUCCAAUCAAUUACUAACCUCCUAACCUAUGGGGGGAAAAACACUAUUGGAAUAUUGAAGCUACCAUUCAACCAAUUCAAGUAUUAAUAUUUUUUUUAGGUGGAACUGACGGUAACGAAAGGUACCCAAAUAGGCUACCAAUCUUUUCGUCCCCUGUCACCAAUUUUAAUUGAUAAUUGUAGACUACCAAAAUUCGCACAAUCCAUCAAAAUUCACAUACUGCCCAUAAUUAAAACCAAAUAUGUGCAAGGUAGCAAUAACUGUCACAACAACAAUAUAACUCCUAAAAUUCAUUUUCAGUCAAACAACAUCCUAAAUUAACAACUAAAUUUAGUUUAAUUACGUCCAAAAACCCAAACUCACUCAAUUUCAAAUCCGAAAAAGCCCCAGUUUUUACCUCGUCUACAAGAACUCUAAGUUCACCCUUUUGGCGUUCCCUGUCAAAGCCAACACUCCUCACCUCACUCUGAUUCCUAGCUCAGGUAUAAAUGAACAAACUUCCAUUCAUAUCCAGUUCUCAAAAAUCCAAACUUGAGCUGAUUCCAGCAUCACUCUAUAAGCAAUCUGUUUAUGUUCUAGUCUCUUCUAUAAAACUCAAAGUAGCAACUUCUCCAUUAAACAAAUUUCUACCUGAUAUAUUGAAACAAACAAAAAAUAAACUAAUAUUGGCAGCAAGCGAGGCAAGGUGAAAUCAUACCUGUUUGUAUUGGAAUUCAAUUGUAUAAGUGAGCAUAAUAGGGCUAAUAUCGGCAGCAUCGGGGCGGGACACCUGAAUAAUAGUAGCCUUAGGCAACUCAUCGAAAAUUCGAGCUGACUCGGCUCCGUGAUGAUGAUGAAAGGAGAAGAAUGAUGACAUCAUCAUCGGCAGCGGCUCCGAUUGCACUUGCACGUACCUCGGGCCUCCUCCUCCUCCUCCUCCGCCGCCGGUCACCAAGUGCUCCGUCGACGCCAUUCUCUCCGAUCACCACUGACGAUUUAACAAAAAAUACAGAAACACGUGUACAAUCGAUAGCUAUGUCAAAAAAGGAAUGACGCAAUUAAUUUGUUCCGGAUAGAGAUCAAGAAGAAGUAGAAACAAAAUAGAGAGAGAGAGAAAUUUGAGAAAAAUAAAGGGCUAAUUAGAAUUUGACUUUUUUGGGAUGAAAUGUGUGGAUUUUCUGUUUGGUAGUUUUCAACUUUUCAUUGUCUUCCGUUACGUGGACUUUGGUGUGUGGUCGGUUGUGGAUAGUCCGGAAUUUCAGGAUCCGGGUAGAUUUGAAUUGCAUUACAAGUCUCUCUCUCUUUAUUUUUUUCAAGUGAGUCUAUGCCUUCUAGUUUUCGUUUUUUGACUCUCUCUCUCUCUCUCUCUCUCUGCUUUUUUUUUUUUUUUUUUGGGGUGUUUUACAACAAUUUUUUUAAUGGUUUUGGUUGGGAUUAGCCACUAGCCAGGAUAAUUACGCGAGCUUAGCACAAUUGUGUGAGUUUUGGCCUUCAUUUGGAGAUAAAUUUCCGAGCACUAGUUUAAAUUCUCAAAGAGAUUAGGAAAUAGAAACUAUGAUUUUGUUCAAGUGGAAGUUGGGAUAACCGUUUUAUGUUUUUGAUUAGGCAAAUGGUCCUUUUCAAUUUAGGUUCUAGAACACAAGACGAAAUCUGUGGCUAGUACAGGGUAAUUACGGUUUGCUUUGGAGCAUAUCAGCAGAUGAUCCAUUGUUUAUACUUGACCGAUGGUCGUUGGGAUGCAAAAGCCUAAACCGUUUCUUGUUUUGAGUUUUGACUGGUAGGUUUUGCUAUUGUGACCCAGAUAAACCAACUUAAUCAAUACUCAUAUAAAUAAAAAUUAUGAGUCAAUUGAUGAUGCUAGAUUAUUUGCAUUAGAAUUUCGAAAUUGGCUACAUCCCUAAGUCUCCUUGAUCGUAUGCUUCGUCCCUUAGGAACUGACGUAAGUGUCAAGUUUGGAAUACUAAUAUGCCAGGUAUUUCUAGAGAAUAGAGAGAGUUAAUGCUAAUCUGAUUAGAAGAAAUGUGGCAAAAAAAAGAAAAAAAAAAAAACCAACGAAUUGAAUUGAAGGAAGACAUGGGGUUUGUUUGGACAGUAGAUUAUUUGGUCAACUAUAUUUGCUGACGUCAUCAUUACAAUUUUCAAUACAGCUUUUUAUCUUUCUAAUUAUCUUUUUAUCUCACAUACAUCACAUCAGAAAAAAUGCUACUGUAAUUAUUCCAAAUAAUAUUUCAAAUAAUAUCCUAUCCAAACAAAUAUAAAUUCUAAAUGUUUGGAUAGGAGAUUAUUUGGGAUAAUUUUUUAAAGAAAAUACUGUAACACUUUUUUGAUGUGAUAUACGUGAGAUAAAAAGAUGAUUAAAAAAUAAGUUGAUGACACAAAUAAAUCAAUGGAUAUAAAUAAGGUGUCAAUAAAGUGCAAUCAAAAACACAGUAGUGUGUGUUUUUCCUUAUAUUCUAUUGAAUUCAAGUUUGUAGCUAUUAUUUAUUGUUUGAAACUGAAUGCCUGUACAUAGGGUAGGAAGAAGAAUAAAGCUAAUGCAGGAAUUUCAUACCUUCGGCUCAAAAAAAGGGAAAAAAAGAAGUAGGUUUUUCUUCACAAAAUCCUUCAUAAUUUUUUCUCAAAUUGUCGAAUUUAAAGAUUAAAUUCUUACUAAAAUAGCAAGAAGAAGGACAAUUUUGUUCAAAUUUAAAGAUUAGAUACUUUGCAAGCUUUAAAUCCUCCUUCUUCAGCCAAAGGAAAUAUAGAUGGAAAACGAAAAAAUAGAAUUAGGUAUGUGUUAGUUAAAUGGGUUUUAAAUGGAUAAUUAGAUAUCCAUCAUCCAUUUGGAUGCGGACAACCAUUUAUUAUAUAUUGCAUCAUUUAAUCCACGAUCUAUUUACAUAAAAUCAAUUAUCAUCCAUAUAUCAUUCAAUUAUUUGACAAAAAUAACCUCAAGAUGCUCAGUUAAUUGCUAAAAACCGGGCAGAACAUGGAUGGAUUUUAUGCAUGUAUGCUCUAAUAAUCCUCUUCUCUUAUGUAAUUAACAUAUUUAAAAAUCUCCCACAACAUUCAAUAAGAAUGGGGCAAAACCAAAAUAAAUGGUUAAUCAUAGAAGGGGCACUAAAGAGCAGACAGCAAGCAACAAAGCAUUAAAAAAAUGGUGGCUAGAUUAGAGGGACACACAGAGGUCUAGCAAACAAAAACCAUAGCCUUUGCAAGAACUCACCAAAAAACCAGUAGAGGUAUAAUAACGCCCACUGUUUAACUAUUUAUCAGGCCGUCUGCUCUUUUAAAACUCACAUUCAAAGCCUAAGUUCUUUCUGAACCAAACCAAAUCAUGGCAGCUAGGUUUGUACAUUUUUUGAAGAGAUCUCCUCAAACUAAAAGUUUUAUCGACAACAUCUCCUCAGUCAUAGUCAUUUUGUUAUGAGUGAAAUCUCAAUUGAGAAGAGAGCAAGCAAAAAUUUUGUUGCUCCAAGAUGGAGAGAGUCAGAUGUAUCAUGCAGUAGAUGAGGUCAUCAGCAAUAUAAAGGAGAUAAGCAAAGCCUAACGAUGGGUACUAGAGAUGAGAGAAGAAGGCUUUCGGGGCUGCCAAUGAAGGCUAGGAGCUAAAGAAUGUGGAGAAUGACUUUAGUAGUAGUAGUCUAAGUAACUUUAGCAUUAGUUCUGUAGUAAAAAGACAUAAAUUUUAAACCCAAAUAUAUAUAUAUAUAUAUAUAUAUAUCAGCCAUCCCACCACCCAAAAAAAAGUAUAGAAUCUUGAGACGUUUUUUGUUAAUAAAAAUGUCAUUUAGUAUUUCUAAAUCUUUUUUUAUCUUAGGAAAAUUGUAACAAUGUAGAUGUAGAAUUAAUUUAUGGAACUAGUUAGAAGUUAGAAGUAUGAAUUUUACAAAAUACAAUCAGUAGUAUGUUUUGAGGGUGUUUGACAUCUUACCUUUUGCCCAUGCUUCUUGUUAUUAGUGGUUAUGAAGCAAACCAAAACAAUAGUAGUAUAAGUAGUUUUUUUUUUUUUCUACUAGAGCCUUAUAUGUUUUGUUGUUAGCAUGCAGACUUUCUCUCUGAGAUACUAUUUGAUUUACCAGAACAAUUUUAUAGUUGGCAAUAGUACUAGAGAAUGGAAAAAAGUCUAUCCGAAUUUUCACCUGACUUUAUAAAUUUGCAUGAAGUUGCUCAUUGAGCAAUAUCAAAUUGGAAGUCACACUAAUUAGGUACAAAAUAGCGUAAAAAUUGAUAAGACUGUAAAUUUUUUGAAAGCUAAAUUGAAAUUUGGCAACCUUUUUGCUUUUUCCCCUACAAUUUAUAUCUAACUUUGAUUGGGAUCUUUUUCUUCCUUUCUAUAAGCUUACAACUAAUUACACCCAAGGGUGGGGUGGAGCCAGUGCGAACUGCUCCUGCUAUGGUAGUAUAUAUCAACAAAGGUCCUUCCCAGCUAAAACAUUGUUUUUCAAAGGGGCAAACAAACAAAAGUCCAAGAUAAAGCCUACGCAAUAAUAGGUUCAUUAGCUUCAAAACAACAAAGAGCAAGAAAGAACCAACACAUCGGCUUUGUGGGGGGUCUUCACCGCUUAGUAGCAGCGGGUCGAAUGGGCUUGGCCCCUGUCGGGGUUUCUAUCCCACAUCGGCUUUGGGGGGGUUGGGAUUUGGGUAGUUAAGUCCCUGGGAGCAAUCCAAGAAUUGCCGACUUUUGGAUUGACUUCUGGGAUUAGGUUUAAUUGUUCAAAUGUCGUUUCUCGAAAGAAAAAAGAACCAACACACCAAGCAAAGGCAGGAAAAAUGAAGAAAUAAAGCAACCAAGACCAAGAGGGCUAAAAAUGCUGGACUCAUUCUCUAAUAAGUACUAUACUACUACAAUAGUAUGGUAUAAACUGAAUAGUGAUUACCAUGGAGAUUAUUAAGCAGUUAAGAAUUACGUAUUUUUUAAUACCUAACAACUAUACUAAGCGCCUUUGUUACAUCCAAAAAAUUGGUAAAGUUAUUGUGGCCUGUAAAUGCACUAACAGUUUGGGCCCAAAGCAAAGCCUGCAGAUCUGGAUGGUUGCCUUGUUUCUAGCUCUUAUUUCAAUCCAGUUUGGAUAUCUUCCAUCGAUUAAUACUUGUUGGGCUUAAAAAUCUUUUCCAAUCGAUUCUAGAUUUAUUAGUUCCUUUAAUAGAUAUGGUGGGUUGUUAUCGGGGAUUAAUAAAUAGUAGUAGUAGAUAACUUUAUGGAUUAAUUAAAGAGAAGGUGCUCGUGCUGAACUAAAAGUCUAAAACCGGAGAAGUCUAAUUGAGCUCGACUUUUGGCCCUUUCUUAAUUGAGUUCACCUACCCUGAAGUCUUUGGAAAUCUCUACGCAAUAGAUAAAUACAUUUUUUUUAAAAAAAAAUCUCUCUAAGAUUAAUACAAAAUUUCUAUUCAAGCACAAGGAGCUUUUGACCAAAAUGUUCAAAUACAUACCUGACCUCACUUGAUUAUCUACUUUUUUUUUUUAAUCGAAAUCGAUAAAUAACCCACACACACACCCACCUAAUUUAAACAAACGCAGGAAUUAAUCGAAGAACAGCCCGAAAGCAAUUUAAGGGGAAUCCACAAAGAACCACUAUUCAGCCAAUUGGUAACUGAACAGGGUUCCUGUGGACCUUAAAUCCAGAGUAAAGACCCCACGAUCUUUCGAUGUGGGAUAGGAUGCCCUAGCCCCCGCGAACACUCUCACCAACUGAAUGGUUUGUUUGUUUUCUAUACUUGAUUAUCUACUUCAGUUAGCCUAAACUUGACUUCAAGAAUAAAAGCUUAUUAUAUUCGGUGAAUUAUUAAAGAUUUGACUCAUCCAUCCAAAUUCCAACUUCCAUUCGCUUGCAAAUUGCAAUGCAACCUUUUUAUAUGAUGAUAAACUAAUCUAAACCCUGUACAUGACAAACCAAUUUUUCAGGAAAACCACUGAAAAGAAAGGUCCUAUCAUUUUGCCUAUUUUGACCCUUUCAUGUUCUCCACUUCUCAUCCCACUACUCUCUUUUCUAUAUUUCCAAUGGAAUUGCUAAUAUGCAUGAAAUGAAUUGGCAAAGACAAGCCCAUCGGGGUUGACUCGUAAGGUGGUGUGUUCGAGUCGCCUCUCUUACCGUCUUGUAUAUCUUGGAAGCAGGGUGCACACGCGUAGAGAGAUUAAUCGAUAAAAAAAUCGAGAUAUUUUCUGUGUCGAAAAAAAAGUUGACAAAGACAAAAGCUAUGAUAAACUAAUCUAAACUUAUCAUUUUGCGCAUUGUACAUGAUCUUUAAGAAGUUUGUUACUACUUUUAAAUACUACUAGAUAGACUAGUAGGUCACUAGAACUGGAGUAAGAUCUUUACAUAAAUGUCAAAAAAAAUUGCAUUGGAAAAUUGGAAGAAAUACUAACGUACUAACUAGGGGUGUAAUCGAGCCGAGUCGAGCUCGAGUAUUGCUAUACUCGAGCUCGACUCGACUCAUAUACACCAAAGCUCGAGCUCGACUCGAGCUCGAGCGAGCCCAAAAAAUCGAUACUCGAGACUCGACUCGAAAAAUUUUCUUGACUCGAUACUCGAGGCUCGAAAAUUUUUUUCAUUUUAGGUCUUUUUACAAUUAUGUUAUUACUUUUUUGCCAUUAUAGGAUUUUAUUAUAAAGAAGGAUAUAUUGUAAAUUUCAUAUAACUUAUACCCAUAAUGGUCAUUUUAUAAUUAUAAUACAUAUAUAUUAUUUAAAUUAUAAAUAUAUUAUUUAAAUAACUCCGGCUCGUCGAGCUACUCGACUCGACUCGAGCUGGGCUAUUUCGACUCGAAACUCGACUCGAUUUUCAUUCGAGUUACUCGAAACUCGGCUCGAACUCGGUCAACCCGAGUUCGAGCCGAGUCGUUGACCGAGCUACUCGCGAGUAGCUCGGCUCGCGUACAUCCCUAGUACUAACCAACCGUGGCGUAGGCGUAGAGGAAAAAUCUUUCAAUACCACACGUUUAUUCAAGAACAAGAAUCAAGGGUUAUGUUACCUGUGUAAAGCGCGGACCUAUGUGGCCGCCCCUUGAAAAUUCGGCUUCAAAUCCUCUGUCCCUAAAGUAGUUUUUGUCCCCUCUAUCCCUUAUUUGUACAGUUGCCACCUGUCUCUAGGCUUUUGUUACUCAAGUUUACUCAAGUUAGCCUUUUGAUAAUAAUCGGUUGAUAAGUUUACUUAAAAUCAAUUAAAACAGAUAAUUCAAAACUUUUUUUUUUAUUUUCUUUUUAACAAAAAAGAGUCUUAUUGAUCAUAAACAUAGAAAUCAACUAAAACUUUUCUUUAUUUUGUUUGAGUUUGGGAUUAACAAAACUUGUAAAUCAAUUAUUAUCGGUUUAUUUGAGUUCGGAUUAACAAAAGGUUAGAAACACGUGGCAGCUGUACAAAUAAGGGACAUAGGGGACAGAGACUACUUUGGGGACAGAGAAUUUGAAACCUGAAAAUUCACCCAAAAAAAAAAGGGAAAAUCGUCCAAAACGUCUUUCACAUUUUGUAAAAUGAUUUUUUUUGUCCCUCACUUUUAAAAGUAUAAUUUUAUGUCCCUUACAUAUUCACAUCGGUCAAAUUUAGUCCCUAACUAGGUUUCCGAUCAUUUUUUGGCCGGAAUCUAUCACGUGCAAGGCACGUGAUCAUUUUUUAAGGGUAAAUUUGUCAAAUUAUAUUUUACAUAAUCUGAUCUAUAGUCCUCCACAUUUUAUAAAAUAAAUUUUUUCGUCCCUCAAAUUUUAUAAAAUGAUUUUUUUCAUCUCUCACAUUUCACAAAAUGAAUUUCUCCAUUCCUCACAUUUCAAAAAAUGAAUUUUUCAUUUCUCACUAAUUAUGUGUUUGAAUACAUUUUUUUUAAACAUAUGUAUAUAUCUAUUUAAUUUUACUUAAUAAUAAUAGCAUAAACACAUGUAUGUAAUUGGGCCCAACUUGUGGGCUAUCUUCUUUUUUUGUAUGAUUAUGACUAAUAUUUAUCAAUAGAACCUUAAUUUGCUUUUUCUUAUUGUAUUUUGACCGAAAAUAGCUUUAUUGGCCAAAUUGACAAUGAAUGCAAGAUUUUUUACUAGCUAAUACCAGAUGAAAUCAAAUGAUCACGUAUAAUAUAUGGUAUUCGUAUUGUUAAAUGAAAUCAAAUAGACACAUACAUAUAUUUAUGCUAUUCGUAUUAUUAAGCAAAAUCAAAUAGACAUAUACAUGUGUUUAAACAAAAUGUAUUCACACACAUUUUUUUUAAGGGUUUCCCUCACACACAUAAUUAGUGAGGGAUGGAGAAAUUCAUUUUAUGAAAUGUGAGAGACGAAAAAAUUAUUUUAUAAAAUGUGAGGGACGAAAAAAUUUGUUUUAUAAAAUGUGGAGGACUAUAGAUUAGAUUAUGUAAAAUAUAAUUUGACAAAUUUACCCUUCAAAAAUGAUCACGUGCCUUGCACGUGAUUGAAUCCGGCCAAAAAAUGAUCGAAAACCUAGUUAGGGACUAAAUUUGACCGAUGUGAAUAUGUAAGGGAUAUAAAAUUACACUUUUAAAAGUGAGGGAUGAAAAAAGUCAUUUUACUAAAUGUGGGGGACGUUUUGGACGAUUUUUCCAAAAAAAAAAAGACAAAAUAAAUACUAUUCCCUUCCCUUCCCUCCUCCCAUUGCCCGGGAAAAUCUUCGCUGCCCAAAAUCCCUAACCCUAGCUGAAAAUUUACUCCCGUUUCUCAAACCCUCAUUCAAUUUCCCGAUGGAAAUCUCUGUCAUCUCCGAUGCAUUAACGUCAGUGGCCUCAACCCAAGGUUUAAGCUUAGGGGUUUCAAAGCUCAACUUCUGUUCAAAUCAGUCUUCUGAACAAUCCGCCGGAAUUCUUCAAAUCUCCGCCAUGAUUUUUCCGCUCGAUGCUGUUGCACCACCGCCGGUGAAGUCGAAUCGGACAAGAACUUUACCGCGUAGACUGAUCAAGAAAAGGCGUCGUACCAGAAGAAGAUCUUCAACCGGUGAUGAUGAUAAUGAUGAUCGGGAAGAAGUUUUCGGGUUUUUUGGCGGCGACGGAGGAGUUUUUGAUGGGCCGUUUAAUAAUGGUGGCGGCGGCGGCGGCGGCGGCGGUAGUUGGAAUUUUGGUGGGUUUGGAGGGGCAAAUUGGGAAGGGUACUCAUCCAACUCGUAUAAUGAUCCAGCGUUCGAUUUUGUUUACGAGGUGUUGUCGUGGAUUGUUUUAUCGAAUUGUUUGCAUUUUGCGUUUAAGAAGGUUGUGAGGAUUGUGGCUGAUGUAUUUGGUGAUCCUGCUAGGGAGAAGGUCCCGAUGAGAUUGGAACCUGUUUGCUGAAUUGGUAAAAGAAAUUGACUCCCCGAAGCAAAGAUAAACUCUUUACUCUGAUACACAUAAUUUAGGAUUUGAUUAUAUGUUCUUCGGGAAAAAAAUUAUGUAAAUAAGUGGACAGUACAUUUAGGACUAUGCUUCUUAAGUUCGCAAUUGCAUUUACCUUUUUAUUGUUUAUCAGCGUAAAUAAUGUAAAUAUUCAUCGAUGGAUGUCUGACUGAUUUUGAAUUUGCUUUACUCUAUAUGAUUCUUCUAUCCACGGACUGAUAUAGUUGCGUUACAUGGAUUGCGUGUUGGUGAUACUUCUGUUAUACGUUCUGUGAUGAUUGUUGUGGAGAUGUGUUCCCCUUCCAUCAUACAAGUCUGUGAGCAAAGAUUUGAGUUGUCUUGACAAAUAAAUAAAAGUGUAAGCUGGAGAUUUUUUAUGCUACUUGACUUACAAUGCUGGAUAUGGUAAGGGUAGCACAAUCAAUUACUCCUAAAAUUUUUUUUGCUCUUGCAUUUUGAAGAUUUGCUUGGCCUUAAAGAUGUAUCUUUUUCUUUGUGAUUCUUGAUUAUCGUAGACUUUACAUCUCCCCUUCAAAAAUGAUUCCCCUCCCUAUAUCUGCCUUUCAAUGUGGUCUACGUAGUGUAUUCUGGGUCAUCUGGUGAAUGGCAAGAUCGAGUCUUUGAGCAUGGUAUGUUGCUGUAUUGUUGUUUGGGAGUUCAUAGGAUAGUUAUUACUUCCAUGUGAAAGUGUCUGAAGCCUGUGAUCACCUGUUUCAUUUCUGGUUUACCAACAACAAAUAUUUUGUAACUAAUGAGAGCCAAAGAGGCUGUAUUUCUUUCUGGUUUGAGGGGGCUAGAAAUGUUGUAACUAGUAAGAUUCAAAAGGAGCAUUUGGUGGUUUUAUCUUCUUCAGAAGUAAGAAACCAGUAAUUAGCUUGGCCCCUCUGGGUAGUCAAAUCUCCUAUUACUGCCAGAAAUUACGAACUUUCUUUUGAUGUCCCUGCCCUUAACUUGUUAUGUUUAAGAUCUUACGACAAUGAAGUUAGUGAAUAUCGAUCAUAUGCCUUGUGAAGUGCUAUAUUUACAUUAUCUUGCAAAGGAACAUCCAAUGGUCUCUCUUUUACUGACUUAGAGGCCUUGAAUACCCUAAUAAUUGGGAUUUGUCUAGGGCAAAUUUCAGGUUCUUUAUUUUAUUUGAAGUCAGGCUGAUUGAUAGAAGCAUGAGUGCCUUUCUUUUGGGGGUUUUGUUCACGGCCUCUGAACCAAUUUAGUAUGAUUGCAAUUUUUUUUCUUCUUUUGGUGCUUGUCCUUGCAUUGACUGUUGAGUCAACUGGCUACCUCCUCGUGUAAUUUCUCUAGCACAAUCGCUGUUGCAAUUUUUUGUAGUUUCUUUAGUACUAUUUUACUAUUAAAAUUAAGACUAACAGAAGGUUUGGAGGCAUGUGCCUCAAAGACUGUUUGUUCCCCAGCAGGUUGGCUGGUAAAUUCUUGACAUGCCGCUCUCAUGCAAUGGACCUAACUUAUGUACGACUUCAUAUCACACUUUUCUACUUUCUACGCCUUUUAUCUUUUACAUAGGAGAGAAGUAUCAGAUGAUGAUGGGGGAACUAGGCAGCAAACUGUCAAGGAACAAAGAUGGCAGUUUGAAAAAGCCCCACGCAUAUGUCCCAUUAAGAUUUGAAGUGACACAAUCAGCACUUGGUUCAUGCAUCUUCUUAGUCACUUUCGAUCGACUGAUUAUUCCUAGUAAUUACAAUUACACAUAAAACACUUGAUAAAUUAUUUUUAAUACCCCGAGUCUCUAUCUGCCGACGUACGGCUGUCUGUCUGUGGUUUAUUCUUUUUUCUUCUUCUUGGAUAUCGAUCUUUCUCACUACUUUGUGUCUCUUCUAUCUCCUGUUCCAGUAAUAUUCGAUUUUGAACUGCUAGAUGUGGCAGUAAACAUCAUGGCAUUGUUCAUCUGUUUCGUAGAAAAGGGGAAAAGAUGUUACCGGAAAUGUGCAGAAAAUUUCAAAGAGUGCCCAAAUAGUUGUUGGUCCCAUUCAGCGUUUACUCCUCCUUUCCGGAGCAUUUUCCUGGGUAACUUCCCAAGUACCUUGUAGGUGAUACGGCUGCUCUAUACAUAAUAAUAGCUCUACCCUUUAAUACCCGAACAUAAAAGUCCUGUGCAUUAAUUUCCAAAAUAAACAGGCAUAGGAUGGCCUUAUGCAUGAAAAUUCUUCUUCAAAUUGCGUAAGAUGGAAUUUCAAGAAUGCAGAUGAUUAUCCAGCUGAAAACAAACUCUGUCGUACUUUAAUUUGAUCGCCGAAGUAUUUUGCGAUUUUUUUCUGUUAAAAUCAAGUAGUAAAUUGCACUAACUUGUGUGAUAUAAACUGAAAAGUGAAAUUCCAAAAGUUUAAGGACAUUUUUGUCCCCAGCACACCACCCUAGGUAACUUGCCAAACAAUUUGUCUUUUUACGAGAAAAGACCAUUCCAAACUGGUAUCAAGCACCUUUUGUUUUCGAAACAAACGAGUAAACAUGAAAACCCAUUCGGGACUCCUAUCAAAUUAGCGAUCGAUGCACGCUUGAUGCGUGUGUAAUGAAUGUAGAAUCCUUCGUUUGAGAUAACGAAUGUAGAAUCCUUCAUUUGACAACAAAAUUUAAAAGUAGUAAAUUUAAAAAGUUAUUGCAACAAAAUAUGAUAACAAUCAAACAAAAAAAUUAAAAGAAGCAAUCACAUGCAGUGAUUGAUUAAUGAAUCUUUUAAGAAGUGGAAAUUUUUGUUCUAAAUGUACUCUUAUAUUGAGAUGGAACUCCACAAUCAUCUAGAGGAUAGUAUUGUAUUCAACAAUUGAAAAGCAUCAAAAUCUUAUGGCAAGAGAUAGAAAAAAAAAGUUCCGUACAAAGGAGAUGGAGAAGAAGUUAUUUAUGUGAUUUUGAUUUGUAGUUCGGUGGUGGGGGUAUUUCAUCGUGUGAUGUUAGUGGUUCGUUAGAGUGGGAUUAGUGAUGAUGAGUAGCUAUUUUCUUGAUAAAGGUAAUACGUACGUAAGAGAGAGGCGAGUUGAGUUGAGUUGGAUAAUAAAGAAAGAGAGAUUUUUAGUAAAAGAUUCUGAAUCCAAAAUCUCUCACUUAAAAAAAUAAAAAGAGAAUAAAUACAUGUCACAAGACUAAUCUAAUUUUCAAAUGGUUCAAAUCAACUCUGUAUUUCAAUGUAGGCUCCGUAUGUCUUGACUUGGAGGUGGUUCAGUAUUUUCCGAGUCUUCAAUAACAACGUAGUUGGGUCUAUGUUUUCUUCUUAUUAUAGGAAUAGUCGUAAGCAAAUAUUAUUGUUUGUCAAAAAAAGAAAAAAAAAACAGAGAAAACACCUGUAUGUGCAACGUUUUCCCGUCAUAGAAUGUAGAAUAGUCAAUGUUCUAAAUGCACGGACUACCGAAUCCAGCCACAGUAAAAGUUAGUGUGCACUAUACAGUUGACCCCUUAAUUAUUGAGGUCUGAAUCCUUCUCUCUACCAGAAGAAAGGGUUCACGAGACAAUCUAAGAUUUGACGUUUCUUGGGUGUUUUUUGUUCUCUUGUCUCCGUAGCAUUUGCGAAAUUUGGUUGAAAGAUUUGAAGACGUGCAGGCUGCAGCUUAGAAAGGAGACAUUUUGGCCAUUAUCCGACGUGAAAAAACAAUGCAGACAAAAAUCACAUUUGUAUUGAUCCGCUCGGUGCUCUUUUCAGCGUUUCCCCUUGACAAAUGACUCACUGAAUUUGCGUGUAAAGGGGUUCCAGUCUUACAAUUUUAGAAGGGAUUCCAAUCACAAAGGUGCCCCAUAAGUAAGGAUUAUUUAGGUAGAAGUCCUUUCUUUAUACAGUCAUCACUACACUAAUACGUAUGACUUAAGUACAUGUGAACUCCACUACUAAUUACGCAGGUCAAUUGGAGCAAACAUUAGUUAAGAAAUGAGGCCCAAUGGGUGAUUCAAGAAAUCAGUAGUAUUACUACUAAUCCGUUUUAACUCCUAAUUUGGUAGGCGUCAACCAAGCACAAGUAGUGGUGUAUUAAUUGUAGUAAACGGGUUGAUAUUAAGGGUCUGUUUGGUUGGAAGUAAAAUGUUUUUCUUGGGAAAAUAUUUUCCGUGGAAGUAAUUUUCCAUGAAAAUCAUUUUCCUUUCAUCAUUUUCAGGUGUUUGGUUAGUUUAUUGAAAAUAUUUUCUUACUCAUUUUUCUGGUGCUUGUUUAACUUUUGAAAUAUUUUCACUUUUAUCUCUAUCUUUACUUUCUACACAUUAUAACUACAUACUUCUUCCCAUGCAAAAUAAGAAAAUUUAUCUCAUUGUUUAACUUUAAAAAAUCUUGGAGAAAUGUAUAUAUGAAUAAAAAAUAUCUCCUUAAGCAAUAAACAAAUUGCUGGCCAUUUAGUGUCAAAUAUCAAUCACAUGCAAUGCUUAUUGUGACAUAUAUCUUGCACUCUCACUGCUGAAAGUUUCUCUAGAAAAGAAUGUCCCUAUUAUACAUAAUUAAUUACUAGCAUAUGAUGAGCAGGAUGAGAUUUUUUUUUUAUUUUGAAUAUACUAGGGGGAGGGUUGGGUGGUACGGGGGAGGGAGUGUAAGGAAGAGGUCUUGGGUUCGAGUCCUCCUGUUUACACUAAAAAAAAAAAAAGAACAUACUACAAGAUGUUUUCAGUAAGUUUGGAACAUACUACAGGCGGGAUGCAUGCAUUUUGGAAAACAACUUCAGUAAGUUUGGAAGGGAAGUUGUUUUCCAUAAGAUGAGUGAAAAUAUUUUACAUAGGAAAAUGUUUUCAGUAACUUUUGUGCAACCAAACACGGGAAAUUAGGAAAAUAUUUUCCUGGAAAACAUUUUCACCCGAAACAAACGGACCCUAAAAGGGAAUUCUUUCCUCAAAUAGUGACCUCAUCAUCCUCUGUGCCCCCCACUGGCAACAGCAGAAAUAAAUGAAUACUCGACGCCGUAGAAUAAAUUACUCCCUCCGUCCCAUUUUAUUAGUUUUGUUUUUUUUUUUUGUCUGUCCCAAAUUGUAAUCCACUUUCCCAUUAAGGAAUGUAGUAAUCUUUCAAAUUGUCUAAAAUACCCUUAUUAAAUAUCUUGUUAUUAAUACAUUGUUAUUAAAUACUAACCCACUACAUUGAAUACGUUGAGUUUUUCCAAUACAUAGAUAAAUGAAAAGUCUAUCUUUGUUAUUUAUUGGCACUGCUGGCGGUAAUUGAAACAAUCAGGGUGCACUAUUGGCGGUAACUGAUAUUUAUUGGCACCAUUAGCUGUAACGGAUAUUAAUUGGCACUCUUCGUGAUUAGCAUAAGGGUAUUUUAGGAAAUUAUUAAUCUAAAUUUAUGUUUCCAACCAAAUUAAUUACACUUUCUUAAUCAGUGUGAAAAAAAAAUCAAGACUAACAAAACGGGACGGAGGGAAUAUGUAAGAGCUGAGAGUGCUUAAUUACGAAAAGGUGUCUUGAUUGGAUGAAUGGAACAGCAUCAUUACCAAUCAGACAUUAUUAAUUAGCCAAAUGCAGAAUACGACACAAAUUUUUUGCAAUGAAGUAUUUCUUCUAAUCAUACCGUGAUAGUAACGUAGUAAUACUACCCUUGCUGGCUAAUUAAUUGAUGCCAAAGCAUUAUUAUUAUUAUUAUUAUUAUAGUGUACCAUGAUAUUGACACCAUCCACAGAAUGCAGUAAAAAUUAUCCCACAUCAGGCAGUAAAAGUCUGAAAGUACACGCAAAAGACAAAACAGGAGAGAAAAACACGCAGUUUCUAAUCUAGAUAGUCUAUGGUAAAAUUUCACUUAAUACAGCAGAUUAUUAGGCUGCUGGGCUGUAGCAACAAGAUCGUCCAUCAUCCAGAGAUCAACCGGGUCCGAUUCAGUGAUCCCACCAAACUGAGAUGUUGCUGUGGUGGUCGUCUCAGGUUCUAAGCCCAGGAAAGAUUCCAAGCUGGAAAAUUGAUCCCCAUACUGAUAAUCUUGAUCAGUCACUUGGGACGGAUAGUAAGGCUGGGGUUGGAAGCCAGGGUCCACUACUGGCGGGGUUGGUCCAAUUGACUCCAAGAUCUCCUGAUCAGGCUGAGGAUAAUAAGCCGGCGGUGGCUCAGGGGUGACACAACGCCGCUUGGCCAGUGGCUGCCGAGGUGGUGUCGGCUGUGAUGGGGUGGUUGGUGGCGGCUGAUCAUCAGCAACAAAGUUGAGUUUAGCCUUGUCGCCCCGGAUGCGCUUGGCUGCCUUGUCAUAAGCCCUGGCUGCUUCUUCAGCUGUGUUGAAUGUGCCGAGCCAAACUCUAACGCCCUUUUGUGGAUCGCGAAUCUCAGCUGCCCAUUUUCCCCAUGGCCUCUGUCUGAUCCCUCUGUACUUGUUCUUCCUAGGCUUCUGACUGAUCUUCUCAGACUUCUGAUUACCUGCUCCUACACUUCCAAAAAAAUCACUUCUUCUUGCUAAUACUACAUCAAUAAUCAUUCAAGUUAGACACCAUUAAUUCUUCAUUCCUGCUAGACACCAUUAAUCCCCAACCCUUUAUUUAUUUAUUUAUUUUUAGAGGGGGGAGGGGGAUUGGGGUGGUUGUUGUGUUGUAGCAUGAAAAAUUGAUCUACUAUGUACACGUACAUAUGUCAAUCUCAGAAUUACCUAUGCAUAAUACAUACAUGCAGCUACACCGUAUCAAAAUAUAUAGGUGGAUAUAAUAUAGUAAUACUUUGUACGUAUGGAUUUGUGAAAACCCUGAUGGAGUUGUUACGGUAAAGAAAUACUUAUUAGUAAAUAUGUUUAGAGCCAUCCUAAAUAGUAAAUACGCAGUCCCUAAGAAAGUAGAUAAUAAUAUAAUUGGAAACUAAAAGCCUAUUAUAUGUAAGCUUGCUGAAGUAUGCAUACAUACAUAUCAAAAUAUAGGAGCGUCCAAGUAUGCAGUAGAUGUAUUUACAUGUACGUAUGAAUCAUCAACAUAAAUCAUUUUCUGAGCGCGCAAUUAAUUAGGUCGUCAUACAACUAUUAUACUUUAUUAUUGGAGUAUUAUUAUUAUUUUUUUGGUAAUUUAUCCAAAAAUGGCAAAAAAGUACAUAAAGGUAGCAAGUGGUAGUAAUAAACCAAGAUGAAUGAUAGUAUCAGCAGAAAAUUCAAAGAUAUGUAAGCUAGUGGCAGUAGAUUGUGUUCAGGUAAUGGGGGGUGAGUGGACCGACCUUUCUUUGGGUGCUUGUUCUUGUCAGUGGCCUUGGUAUCUGCAGCCUGGCCAGAAGGGUCGAAGCCCCAGAAGGGAGAGAUGGUGUCAAACUCAGCCCACAGUUCUUUUGGGGUUAACUUCCGGCCGGGGUUGAUCGGAGACCCCCCGGAAAUGAUUGCACCUCCACACAUCUUUCUUUUUUUUUGUUGGUUGUUCUUGUUGUCUGGCAGAAGAAGAUGGUAGGAAAAAAGUUUUCAGAGAAAACUGAAGAGGAGGAGGAAAUGAAAUGAAAAAGGAGGAAUAAAUAGAGCAGAGAGAGAGAGAGAGAGAGAGAAGGAGAAGCGUUACGUAUUGAGGGUCUUAGUGUUGUGUUUUGUUACGUGAUUUUACGAAAGAGGGGACGGUUACGAAUCAAUAAUCAAAGGGAAAAUGACAAGUGAGGAGAGCUGAACCCAGACUUUGUUUUUAUUCGGAUUGUAUAUUUUAUUUAUAUACAUAUAUGGGAUCAAACGGUGGAGAGAGGGCCCAUCCAUUUGAUGUUGAUGAUGUGAUGUAACGUAACGGGGAAAUUUUCUUUUAUUUUUUUUUGUGGGUCCAGAUGAGAUGAGAUGUGUGAUGAAAUUAUGCACAUCAAAUCAGUAUUGAGAUUUUUGCAAGUUGGCAAGGAAAUUUGGGUAAAUUUGAGCUACCGUAUUUCGGUGCUCAAAACUCUGAUUUUCAUUCCGCUUACUUUAUUUUAAAUCUUGUUUAUAACUCUAAUUGAGUUCCAAAUUUCAAAGGCUGGUUCGCAAUGGGUGCGGUUUCUGCAAUUGGGCUAUUUUAAAAGAUAUACUGACAAAAUAAAUAAAUGUAAAUAUUAAUGCAUUAUAGCAUGUAAAAAAAAAAACAACAACUUUAGAAUUAUUUUGUUACAAUUAAUUUCAUCUUUCAAAUUUAUAUUGAGCACAUCUGGGUUAUUUUUUUUUUCAGACAAAAAACACAUCUGGAUUAUUAAUUGCAAUUGCUUUGCCUAUCGCAUAGAACCCAUCCUUGCAAGAGGGUGUGGGAUGUUGGUCCCAACCCUCCUUCCCGAUUUGGAUACGUCAAAUUAUGAGAGGUCUUUUUUAACAAUAAAAUUAGGAGAUUUUUUUCUGAAAUAAUAAAAAUGUGAUAUUAAAUGAGUUGAUUCCUGGUACAUAGUACUAAUACUAGUUUAUUUUCUUUGGAUUUUAGACCAUAUGAAAGAAAGCAUUGCCACUAUAAUAUAAAUAAUAAUCACAUCAGAAAAUUCUGCCCCCCAAAAAAAGGCAUUAAAAGAAAGAUGACAAUCGAAGAUUAUAUCCCAAAAAAGGAAAAAAAGAGUAGAGAUAUGUGUUUGGAUAGAGUGUUAUUUGAAAUAUUAUUUGGAAUAAUUACUGUAGCACUUUUUGUGAUGUGAUGUACGUGAGAUAAAAAGAUGAUUGAAAAUAUAAAAAAGUGAAUUGGAAAAUGUGUUUAUGAUACAAGCGAAAUAUUAUUUGGUAUAAUAUGAAUAUCCAAACAAACUCUCGAGUCGAAUAAUGUCGAAUAAUAUUGGAUAUCCAAAUCAAUAAUGUCGACAUAGUGGCACCAACCUAAAAGCCACACGCAGUCGAAGGCCCCAAAAAACUUGCUUUUGGGCUGACCCAUCUCGUUUUCCACAAAUAUUUUCUUGACACAUUUCUUAAUUACUUCACAUGCAUCACGGUAUAUUUUUUUUCCUCAAAAAACUUACAAUCCAAACGGGUUAUCAUCUAAUAAGCAUUAAUUAAAGUUUAAAUGGAUUUAGGAGACAAAUAAUGAAGUAUAUUAUGAUUUGUCCAUCAAUAAUUCCGUUUCUUUCUUGUCAAAAAAAAAUAAAAAUGCAUUAGUAGAACUCAGAAAACAGAUCAACAAGGCGCAUUUCUCUUAUCCCACCAAGGGCAAGGGCUAGUUUACUUCGGGAAAUAUAAUAAUAUGACAUCAACUGCAUGUAGCAGUGCCGCAAAAGGGCAAACUUCACGAGGCACAGCGCAUCAGACUAAAUGGCUUUUAGGGAGCGGGGGUUAGACUGCUGAGACUUGUCUCGAACAGAAAGAAACGCUUCUUUUGUUAUUGCCUCCCAACAUUUUCUAUGCCUUCUUCUGAAGAAACAGCCCAAAAGUUCCACAUCAUCCGUGGGAAACCGUUCCUUAAGAGGAGGCCAAGGUUAUGUCAUUCACAACCCUACAAGCUUCCAAUGCAAUAAUCUUCCCAAACAAAACAUAUGAUAUGAUAAUACCCAACAACUAUCACUCCAAUAAUUUCGUUGAUCUCUGAUUGCAUCUGGGGUCUGGCAAACUUAGCAUAAGCAGAAGACAAGAAUACGUUGUCGUGCCAUGCUCCAUAGGCAAAGCCCUGGGAGUUUUGAGGGGAAACUUAAGACCUGAUCCCUUGCUCACAAGUCACAAUAACACAACACUGUGAGGAUCUUAUACCAUCAAUUUACUCGGUCACCGUGGAAUUUAGUACUCACCCUUUCGUAUAAAACCUACAUGAAGAUAUCAAUGAAUGUAUAGCAUAAAUUUUCCAUGAAACAAUAUAAUAUUUUGUUCCUCAUUCAUCAUCUCAGCCUCAAUCUAAUGAAACAUGUGUGUUAUACAUGACUAUAAAAUAUCACCUAUAAUGGGUGUAGACCCAAUCAACCAAACAAAAGCAAUCUUUUAGCAGACUAACAUAUAUAAUCUCUCCAACAAAUCGCAUUAAGUGGGAAAUUAUCAAAUGUAAAGCGCAGUUGUACACCAAAGGCCACAGAGACAACAUCUGCAAGCUCGUCUAGUCAGCCAUUUUGGUUAACCGAUGAAUGGUACUUCUUGCAACCCUAUUACCAGGAUCAAUUCUCAUAACACUUCUGAGGUCUUCAGCUCCAAGCUUGUACUUCUCCAUACUCUCGUACAAAAGAGCACGUUGCACCAAGAUGUUCACAUUUUUGUCAUCUUGUUCUAGCGCCUGCACAAUCCAAUGGCCAAAAAGUCUCUUACUUGGAGUGAACCGCAAAAACUCCUCAGCACGAUAUUAAAAGAUCAAACAAGAACCAGCAUAUUUAUUCACCAGCCCCAAUUAAUAUUCAAAAAAAAAAAAACGAAAAAGAACAAACAGAAAGAUGCAUCAGUGUCCCGUGGAUUUUCAUUACCUUCCUGCAGAUGCUCCCAGAAAACACCACCUACAUUUUUGUCAGCAUAAACCAGGGGAAGAAGGAAUAGUAUCUUAAAUUACAGGUUUUCUCUAAGUGGCUAUGCCAACUGCAUACUAUUUCCAUAAACUGCAAAUACAGAUCUCGUGAAGGGACAUCAACUUAUACAGGAAGCACAAAGUGUAGAAAGAAAGGUUCAACAAAACUUUGACCUGGUCUGAAGCCUAUACCUAAGUAGCUUGCUCGUACAUCCCCUCCCCCCGCCCCCAAAAAAACCAAAGAAAAAAAACCCCGAAAAUCCCCAACAAAAGGUAUCAUGCAUAGAUGUAAACAGAAUGGAUCCACGCGGCUAGUUAGGCAAGGUGAUCUCAAUAGCAACAAUAAUAAUUAAUAAAUACAAAGGAAAGGGGCCUUAAAUAGUUUCCAUUUCAAUAAUGUGAGACACAAGGGUGUUAUAAUAGCAGUAUCGUUUUCCAAAGGCUCUCAAUGCCCCGUUCAAGCCCUUGACCAACCUCUAAACUGUUCACUAAAAGGUCUUGACUGUAGUUUGAUCCAUGCUGAUCAAGUAUGAAACUUUAAAUUUAGUCAUGGAAAGACCGACUAAAACUUCCUAGAAAAAUACCUGACAAGUCUCUUUAUAAAACAGUUUUCAUACUGUAGCAACUUGGGACUAAAUAUACAAUUCUUGAUCCAAUUAACUAGUCCUCCAAUAUAUCGGGGAGCUAGUCUAUGAAAGAGGGAUGGUUCAACUCUAACUUGCACAAGUAGUUUCUUUAGCAGUUGAAGUGCCAUGCCAACAUUUAAGUAUGUCACAGAAACAAGAGCUGCUACCCCUAUACUCACAUAAAAUAAAAAUUCUUGAAGUUAUCUGCCAGAUAAAACGCAAAAUUCACCAGUUACUUGACGAAGUUCAGUGCUCAGACUAGCUAUAUUUUGGGAAGGUGCAAUUACAGGGCUAGUUAUUUUGGCACAGCAAUUCAACCUGGAAAAGCACCGAAAAUCAUGAAAAAAUGAUUUUGAAGAAAAAUAAUAUACCUUUGUGCAAUCAGCUACAGCUUUCUUAUAUUCACCAACUUCUUUGUAACAUGCAGCUCUGCAUGUCAAGACGUCCAUGAUGCCAGUAUCAUCUCCAGCUUUCUCCAAAAGAACGACGGUCCAAGACAACCAUUUUAUGGCGUCAGCAAACUGGCCCUGCUUGUAAUUGUCUAAUCCCUUAUUUUUCGCAGUUGAAGCACUAACACCAGCAGGUGGGGGUGGAAGUCCUUCAAGUUCGGUUGUCCCACCUGUGUCAUGGCCAUUGAAGUCCGAUUCGAAUCCCCAGUCAUCGCGCCCAGAAGAAUCCUGGCUUUUAAAUUCAGCACCGCUGCCUGGAGUUGUCGUAAACAAUGCAUCAAAACUAUCAACACCAGUGGACUGACCAGAUGGUCGACUAUGAGGCUGACUACUAGGGAACCCAAAAUCAUCAAUAUUCGAAAAAGAACCUCCUGCACCUGGCCCAGCAGUAUUAUGGUUCCCCGAAGGAAAACUACUUGGCUGACUCUGGGACGGAGUACUAAAGAACCCAAAAUCGUCAACAUUCGAAUAAGAACCUCCUGCACCUGAUCCUGUCGAGUUGUUGUUUCCUGAGGUAAAACUACCUGAAGGAUGUGCAACUCCACUUGUUUUUGAAGCACUCUGAAAACUUUGAAAUGCAUCAUCUCCAACUUUACUACUAGCACUUCCUUUACUCUCUGACUUCAUAUUACCACUCGGUUUAGACGAAAAAUCAACUAAGGAACCAAACGGGUCCUUAUUUGAACCCAUCCCACCCAAUCCUCCACCUCCAGCCAUACUCUUCAUAGAAGGACCACCAAGAUUUGUUCCUUUACUAGCAUUCCCAUUCAAGUUAACAUUCCCUCUACCGCUGUUGUUACUGCUAAAUCCACUCGUAUAAGUCCCGAAAGUUUCACUAGACCCCCAAUUUCCGCUACUUUUUGUUGAAUUACCCGUUUUGGGCAAUGAAUCCGCCAUACCCCCCAUUGAAAAUGAGCUCUUAUUCGACGCCGGAGCUGCAUUUUUCAAAGGCACAUUACUAUUGCCCUUGUUCUGACCCAAUGCCGAGCCAAGCAAAUCACCAAACAAGUUGGGAUCUUUGUUAACAACUCCAAUCCCAGAAUUCAAACUGCUAGCUGGGGCAGAUGAACCCCAACUCUUCCCAGAAAUAUCCCCCACCAUCGAAGUGGGACCCGAUAGAGAUCCCGUCCGAGUUGAUUGAGCCGGAGCAGCAGGUUGGUGGGUCCAUGAGGGUUUGUUAAUAGGCUGGUGAGUCCAGGACGGCGUCGUACUGGGCUUUGCCUGAGCUGAUGAAUAUGAACCAUAUGAAGAAGACUGGUUCUUUUGAUCGCUAAGAGAUCGAGAACCCGACUUUCCAAGACCCAAAUCGAACUCGAAACUAUUUAAGGAUCCCGAUUUGCUAUUGGAUUUUCCGUAGUUUGAAUUCAUUUUCCUCCUCUAGAUGUGAAUUAUGUUUAGGAAGUUUGGGCUAAUCAAAUCAAAGCCAGAUAAAAAAACGAAAACUAAACGUAGAUGAUCCGAAAAUAUAGAUCAAACAACGAACUACUAAAAGAAAGGAAGAAAGAAAGAAAGAAAGAAAGAAGGGAUCUCGGAUGGGUUCAGUAUAUACCUGAUGGAGUUAAAAUUGGAAUUGAAACUGAAAUUUGCAGAGAGGUUAAAGAAAAGCUUGGACCGCGUAAGGCUGAAAGGAGCUCAGAGCCACCGCUGGAGAGAAACCAAGUCGGAGGGAAUAAGAAGUGCGACGGGACCGCGAGUUGGAGCAGGAGCUGGCUAAUUAACAUAUAUAGCUAAAUGUGUGAAUGCCAUUCUCUUCAAUUGAGUUGAAUUGCUGACGUGGCACAUUUUUAUUGGUCUAUUGGUGGUAGUCCUCCGAUUGAUUGAGCUAAUGAAUUGAAUUGAGGACAAAAUCGAGAUUUCACGCCUUAAUGAAUAGGUAGGGUUCCGAGAGUCUUCGCUUGCGCCGCUCAUUGUGUUUCUUGCUUCUGCUCCGUUUCUUUCUUCCUUUCUUCUCCCGUUCUUUCUUCCUUUCUCCUUUCUUUGUUUUUCACUUCUUCUCUUUCUUCUUUAAUUGAACAUUAAAUAACAGUGCAAGACAAAACAAAGGUCACAUGUUGGUCUUCUUCCAGAGCUUCUCUCCCCUUCCAUUUUUCUUUCCUUUCUUUGGCAAGAAAAUAAGAUUCGGGAUUUUCUCUCCCAGAGAUGUCAAAAUGUUUUUCCUCCUCUUAUUUUCUCUUCAUCUCUCCAGUUUUUUUCUGCACCGCCAUCUACCCAAAUCGUUCUUCCUCUCAUCAGCUGAAUCAUGUGUACGCUGGAUCAUCCACCAUUAUAAAAGCAAAAAAAAAAAAAUAUGGAGAUCGUUUUCCCUUUUAAACUUUCUUCAUCUCCUUCUAAAAAAUUGUCAUCUUUAUCGGUGAUUUUUGUGGGUUUUUUUUCCUAAUACUUGAUUGUACUUUCUAUGGUGUUGUAGGUGGAAAGGUUGAAUAUUUACAUUGACUCCAGAUUCAAGGUAAGUGUCUUCCAUGACUUUUCCUUAUCUUUAAAACCCUCAAUUCUUUUUCUCAUAUGCCUUUACUCUCAUCUCUAAGGUUUUUUUUCCUGUUUUUUCGUAUUGCUUUAAGAAGGAAUAAUUUGACUUCCCCGUAAUAUAUUGUGCUCUUUUUUAUGUUUUGGUGAAACAAUUUUUUUUUGUUUUCGUUUUGGGUUUUUUGCUGUUGCUGUAAUUUAGGGAUUUUUUUUUAUGGAGAGCAAUGAAGGAGGGGAUGAUAAUGUUCUGGAUGGUUUCGCAAGUCAAAAAAGGUUUGCUUUUUUUCAUACCCUUUUAUAAAUAAUCAAGAACAUUCCCUAUUAAUCCUUUGGCAAAAUGUUGUGAAAUAUCAAAUAUUUCAAUCCAAAAAAGUACAAUUAUAAUGUUAAUAUGAUUAGCAAUCCUGUAAACUCUACUGUCCCUAUAGCUUCUGAGGUCUUCAAGAAAGCAGGGACUUAUGAUGACAAAAAGUUUUUUGGCGUCACUAUACUCGAUGUUGUCAGGGCGAAGACAUUCUAUGCUGGGAAGGCCGAAGUCAAUGUUGCAGGUAUAUCUGCUAGGCCUUGGAUUAUAGUGUGGUGUAUGUAAAAGUGUCUUACUCGUUCUUUGUCGUGUUUUGGUUUUGGGAAGUAGUCUAUUCUGGCCUUAACUUACCUUUUAAUGCUUGCUCCUUUCCUCCAGAGGUUAACGUACCUGUUGUUGGAUAGAAAAGUACUCCAGUUCUUUUGUUUGGUUUGAAAAAUGAGGUAGUGUAUUUUUUGGGUGAUACAACAAGUUUUCUGAAGCAAAACUUAUCACUUGAGAUAUGAUAAGUGAAUGGGUGAGAAAGUUCAAGUUUUGAUGUUAGAAAUCACAUUGGAAAUGGUGAUGCAUUUGACCAUAAACCUUUUACGAAUAAGAAAUUUUUUUGCUGUCACUGGACUAGAAUACACCUACUUUUACACUUUUUUCCUUCAUUCCCCCAAUUUCUUUGUCUCCUAUGUUUCAGAAUUUUUUAUCUGAUUGUUUUCUUUUAACCCAAAAAAGUAGAAAUAGGCUUUUGUGUGUGCCUAUAGGGGUUUAAAAAGUAAAUGCACUUUUAGAGUUAAUAAAAAUGAAUGGUGCUUGUUAAAUUGGUUGCUUCAGAAUAUGACGAAAUUGGGAGGGGCAUUGCAAGAGUUAAUUCAGUUUGAAGGCAUUCUCCUGUUAAGAUUUUGGGUACUCGUAUAUUUACCAUACUGCCUAUCUUUACUGCCUUGAAAUUUAGCGGGGUUCUAUCUAUCUCUAUUGAUUGCAGUUAUUAUUUCUUAGCAGUUGAAAUGUCUUAAAUUUAGUGGAUAGAGCAGCUGAUGUUCUAUGUUCAAAUUUCCCAACUCUUGUUUAGUUGUUGCUUGGGUUUUUCAAAAUAACUGAAAUUGUCAAUUUUCUUGGUUCUUGUUCAUGUCUCUGCCAUUGCAAGGAGACUUUGACUGCCAUUUCCAGGUUGACCUUUUGGCCCAUGUUCCAAAGAAUCAUCCAAAAUAUAAUGAAUCUGUUAUUAAACUACAUGGUAUUCUUCAUAAUGUCAAGAUUUGGGAGGCUGUAUGUUGAAAUCUUUAUUUCAUAGUUGAUUUUUCUGGUUUUGUGGUUUUAAUAUGCAAAGUGAAAUCAUUAUUAUGCCUAACUUCCUUGAAGAUGUUUUGAUCAGUUCAUGAUUCAUGAGAUACAUAGUUAUAUGAAUUAGGUAAAUGGAGUUUCAAAAGCAAUGUCCAUGUAAUCUACUAUGAAGAUACUGUCUUUCCUCUUUUAAAUUACUAAAAAAACCUAGCUCGAUCUUUGACUGGAAAAAAUAUGUUUAAAAAAUAGUAUCCCUGUGCUUCACACCAUUGACCUUUGAUGUUGGACCCAAUUUUGCAUUUUUAAAAAAAAGAAAAAUUGGAAAGUAAUGCAUAGGAAGUUCUCUAGAAUUUGCUUCCACAUAUAUGUACAGUGUUUUGUUCCCUUUGGGGAAAUUUCAUCAGUGACAUUAUUUUUAUUGAUUGAUUUCUAUUGGUAAGACUCGCUUUUAUACUCUCUCAGUAGAUUCUUUUCUUGUUUUUGUUAUCCCCAAUUUUUUUUGUGAAUUCUUCUUUCUUCUAAGCAACUUUAAAUGUUCUUUUCAUUAUAUGAAUAUGUUAUUAUUGGGAUACAUCUAAUCUUGAUCCUACUUCUGUAGCAGGAAAUGACCAUAUUUUCUGUUUUGUUACUGGUGGGUCUGCUCAUGUGCAAAUGCAACUUAGCACCAAAGAGUGUGAGAGUCUGGGAUUAACUGGUCUGGCUCUCUGCUUAGACUGCAACACUUUUGCUGAGUACGUCAAGGACCAAGGUUAUACCUUUAUUAUAUGAAUUUUGUUGAUCCUCUGAUAUUUAUGGUUUUUGGUGGAUUUUAUUUCUGGGUUAUGAUGGGUUUUUUGAAUUGAUUACUCGCUUGUAAGUACAUGGGUUGUAAAAUGGUAAUAUUUGGGAUUCUUGUUUCUGUACUAUAGCUGAUUGGUUGUCAAAAUUAACGAAUAGUAGGAAGCAGAUGUGAUUCUUAUUGCUUUUAGUUGACUUAAGAUCUGGGUUUUUUUUUUUGGGAUUUAUGAAUUGCUUAUUUAUAUGUGAGAUGUCAUUGGUGAUAAUUUGAAACAAGAACCUAAAAAAGGCUAUGUUUUUAUACAAAUCAGAUUGAGCUAUUAUGCUUAUAACAGUAAAUAAGUGUAUUUUGAUUUUUGUUGUUUUCGCUAUAAUUUUUUGUGAUUAAGUUUGAUAAAAAAAAUGGAUGGAUAAGUAGUAUUUUGGAAGAUUUAUCUUUUUUCUUUUUGUGCCUCAGAUAACUUAAGUAUAAUCGCAGAAAUCGAAAUAAGAUCUUCAUUGGGAUUCUUAAAUUAUCUCAUGCAAUUAAUGGCGUUACAUUGUAAUCUAUAGAAUUCUAAGUAACUAGCCUGGAUUAUGGUAAUGGUUCAGUUUUGUUGCUCUUGAGGAUGUUUUGCACCUGAGCUGACAAUGAUCAAGACCUGCAAGAACAAACGUUCUACGGUCAUGAUUUCCUCAAUUACGCCUUGUAGUUCCUUAUAUUUGAUGAUUAGGACCAUACCUAUUAAAUUGGGAUAUUCUGUUGGCAUUCUUUAUUGUACCAAAUAAAGUACUAUCAGGAGAAAUUCUGAAUGGAAAUGUGCCAUUUUCUGAAACAUGUACCAGAGAACCCUUACUCUUCAACCCUUUUAUAUCCAUUUUGGUGACUUUGGAAAAUUUAAAUAGCUGAAGCUUGUGUAACAGAAUUCAUCAAUUAUAUAAUGACUUAGAUUUGUUAAAGAAUUUUGGAUAGUAAGAUUACAACAAACUUUUUGAACAUUCUGCAAUAAUUUUAGUUAACAGGAAGAAAAUUGCUUAUGUCGUCUAGAAAUCCUGGAUGUUUGACAAGAUCUGCAUUUAACAUAUGCAAUUUAGAUGAUAACUUCUAUAGAUUUCUGUAUGAUAUUGGAAUGAUCUUUUUGAGCAUUCCGCAAAUAAUAUACUCUAUGAGUAUGAUAAUCUGGAAAACCUAAUGUUUGAAAAGACUCCGGAUGCAGUUUAGAUUUGUCAGUGCCUCUUAGAAAUUUGCCCCUUGGCUUUGCCUUAGGCUUAGAGAUGGCUUGCUGGAUCGGUCCAUUUUUAUCUAUUGAUUUUUGUUGUGAAUUUUAGUGUGCAAAGCUUGGUCCUGUCGAUUCAAAAAUAGCUCAUUUGAUGCCCACUGUCUUGAGUUCAUUUUGUUUUGUUUUGUAAAUUUUUCAUUGAUUUCUUUGUUUUGUGUUUUGGCCUGUAUCGUUGCUUCUGAUAUAUGAUGAUUUGGUAUCUGUAGGGUAGGAGAAGGGGCGGUGGCAUAUGGUGUUAAAAAUCUUAUUUUUCAUAAGAAAUAUCUCCAAGUCAAUAGCUUAUGUAGAUGAAAGCCUUGGGAUAUUCCGCCUUCUAAAUCUCUCUGACCUUUGUUGUGUAAUUUACAGGAUCUAUUGAGGCAUGAGAGUAACAGAAGCCGUGGUGACAUCCCUUUCAUGUAUGUCAUUAUUGUGGGUUUGCUUGGCCUUGUUCUGGGUUAUCUUUUGAAGAGGACGUAAUCAAUCAAGGUUUGGCGUAACCUGCAAUAUCAUGUGUUACAGUCUGUUUCAAAAUAUUUAGAUCAUUGAAGACAAAUGUACAACUGAUCGGGAAGCGCUCAGUAUCAUGUAGCCAUCUGAUUGACUGUAGAAACAUGCUUAAGAAGGUGCUUGAUGGAUUUUUGUUAUUGCCUUGAGGGCUUUAGAGCAUUCAUUGUGUGACUAAUUGCUGUAACGUGUUAUUUUGGAAACUUAAGCGAUGGACAUAUUUUUAUCUUGCUUCUUGUUUUCUUUCCCUUUCUAAUGCCUUAAUGUUCAAUCAGCUAGAAUUUUGUUGGCUUUUUCCCCAGUGGUCAUAUUGUUUCAAUCAGUCAUCAUUUUAUCUUCAGUGGUCAUAUUUAAUUUUUCUCUUUGUGAUCUUGAUAUAAACAAAUAUUGAUUCAUUUUCUCAUUGUCUAUUGUUGAUUUGUUAUCCAAGCAUUUGAGAGUUUAGUUAACGUGUAUACAUACAGAAUAUGAUAAAUGUUAAACUAUUCGAUUUGGAGCCUUCAUCACUUGUGCUUUCAGUUUCAUUAUGCAAGUUGCAAAUCUGCCGUGGUUGAUGUGUACAUAGCCAAUAGUUUUGAGGGUGUCAAGUCAGCAUACUAGAAUAAUUUCUAAGUUUUAACCAGGAAUUAACACCAUCCGAAUCUCAGGGAACCAUCAAUAAGGUUAAGAAGCUUUUCAUCUUUCGAAUUUUAGAAUUUUGCUUGAUUUGAACAAUAAUAGAAAUCGAAUUGAAUUACUUAUCAGAUUGAGUAAACAAAUAGCAUCUCCACUGUUAAAUAUUUGGUUUUUUUUUUCUUCCCUAAAAGGUUACUUGUUUGCAAAACUACAAGACUAAUAAAAUAUAUUUGUUUUGAGAACAAAAGUAAAUGAUCAAUAAAGAAAUAUCUGACCCGGACACUCCUGUGUUGACAAAAAAAAAAAAAAAAAAAAAUCUGAAGUUUUGCUUUUCUUGGUUUUGCAUCUGCAUCAUCGCUGCAGCCGAGGAAACUUCAUUGGUAGAGUUUUCAUUGUGGGUCUGUAGAGACUGCAUUUUAGAGAUCUUUUUUGUAUGUGGAUAUGAUUAUAUAUUAUUUUAAAGUUUCUUUUAUGGAAAAAAAAAGAGAAGAUGUUAUAUUUGUUGUAUGUUGUUGACUUAAAACUUAUCUUGCAUCUGAAAUAUUUUCAUUGUGUAAUUAUUUGAUUUGGUUUUUCAAAACUCAUUCAUUGUCUUAAUAAGAUUUUAGACACGAGAUAAUGGUUUGUUUAUCUUAUCAAUUAUAUGUAGAUUUUUAGCCCGUAUUGUGUUGAAUCCUGUAUCUCUUGCAAUUAUGUGGUCGUUUUUAUAUUUUACAAUUAAAUAGGCUUCUUAUCCGACAUAUUUUAGUAUUGCUCUCAAAAAGUUGACCUUCCUCUUGAAUUUGUUCAUGAGUGGCAUAUUUUUUGUGCACAUCAAAUCAUUGCAAAUACAGUUAGUAUAUGCAAGAUGACGUUACAUGGUAAUAUAUUAUUUUGAAACUCAUGACAUUGCCAAUCCUAUUCAAUUAGUAGAUAAAGCAAAAACUGACUCUUCGUCGCUUAGUCACUAAGUUAAAAUUGUGGCUUAUUUUCACUGCUUAAUAAAAUUACAAAAACAUAAUCCUAAAGAUUUUGGUGCACCUUUGUAUAACUUUUCAUACUUACUAUCUAAAUUUGAGUAAUUGCGCAUUUCUGGGCAAGUCCAAAAAUUACACCGCGCAUCGCGCGGUGUUACCCUCCUAGUUAUUUAUCAUGUUUGAUCCAGUUUACCAAUUUAGCGACUGAGACAAAUUUUUUAAAAUUUGCAAAUCCCCCCAAUGAGUUACUCCUGUAUGCUAUAGGAGUACAUCUACGCAACUUGAACAUAAAUGACAAUUUCCGUUAAUGUUUAGUAAAUAUCUGCAUGGAAUUAUUUUUGAGAUCUUUAACAAUUUAAAUAUUAUGAUUCCCAUUAUACACGAAAGUCAUAAAGUGAUGUGUUUAAGGAUUAAAUCCAUCAAUUUAUUUGUAGUUUGACCAUGCUCAAGUUUCAUUUAUGUCAGAUGAAUCUUAAGAGCGUGUUUGAAUAACAAAUCAUUUGGGAUAAUUUUUUUUAAACUAUUGUAGCGCUUUUUCAUGUUAUGUAUAUAAGAUAAAAUGGUGAUUGAAAAAUGUGUUGAAGAUAGAAACAAAUAAAAUUUGGCAAAUAAUCACUAUCCAAACAAAUAAAAUUGUAGGGUUUUACCUUGAAAUGUUUUUCAAUAUUAGGCUUCUUUAUUGUUUCGCUAGGUGAUUGACUAAUUGCUUUUUUUUUUUCUCUUUUUUUUUUUAGAAGUAAAAUAGGAGCAGCUGAAAUACCCAUCAUUUACAAGAAAGAUGUAGGUACGCUUUUCAAAUUUAGAUGGAAUUCCAGGGCAGUCUCUUUAAGCUCUCAGGAAGAUUGAUAUAUUGACUAACCGCAGCGAAAUGAGGGUUCACUAUCAUUUCUCACAUGAAAUUGGCAAUUAAUCUCACCUCCAACUAAAUGAAAUACAUUUCUUUUGAUGCUUUUACGUUGAUGUUAUCCUCUAUUACCAUAAUUGUACACUUCUUUUUUUGGUACAAACGAAAAUAUACACUUAUUUUGAAGUUUUUAAAGCAUUGGCAUUGAACAAUGUAGCAAAGAUAUUACUGAAUAGUCACAAAAAGAAUAGUCACAAAAAUUAUCCACUUCUUUUUUUGGUAAAAAUGAAAAUAUACACUUAUUUUGAAGUUUUUAAAGCAUUGAAAUUGAACAAUGUAGCCAAGAUAUUACUGAAUAGUCACAAAAAGAAGACAACCGUAUUUCUAUCAGCUAGCAUAUGUGCUGAAAGAUAAUUUUUCCCUAUCAACUUUUGCAACGAAAACAUCGAAGGGGAAAGUAAGCAAGGUAAGAAUACCUUGCAAUUCGUACCGGCUUCACUUCGAGACACUCUUCUUCAAAUCCUUGAGGUGCAAGAUGAGCAGCAAGGCUUUUCAAUCCCCAAAUACACAUUUGUAGUCAGUACAAGGCAAGAAGAGGCAUUUUUUCCGUUUUGACUACAUAACUUAGAUGUUUGUUGUUCAUCACCAUCUAACUUCUCGAGAAACACAGCAACCGUAACCAUUUCCAGUUCUAUCUCUUAUUAAUCGGACAAGAAUUCAAGGUUCAAAAGGAACUUAUAGUUGCAGUUAAAGAAAAUGCCUGCUGAAGUUUCAGUUACUUCAAGGGCCAUUCUACUAAAUCAAGUAAAAUACCAAUUACAAAAGAUCCCAAUGGAUAUUCACACGAGUUCUGACAUGCCAGGUAACAUGCAGUCUUUCCUAACCAGCUAACUUGACAAUACAUGACGGGCCAAAUUACUAUCCAUCCCUCAAGCUUAACUAAAUUCAGAGGAAUCUCAUAUUUCAACAACUAUGAUUUUCAGGCAUUUGUCCCCUGAAACCCUCCCUGGUUUGGUUGAUAACCACCCUCACCACUCUGAGGUACAUUCUGGCCAUUCAUUGGUGUUGGCUGCUGCGGCGCUGCUUGCUGAUUUGGAGACCAGGCCUCUCUUCGAAUAGGCUCUCUCCUUUCAACCUGCAUUGUCUCACGUCGUCUAUCAUACCGUGGACGAGGCCUGUUCCUGGUUUGUUGCCUCUCAUUGAAUCUAUAUUGUGGCCUAGGAAUAACCUUUCCAUCAACAAAAAGAUCCCCUAUAGCAAAUUCAAAAACAGCACCAAGAAAUGUUUGAUUACCAUGAAAAAGUAAUAGAGGAAAUGUAAGGACAUAAAACAUUAAAUUUCCACUCUGCUAACCUCCAUAGUCCUUGUUGGGAACAUCAAGAUAUGAAUCAGGCAAAACCCACAGAACAUCUGGUAAACCUAUUUCAAGACACACAACGUGGAAUUAGUCCAAAAAAACCUCAAAAGUAAUCUAGAACAAGCUAUUUUUUGUCCAAUCUCAAAUUAAUUACUUUAGCAAAAAUAAAUCAAAAGUUUGAUUAAGCCAGGAACAUUAGCAAAUAACAUGUUCAGAUAGUCAGGAGAUAUAAACAAAAAAUAAUUGUUCCGGCCAACAGUUUCCAAAGAAUGUAGAACAUUGAACACAAUUCCCAUAAGUGUACAUUCAAUUGAAUAUCUCAAGCAAUGACUCUACAAUUACGACUGUAAACAAAUGAUAAGCAUAUACUAGACCUUUUAAACCCCAUCAAGAUCCUGAUACUGUGGGAAUAGGUUGGAAAAAUAGAAUACAUAACACAAUGUGACAUCCCUUGCUUCUUCAAUUUUCUUCUGUACAGAAGUUGCCAUAUGAUUGUUUUGAAUUUUAUUGCUACAGAAGAUGAUGUUUUUCCUUCUCCUAAUUCAGACUAUUAGAACAAAGCAAACUCUGAUCCUCCAAAAGGGGAAAGAUCAAGAACAAAGUAAACUUCACCCAAACCCGAAAAAAUAAACACAAAAAGACAUAGCAAGUCAUAAAAUAACUAUGACACUUUAUUGAUAUCAAAAUCUCUCCAAUUACCAUGGGGCAUUGAUUACCUUUAACUUUGUAUGAGAGCUCCUCAGAAAUCAAAGCACCAAAUCCAGUGUAUGUUGUUGUGCAAACAGAGUAAAUUUUCUUCUUUGCCUCCUCUUCACUGCAUAAUAAACAAACAAGACAUGACACAAUCUCAGAUUAACAACUGUAUGUUGAACCUUUAGAUAAACUAUGGCUAUUAAGCAACUAGGAGAAACAUCUCCAAAACCAAUGGCCAAAACUUAGUGCCAAGCAGCACACAGUUACGUACAUGAAGUUCUAACAAACAACUUAUUGACACUGAUGAUUAGUUCCAUUUACUAUAUUUUCAGGCAGAUAACAUUACAGUACGCUGAAAUGCCAAUUCAUCAAAAUGCCAUCUAACCAUCCUAUACCGAAAAACAUGCAUUCAAUCUGAAAAUUGUACAUGCACUAGUAGACGUCGAUGACAGAGUGGAAAAGUAUAGCAACAUUCAUACUGGAAACAGGUAAAACUAAAUGCCAGAAACGUAUGAUAAAAAACUGCAUUGAGUACAUGAAUUUCUCUUUUUUGCCACACUUUCCGGUACAAAAAAACAUGCAGAGGAAACUUAAGUAAACAGGUUAAAGAAUCAUACUUUAUACAAAGAUUUUCCAACAAUAUCAAUGCCAUGCAAUCAUAAAUAUUUCCUAGUUUGGGUUUUGCAUAUCAAGGAUAAUCCCCUGAGUAAAGCACACAUAAUGUAUAUUUAAAAAAAUUACAAGCUGAAUUAAAAGAUCAUCCCCUUUUUUCUUUUUCUUUUUUUUUUGGUUCUGCCUUUCUCUUGUCAACGAUUUAUCAUCAAGGAAUUAGUUAAAAACACAUAAACUAACAAGAAGUACAUCAAUUAAGUUCAAGGGCAUUAUACCCUAAAAAAUCUUGUAAUUUCGUCAUAAGAUAAACUAAUUUUUUUUUUCAUUUUUCUUUCCAAAAAAUUAAUUACUAGGCCUCGGUUCAAAUCUAGUACAACAUAAAUAAUUGGAUAAAAAGGAUAAUCAUGUCAAGAAUCUAAGCAACAUGUGGUUGCCCACCGAGAAAAAGUAAUUGUACCUUCCAACAACAGAGGCUAGGGUUUUAACAUAAGUGUUAACCAUUUCUUCAUCCGAGGGUUUGGGGUCAUUUGGGAACUCCAUGACGAUAAGCCAGUGUUCAUAGUCGCAACCGUCGAGGAGUAUCGUCUCCUUCGGCGGUCGGUUGCUCCAGUUGGGUGACGGGUCAUUUAGGGGAGAGUAGCCCGACCCGGAUGUUCUGUUCCGGGUUAGGAUGUUAUACGGGAUCGGAGCUGCCUCUGGGGUUUCGUUAUGGAGAUUGAGGAGAGGGACAGUGAGGCGGGCACGAGAAGGAGAUGAUACGGUGCGGCUGAAAAGGGUGGCUAAUGUGCGCCGGGCGGCGAAUAGCGCCAUGGCUGCUGCUGCUGCUGCUGGCUACAGAGUAUUGACGAGAUGGUUGGGCUAUUUUAUUCAUCUUCUCGCGGAAGAAAUUGCACUUUGGCCCUUCAUGUUUGGGUUUGUUCUUUUUCUGCUAUUUUAUUUUGGAUUUGUUCUUUUUCUGCUAUUUUCUUUACUCUUUUUUUUUUUUUUUCCUGAUGGAGGGGGUUUUCGGGUCAUCAAAUAAAUCGGACCCGACUAAUCCCCCACCGGUCCGGGAGGAGAGGCCCCAUCCCCCGAACACGAUAACCAUGGGAUUCGAACCCUGGUGGGACUGGACAACGGCUCCUAAGCAGGCUUACCGUGGCCAACCGAGAAUUGAAUUUACUCAUUCUUGAUACUACUUCAAGAAUUUACUCAUUCUUGAUACUACUUCAAGAAUUGAAUUUAAACAAGUAGAACGCUUUCGUGUAUAAGCAAUAAUUAAUUUCUUACUUAGCUUGACAAUCAAUGAUUAGUUCCUUUAUUUUGUUUUGAUGAGGGAGGUAAAUGAGUUGUAUAUACUGAACACUAACUUAUUGUUUAUAAGCACAGUUUCACUGAGUAAAUUUGACUUACAAAAUAUUGGGGAGUUUGGAUGAAGAAUACAAACUUUUAUCUUUUUUAUUGGGAUAAGUUUGAGUUCUAUUUGAUCGGAGUGUUCCAUCAAUGCAUGAAUUUGUGUUCAUUGAUAUCAAGUUUAAAUCGAAUCAAAAUGUUAACAGGCAUAAAUUUUAUUUAGAUUUGAUCUAAUUAAGUUAACCGAUUAAUCUGAAAUGAGUUUUUGUUAAAUUGAACUUGAUUCAUGUAGCAGUUAGUAGCUUGGUUAAUCUAUCCUGGCUUAUUUGUGCUAAAACUAGUCUUCUGAAUUUAUUUUUUCAUAUUCUGAAGGCAUGUCAUCAUUUAGCUUGGUUCAUGUAUAAUUGCUUCUCAUGUUUUGAAUUGUUCUUCCAAAUUAGACAAGGCGAGGGAUCCAACACUAGGUACCGUACCUUCUUUAAAAGUAAAUUAUUGAUCACCUCACAUACACAUUUUUCUUACAAAAUAAGGUUUAUGUGAAAACUGCCCUUAGACAGAAUAGAAAACCAAAAAGAAUGGAAAGACAACGAAUUGGAAAUAAAGUUUGUAGGUUUGCAAUAAAUUAUUUAUAUAAUGAGUGGCCAAUUGACACUAAUGUUAGAACUUAGAACUAUAGCGUUAGUUUCUGAAUAAUAAUAAUAGAAAGAAUUAAUGGGAAAAUUGCUUCAAUGAAAGGGUGAGGGAACAGAAAUGUAGUAAAUGUGCACUAGAUAGCAAACUCAGCUCAAUCUCAAAAUUAAUCCAAGUUUAUUUGGACCAAUCCAUUAAACCAUGUUGGUUUUAAUUUGCCUAUUCUUUGUCCACAUAAUUUGCAUGGAAAUGAGAGACAUAAUUUGUUCCUUCUUUUUUGGCCUCUCUAUAUAAUUUGUCAACAAUAAGAGACAACAGAUCGAAAAGGGUCUUUUGAGCGAAUGUGCAAAUUUAAUGAGGGGCAGCAUGCUGUUUCCGGGCAGCUAUUGCAUCUAAAAUUAGUGUAUUUGGAUUCGACUUUAUAUUUGGAGAAUAUGAUAUAUGUGAGAUAAAAAGAUGAUUGGGGAAAUAAAAAUGUGUAGUAAAAAAUGUGUUUGUGAUACAAACAAAUAAUUUUUGUGUAAAUGAUGCCUAUUUCCCUGUCCUAACAAGAAUGCUUUCUCUAUUUCCGUCCUUGCAAGAUCUUCAGUUUUGUUCGUGUAUUAGCACUUGCAACAUUCUCCCCGUUCUCCAUAUCCUAAUCAGCCCUUCCCAUCCCCAGAAAAAAAAAAAAAUAAAUCAAGAUUUAGCUUCUAGAAAGCAGAAAUACUUCUUUCCCUACACAUCUGUUUGUUCUUUUUUUACUGGAAAUAUAUAUAACUAUAAUACACAAGGAGCAGGGGUUUGUACACCGCUAGAGAUAACUCGCGCAUUAGCACAAAUGGAGGAAAGUCUAGCGGUCCUCGUGUUCCUGAGAUUGAUGUUGGUAAAAUACACAUUUUGGCAAGGAACCGAUGGGCUGCACGUUAGACUGAUAGCAGUUUCUGUGCUUGUGGUUCCCCUUAUGUUUUCAUAGACAACAUCGGUGAUUCUUACUUGAGAUGGCUGCAUAAAAUUAAACAAUCAAAAUCAGAAUUGGGAUUUCUUUCUUCUUCACAUGGGAGAUUAAUCACUUCAUAUUGGCUUUCAUUGAUUGAGGUCCGUAGCUUAAUUUGUUUACACAGCUGGAGAGAGAGAGAGAGAUUAACCGACCUGGGUGGAGGAUCCGCCAUAGUUUUGGUCUAUGAUGAUGGGGUUCAACACAUUUUCCAUGACAAUAUCGCUGAAACGCAUCCCUGCAGCAACACUUGGACCUGAUCCUGCGUAUGUUUUAAUUCUGACGCCAUUUGUAGUGCCUUGCAGUGUGCAAUUUUUCACAAUCAGCCCUCUCACAUCCAAUUCAUUGGGAUAUUUGCCCAGGCUACCUAUGCUGUUUCAUGAACAAUAAUAAUGUUAACCCGAAAAAGAAAAAAGAAAAAAGUUAAUAAGGUUGUUAACCAAGAAUGCAAUCACUAAAAUGAGCUAGAUUUUGAUUCGCACGACGAUCCAAUCAUCAUUAAGCAAACAACUUUCGUGUAAGCCAAAAAGUACCUGAUGCCAUGUCCAGGGCCGCAGGUGACUUUGUUAAUGGUGACAUUAGUGGCUCCCGGUCCAAUAGAGACACAAUCGUCGCCUGUUCUGAUUACACUUCUGGCUAUCUUCACAGUGUUAGAUUUGCUUACGUGCAUGCCAUCGGUGUUGGGACUAUCUGGAGGUGCAGUAAUGGUGAGGCUAUGUGCUCUAAAUAGGUAGCUGUUAGUAACGUGCAUGUGAAAUCCCAUGGCGUUUACCAAGCUGAUACCCUUGAUUUUUGCAUUCUUCACACCAUUAAAGUGGAAAGACUGCACAAAUUCAUCAAAAAAACAUAAAAUGUGAGAUUCUUGCAGGGAAAGUCAGAGGAAAGUAAGGGAAAGAGACAACAAAAGUUAAAUGCAAAUGUCUCAGUUUCCAAUUCCUAUGAUUGGUCGAAGAUAUAAUAUGGGGCCAUGAAGAUAAAUUUUCUUGAAAUCUAUCAGCACUUUCUUCAGAUAUAAUUUGCGGUCAGUUCUUUGUCACCAAUAGUAAAUUACUAGUAGUAGGGUUUAACGAUCUAAAAUAUUUUAUCAAGACUUUUUUUUUUUUUUUGAAAAGAGAGAGAGAGAGAGAGAGAUUUUCUAUGGAUAGCAUAUAAAAGAGCUGGAUUAUGUGACAAUUUUUGGACGAAGAAUUGCAACCCCGUAAGACUGAGUUUAUUUAGGUGCUUACGGCUGGUAAAUGCACACAAUCACCAUUAUUUUUGCAGUCAUUGUAUUGCCAUACAUUCUGGCCCCGGCCGUCAAUGGUACCUCCGCCAGUAAUUACCAAGCCGUUUAUCGUGUCGAAAGAAAUCCAGCCUUGACCGGAGUAUGCAGAAACAUCAGACACGGCUUGUACGGUUCCGGCAACCUGGAAAACGAUGGGACUUUGGCUGCUGCACGGCCCCUCAAAUGUGACCUCUCCGAGCGUGAAAAUCCCUGGAGGUACAAACAAACUUGCCCUUGGUCCAACGAAUUUACAGGCAGCAUUCCAUGCCCUCAUGAAAGCCUGCUGGAACGCAAUUAUGGAACUACCAUUAAUUCUCUAGUUUAUGUGGAUAAAUUCAAAACGAGAGAUGGUUACAUUAUGCAUUAAUUAUUACCAUCAUCAAUCAAGUAAUGGUUGGGCAGGAAAAUUAUUCAUCUAUUUAUUUUGUUUUUUUUUUCUAUUCUAGCAAUCUGUAAAAGGACAAAUCAUAAUCCAAUAUUCAGAAAAUCAUUGGUGAUGUGCACUAGCCAGUUGCAUAAUCAAUAGCAAAUGCAUAGCUUACAACCCAAAUAAAUACUAUCUGCAUGAAUGAAUACGAUAAUUCACCUGGGCACUAUCUGUAUUGCCGGGCUUUGCACCAAAGCUGACCACAUUAAAGACGGCAGGAGGGGCGGGCCGUGGAAGGCCGCCAGCUGCAUUGCAAGAAGCCAGAGCCGAACAUAAAACAAGGACCGUAGCAAUUGUGCUGCUGCUGCUUCUUCUAUCCAUGGCCAUUUUACCUGCCGCAGCAACCCUCAAAAACUGGUCUCCUCCUCCAAUUGUUUUUAUAAAUUGCUUGUUUGCUCUCACCCCAGGGAUUUUAGAUGUUGAAAGGGCAAGAGCUCUCUCUCUCUCCGAUAUCUUUGUGUUUGGUUCUUUUUAUAAUUCAAAAGCAAUCAUUGUUCACACUCCAUAGUUAUCGGCAAUGCCUGUAUAUUGGCUGUUCGGACGCUGCGGACGACCUUAAGUUUACGUUUUGUUCUUGUUUCGGCUUGUCUCCGAAAUUGAGGGCUGUUAUUUAGUCACCCUUUCAAGUUCCUUCAAACAUAGCACUAAUUUAUUAGCCGCCGGGCCAUGCACCUCUCUCUUUCUCUCUCACGCCCGCAAACUUUGGUAAUUGACCUCUCGCCUCUCAUUUUCAUCGAGUCCACCCAUAACUGAGAUUAACGCUCACCAGUUUUAACUUCCUGAGAACCUUAUUAUACAUGUCUCAAGCCACAUGGUGGACUGUCACCAAGUAAUGAUCAUGGUAAGUCAUAUGUUGACUAUUGUCACAUGAUGCACAGAGAUUAUGAAAUUCCCUCUCUGCGGUUGCCUUACCCAGCUAAUUAACCUCGGAUUAACAAACCAAAUGCAAAGGGCAUGUAUGGUUAAUUUUCAUGAUUAGUAUGGCUAUUAAAGCUUGCUCUUCUUCGAUCUUGUAGACAUACAAAUGGGAAGCGUUUUGGAUACGUCACUCAUCAAUAUAUACUCUUUUUUUUUUUUUAUAAAAAGGAGCUUGGGUGGAAAUAUAUAAUCAUGGGAUUGGGACCAGUAUGAUUAACAUGAUACAAGUGAUAGAGUUGUCGUAUUUUUUUAUUUUUUUUUAUCAUCUGGCAUAUACUUACGGACAUAGUGUACUCAUACUUCGAAUUAGUGUAUUAUCAACGAAAUUUAUUCGCACAACAGAAUAAUGUAGGGAUAAACCAUGUCGUAUAAAAAGGGGAUAAUUGCAAGGAAAUCUCCCCUGAGGUGGUUUCUGACACUUUCACUAAUCUCUUCUGAGAUUUUAAAAAUUAUACUAACCUCCUUUGUCGGAAAUUUGGACCCAUUACUUAUAUAAGAUAUAGUGAAUAUACUACUUUGCCCUAACACAUUAUGCAUUAUUACAAAUAGAUAUUUGACAAAAAAGGUUAGGGCACUAAAUAAUAAGAUUAACUAAUAAAACCAAAAAAAUGAUUAUUUCAUCUCAAAUUAGCAACCAUAAUUACAAUAAAAAAAUGACAUCAAUUGCUAUCCUAAGAUGGCGCUAUUUUUGUGAUUAAUAUCACUUAACAAUGGUCAGAACAUGCAACCUUAUAUAAUCUGCACAAAUAGAUUUUAUGAGCAAGAGAAAUAGAAGAAUUUUCUGAUUGACUUAUUUUGUUGAAUCUUGUGUUCAGACAAAACUAUUCAUGCCUUUUGUUGUUGAUUUGUUGACUAAGACUUGUAUGUUUUUUGCACCAAUACUUUUCCUUUCACCUCGUCAACUAAAAUAAAAAGAUUAAUUUUUUACCCAAAUUCAGAUGCUUCUACUACUAAUUUAAUAGCAUUAUAGAGUUAGUUGUGUCUUUUAUGUGUAGUUGCAAAUGACAAAAAAUUAUGGCCAUUACAAUUUGUACUAGCUAUGUGCAGAGACCAUUGUUGCUUCAGGUUAUAGUUGCUACAUCUUUUCAAAUUUUACGUAUAUCCCUUGACUUUUCAAAUUUUACCAAUACAACUUGAGGACAAUUAUCAUGGAAAAGGGUGUAUAUGGAAGAAAAUUAUCAUCUGAUCACUCUUCAAAAUACUUUUUAAUAGUACUUUUUUGAAUUGGACUGAUUAGGUACCAAAACUUUAAGUUAAAGAGAGAUUAGUGUUUUUUUUAAAAAACUUCAAGGAAGGUCAGGUUUUUAUCUGUUUUAAACAUCGGAUUUCCUUUAUUUUGCUGGAUCCGAUUUAUGAACUUUCCUCACAUUCCAAACUUUUAUCUAUGUGGGCCAGUUCCAAAGUCCUGGAAUUUAGAUGUCUGUAUCCACCACCACACCCCACCGCCGCCCAAAAAGAUAUAAAGAAAAAAACAUAGAUGAAAAGAAAAUCUUUGUGAGAUACACACUUGCAUAUCUUUGGUUCAUCAAGAUUGAUACAUAGAAAUAUAUAUAAGUAUAAUUUAUUACUUUCUGAAAUCUAGAUAUUACUUUCCUAAUGGAUCUAAGAUUCUGGAUGAUGAACAACUGUAUUGCUAUUGGAGGGGGCAGAUUAACUUUCACUUUGCACAGGUAAUUUUGCUAAUGUCUUUUAACGAUUGGAUUUAAGCGAGAAGUUAGGCGUGCAAAAUGUUAAAAAUUAAAAUUUAGAGCGCAAAGUGAAAACAAGAUAUAAGCUUAGUAAUGCAAAUUAGAGUUAGUCCUAGAAAAAAUAGAGAGCUCUCUUAGAGUACUAAAACUAGAAGUCCAUUAAAACUAGCAGUGGAUUUGAGAGACCACAGCCAGACACCACGCUGAUACGUACGUACUAUUAAAAGGGAAGGAAGCAAAAAAAAAAACGAUUUCAUGCAAGACCAUAUAUAUAUACUACUAGAAGACAAGCAUAACACGUAUAGAACUAGUGACAUCUUCUGAUGCUUCACGCCGGCAGCCAGCUAGCGGAGUACCAUAACUAACUCGUCUGAUUUUCCCAAGUGGUGCAGAAGAAAACCUCAGGAUUAAUCAGCCACGGAGAACACCAAAGAGUGAUUUUCGCUUACCAGCAUCCUUAAUCAACACCCCUCCAUAUUUUCUUGCAGCUUGGUUACAGUCAAUGGCUUCAUUUUCUUUCGUAGGAAUAUCAAUAAUGUUAUUACUCACCAGUGGCAAGUUGGACCUUCGAUUUGACCAAAAUGGUUGCUGAAUUCGAUUUGCUUGAGGCUGUUGACGCUCCGGACGAGGUGGUGGCGGCGGCCUAGUGGUUGGACCACGGUACUCUUCACGUUCCAACGUCGCAAAGCCUUCCUUGCCAAUCUCCACUAGACUUGCUCUAUUCUUACGUCCCAUUUCAACCAAAGACUACUAUUUGGAUGCUAAUCGAAUACUAGUAAUUAUAAAUACUGAUCGGAUGAGCAAAGAGUUCGAUUGCUUUUGCUUGGUACAAAAACUAAUGGAUUCAUACAUCUUAUAUAUAGAGGACCAAAAAGUAUCUAUCACUCGCAUCCUGCAUGCCAAUGGUAGCCUAUAUACUUUACUUCCUAGCUAGUUUUAGCUUCAUUAUUGGCAAUAUUCAAUGUUCAAAAAUCAAGUUGGGUCAUGGGUGUGGUUAAACAUUCAUGGCUUUUGAGCGAUAUUGAGUCAAAGAUUCUUUCUUUUUAGGUUUUUAUGCAAUAUGUACUAAAAUAUUCUUUCUUUCGUGGCUCUUUAGGCUUUACAUUGAGUAAAAAAAAAUUCUUCUUUGGUGGCUCUUUAGGUUUUCGCGGAGGCAGUGAAUAAUUUAUUAGUGGAGAAAGCUCCAAAGAGAAAAAUUAUACCGAUUCGCCUAUAGAUUGACAUUAAUAAAAUGAUCAAUUCGAGUUUGAUUGUUCAUUGAAAUAGCUAGUUAACAAUUGCGGUACUAGCUUUUAAUUAAGUUUGUUUGGAUUGGGUUUUAUUUCCCCAAAUUUAUUUGCUUACAUCAUCAUUACAAUUUCCAAUACACCUUUUUACCUUCUCAAUUACCUUUUUAUCUCACAUACAUCACAUCACAAAAAGUGCUACAGUGAAAAUAUCUCUAAUAAUUCACAAUCCAAACAGACAGAAUGUUAUCUACCAAACAAUAAACAUACCACAAAAAUUUUUUUCAUUCUACUUUUGUUUUGUCGUUGCUCUUUAAUUUGCAGUUUUUUCUCUAAGUUUUUUUUUUUUUUUUUAAUAGGAGAAGGGUUAGGUUUGAAAAGCGGCUAUGAUUUCAAUCUUAGCCAGUAAAUUAAGAUCUCUUUAACUAUUUUUUUAAUGUAUAUAAACACUAAUUCGAGCUUUUUCUGUUAGUCAAUCAAUAAUUACAGGGUGGAUGAGGUCAUUGAAUUACGUAACACUGAAUGACGUCUAAAUGGUAAUUUUGCGUGUUCUAGAGUUAACGGUAAAAGUUGCCAAAUGGAUUCAGCAUUAUAUCUGCAAUUCUUUGAAGCUUGUUGAGCAGGACGAAUCCAUAGAAGAAAUUACUACUGACAUCUUUAUUCCUUUAGCAUUGUCUUCAUCUUAAAUAAAUUUUCGGUGAUCUGAAUUUUGAGCUUCCUAUAUCUCAUAUCCAAGUCGACCGACCAAGUAAAAGAGUUGCUGGAAUUUCCACAUGCAUAUCCACCACCACCACCACCACCACCACCUAGUAUGGAUGAGAUAAUGUUUGAUCACUGAUCACCCAAGAAUUUAGAAGAUUCCUUAGUACUACGCUUAAGUUGUGUAGAUUCUACGUGUUGCGAGUCAUUGAAAUUAAAUCCAAUGUAAAUGUUUUAUUACAGUUUGUACGUAUAUAUAUUCACGGUUCAGGAAGGCCAAUGAAUUUGGUAAAUGAGUUGAAACUUUUUUUUUUUCAUGUGUUGUACAUCAUAAAAUGGGGGAAUCACUGGGCAGGUACGGUUAGAUUUAUUUAGGCGCAAUUCGUAUGAUCGUUGUAUUUUUUUUUCUUCGUGAUUUGGCGUAUAUUCACGUAACUUUAUUAUAUUUCUUGACAUCUAAUAAAAGUUAUAUAAGUAUACACUAAAUCAUAAAAUACAAUAAAAUUAUGUGAAUGUAUACCAAAUCAUGAAAAGAAGCACGACGACAAUCAGAUCAAUUACACCUAAGGCUAACUGUACGUGUUCCAUUCCCUGAAUUGUAUGUGAGUUAGUCCAUUCUUCUGGGGUUUUUGGCAAUCAUAUGAAAUCACGUUGGUUUCAAUCUACAAGUGAUGACGCAAAAUACUAGAACUAGUUUGUCGACUUAGCAUCUGGUUCAAAACAUCUAUAGCCCUUAAAUGAUCCAGUAUCGAAUUACAAGUAGUUAAUGGAAUUUGGAAUAUUUCAACAACCCAGAUCGGUCAAUAUAUUAUUUGCCUAGAUGAUUGGUAGAAGUACGUACGGCAAUGUUAGAUAAUGAAGAAAAUCUGGCUUGUGGGAUAAAUUAAUGUGUGAAUUGGAGGAUAUGGAUUCAAUUUUUGUGGGAUAUAUCAGUGCUAAACUAAUGAUUUUUUUCCGCUUCAUGAAAUCUGAGUCGACCAACCUUUUAGAUUAAUUAUUGCAAUUAUAUAUCUAAAUAAAUUAUCACCCGUAUCAGUGUUUUGUUACUUCAUUAAUACAGCGCGAAUCAGAUUCUGGUGCCUUGCUUUAAGUGCUGCUUAUUGUGCGUACGAGGACGUCAAAAGUUUAUCAAAUCAAAGAGGCAUCCAUUAACCAAAGCCAGAAUAUAAAGUAUGGUAUUAUACUGAGCUUUAAGGUUCGCCAAUAGUGCAGUAAUUAAACAACACUAAUCAUUGUUCUUAGACUAAAAUAUGGGAUUUUUCACACAACUUUUUCUUUUCUAGAUACGAUUGCGGCUAAGAAAGUCAUUCUUUCUUAAUUAAUGGAUGAGAAGAUCGCACCGCAUGCCCCAAUAAUCUCGCAAGUAUAAACUAUAUGUGUACUUGCUAUUUUCAGAUUAAAAUUAUCUGGGGGAAUGAUCUUGUGCAUAUGGAAGGCAAAUAAAUUACAGUGGCAUCAAGCCAUCAACUCCAGACAGCUUGAUCCACAUGUCUCAGUACUGGAAUCAUAACAGUGUGAAUUCACUCUGGUAAUUAGGGUUAUAAUUGAAGAUGAAGAAGUGUAACUUUCAUGCACAAAGGGAAUAUCCAGCGUCUUUAGCCGGAGAUGCCACCUCGUCGCAGGAAUUAAAUCUACGAGAUGCAAACUUAUCUGAUCGCCAUUCAUGAAGGUACCCAUCAUCAUGAAUCAUGAUCAGCUCAGUAUUUCCACGCACUUAAAGAGUUUUCUCUUGGGACAAAUCUUCAAUUUAAUAUUUAGAAACAGAUUGAUGCGAAUCCAAGCCUUACCGUCCUGGCUAAGUAUGCAGAGAAAAUUACAAUCUGUUGAUUCAUCGAUAUCCAAUGGUAUGUUUAGUAUGGUAUAUUCAAAGGGAAAAAAGCAAAGAGAUAAGAGAAUAAAAUGGAUUUGCUUUAUUCGUCGUCUUUGGAUUACCUUUGAACAAGAAAUUUGGGAAGAUCGAGACAAUAGAAAAUUAAGGUGUAACUUAAUUAACUGUCCAUAGCCUUAAAGCUUAGAUAAGUUUCAUGUCCAUCAGAGUAGAAGAAAACGCAAUGACUACAUACAAAGGGCAUUUGAAUGAGAUUUAACGGGUGACUUUACGCUGAAAAAGCUCAACCUAAAUGGAAACUCGAUUUGUUGGAUAGCUAAUUUAAGACCAAAAAAAACUAACCUAGCUAAACAUACUUGAUAACAAUUACUAUUUGUUAGACUUCUUAAAAAUCAAUUCAAACUUAAAACAGCCUGAGUUGGACUGUUAUUAGCUUGUCUACAAUUCAGAGGGAUGAGAGACUACUUUCGGCCAUAGUUCAGCUCAGAUUUGUUCAAAGCACGUAAAAAAUCUUAGAAGGGACAAACUACACAAUUUUAGGGUUUUAACAACGCAAAAAAAAAAAACACAGAUUGAAAAUUUUCUUUUCUUGGACAACAUUUUGGCAAGACCAAAAAUGUUUUGAGGCUAAUUAUGGGCAAGUAAGUCUUGAGCACAUGCAGCUAAUUAAUCAUUUUUUUAACUCUAAUGGUGAUUAUCUGAAAAUAUACCAUUCAGUUUGAGUAUAGUACAAACAAUGUUGACCCAAAGCGCUUUUGCUCCCUCGCUCUCAUUCAGGAUCCAUAACACGUCUAAAUCACAUCCCAAAGAAAUAGAAUUUGUUGAACUACAUCACGAAUUUGAUGACGCUAUUUAGCAGGAAGUUAUUGAGCCAAGCAAAAUUAAUUAAGCUCGCAUAUGCAUGAAUUUGUCGAUAAAUGUGAAACUUAUCAUCAAACAUUCUGAAAAAAGAACGUGCUACCCAGCCAGGAUGAACUUAUAAUGCGUCUAAAUCUAAUUUCCAUAAAUUAAGUAGAUGAAUAAAUAGAGUCGCAGUAUCUGAAUGUAAUCACGAAAUUUAUCCUCGUUGGACCUUUUUUUUCCCAUUUUUGAGGUGGUCGGGCUGGGAAGGUGGCGGAAGCGAGGGAACGAAAGAGAUUCAAAAUUAUAUCAAUAGCCUGCAUAUAUUACAGAUGCAGUACUUGUUACAAGUAGUUUUUGGUACUAUAUAUGGGUAGUUAUACAUACACUUGCCCGAGUACCUUUAAUUUUACAUCUUGCAAGCCUGGCAUAUUAUCAAUAUUAACCAGGAGGUACAAAGUACUGCCUUAAAACGAGCACUUUUAACAUAAGUUCAUACAAGAAGUAGCAUACGAUCAAGAUUCAAGAGUGUCAUCCUUAGGAUAACAGAUUAAUUAUAACGCAUACGAAAAGGUGGCCCCUGAUAAUCCAUCACCGGCAUGUAUUCGACAGACUUUGCAUAUGCCUCGUAUUGAUAGCCGCUCACAACAGUUGCUUCUGUUGCAAAGGUCUUGUUUACUCGCACAGUAUUGGAUUCCUGGGGCCGAUAAACAAGGUAUGAUUCUUGAGGUUGAGUUGCUUCUGUUGCAAAGGCCUUGUUUACUCGAACAGUAGUGGAUUCCUGGGGUUGAUGAACAAGGUAUGAUUCUUGAGGUUGGUAACGCUGGUAGCAAAUUUGAUGAGGAUGAUUUGCAUGGAAAGUGGUGGCUGCGUUGGCAGCUGCAGGAGCCCUUUGUGGUGGUGGAAGGACUUGACGACUCGGCCUGCGUCUCCAGCCGAAAUGUUCAUCAAUUAUAGCAAAGCCCUCCUCGCCAAUCUUAACAAGGUCUGGCUUGGAUGCCAUUGAAUCUCAAAGGCUACACUGAAGAGAAUAGUAUUACUUAGCAAAAAGUAGUUGUGUGUUUGAUUUCUGAUGCAGAGGUAGAGAGGCAGAGGCCUUUAUAUAGAGGCUUUUUUUUUUAGAUAGCAAGGGUCCCAAAGUGGGGGAAAAAGUCGAACCAUAUGAACAUGGCUGCUUCAUGGAAACGAGACAACUUCCCAUGCUAAGUUACAAACAUUUUUAUCACUUCUAACGUUUAUGCCCCCACAUUUUUGUCACUUUUGCUGCAGUGUCUCUCGUUUUUUCAAAUUUUUAAAAUUGUUUCUACAUCUUUUUUUUUUUUUUUUUUUCAUUAACUAACUAUGAUUAAUUAUGAUAACUAAUUAUAACGAGCUAUAUUGAAAAGACCACAGCUCGACAUAUAUAAAAUCCAUAAUCUUGCAUCUAAAAUAAAAUAAAUAAAACUAAAAUUUUUUGUCCCAAAAAACAACUUAAUUUUCAUGAGUUACUUUCUACAAACAAAACUUUUACCAUCAGUUUUACAACUUCGUUACAUUACCCACACAUUGGGGUAUCAUUAGCAAGCGGUUACUUUAAUGUAUACAUGAACUUGUUACAUUUUCUAGCCAUCACCUUGGUUCGAUUUUGGCAGAUUUAAUGAAAUGAUGAUGUUUUAUCCCCAAGAAAAAAAAAAAAAAAACCAUCACCUUGUUUCGAUUUUGGCAGCACAACCUCAUAGUGAGUGGGAAGAAAAAUCUGAGAAAAUUCCAACUUCCCAACAUGGGGCGAUUCCAGGAGACAAAGGCAUAAUAAAGCUAAUGGGAAAGGGGAAGGCACCUGGUGAUUUAAUUCAGGAGGGCUAUAUUAUUUCGUUUGAUCGGCAAGGGAAAGUGGUUUUAUACGGUCGUGGUCUUGGCGGUGGUCCGAGUCUUUCCUCUUUCGGUGGAAUAGAACAUGACAAGUGUGUAAUGGAUUGGAUGCCUUGGACUUCGGUCGAAGACUGGACGACUUCAAUUUUCAGUCCAUUUGUGUUAAUCUUUCAUCUAUGUACACAUUAUAAACUAAUUUUGAAAAAUGAUUAUAGACAAAAUUAGAAUAAUUUGAAACGACUCUUAAGUGGAUUCUUGAUUUUAACUUUUUAAUUAUUCAAAAUUAUUAAAAGAAAGAAAAGAAAGGAAUAAUCAGAUGAAUAGAGCUCCUAGUUAAGCCUGGUUGUUUGCUUGACCGCCACAAUUACUAGAAAGCAGAAUUAUUCUUCUGACUGAAACAAACAAAACAACUUCUAUAACAACUGAUCUUUCAUUGAUAUAACGAAAAUUCGGUCAAGGAAGAGAUAAUUCCUUUUUGCUUUUCUUUGGUUCUUUUCAUCUGACUAGGAUAGACCAAUCCAAAGUUCAUUCAAUCAAACUAUUUAGAAGCACAAUCUUACUUAUAGAAUCACAAAAGAAAAAAGAUUAAAAAAGAAGAAGAAAGUUUGCAAUUUGUUUCUGGCAAAAGCUUCGUUUGGAUUGUGAAAAAAGAUUAAAAAAGAAGAAGAAAGUUUGCAAUUUGUUUCUGGCAAAAGCUUCGUUUGGAUUGUGAUUUUUUGUAGAAAAAUAUUUACAUUUUUCGUGAAUAUAUUUUUUAAUCAUUUUGACUACCUUACAUACAUCAAAUUGCUACAGUAUAUAUUUUUUUACCAAAACUCCUAAAAUUCACUACGGUACAUCAAAUUUUUAACUGGAAAAUGUAACCAUACUCAAAAGUUUACCAAGCUAGUGUUGUACACAACAAAGGCUCUGUUUGAAUUCAGACUUUUUUGAAAAAUAAUUUUUUCAUCUACAAUGGUACAGUAAUAUACAAACAAAAAAUAACUCCAAAAACAUCAUAUCCAUACAAUAUAUCAAAAACAAUUUCAAAUAUACAAAAAAAUACACAACUACCCAUCAUUCUCCACCACCACGGCCACCACUCCACACCCACGACCCUCUCUCCUCUCUCUCUCCGCCCAUCUUUCCUCUCUCUCUCCUCCUCCUCCUCCAUUUUUUCUCCUCCUCUCUCUCCUUCUCCUUCCUCCUUUCUUCUUUCCCUUUUCCCGCCCCCCAAUUUCCUUCCCUUCGACUGACCGCAACCUUUCUAGUCACGAUCAAAUCUGAUCGCGACCAGAAGUCGUGACCAAGACGGUCGUGGUUAGAGUGGUGACUAAAGUCGUAAUCACCACCUGCGAGCGAGAGACGGGUUUGGGGUUGGGGGGAAUGAGGGGAGGGGGGAGAAAGGAGAAGGGAGAGGAAAGAGAGAGGAGGAGGGGAGGAGAGGAAGAGAAAGGAGAGAGGGGGAGGAAAAGGGAAGGGAUAGUGAUGGGUCGUGUAAAAUUUUAAAAAAAGUAUUCCAAAAAAAUUGUAAAUUAUAAAAAUACUUAAAAAUAUAUUUUAAAAAUAUCUCUAAAAACAAUUCAAAAACAUCUAAAGUAAAAGUUUUUUAUAUGCACAGCUAUAGUAAAAUUUUUGAAAAAUACUUCCAAAAACAGCUAAUCCCAACAGAGCCAGUAUUACGGUGAGUUGUUUUAAUCAGAAGAAAGACACCAGAUCUCUCUGCUUCUAUGAGUUGUUUUGAUCAGUUAGAUUUUGAAUCUAUUCUUCUCCCAUGUUAUAUCAUUCUUUAUGUUUAAGCAUUUCGUUUUCAUUGGUUUGGAUAGACAAAAAUCUGAUCAAGUGGUGAAAUUAAAUCAAAUGACGGGGACAGUGCAAAUUAAAUUACGAGAAUAGUGUAUACUCUUGACCACGUACCGUGCUAGAUCCAGCUCGAGCUCGCUUGGCCUUUCUGUAAAACCACUUUCUACAAUCAACCAUUACAUAAAAAGGUUACAACUUCAUAUGAAUUGUGAUUGAUACAAUGGUAUUUAGUUUUAUGUUGUACUUCUUUUUUCAUAAAUUGUGUUUGCUAUAGAGGUUUCUCGCAUUUGCUGCUCUUUUUUUUUUUUUUCUUGAUAUGCAUGCAUUUAGUUAGAAGAAACCACUUCAAGUUUCGGCAUAAAUUGUAAUGUCUAGAAUGAAAAUGUAAUGCCAUCACAGGUUGAAAUAUUCCGUCAUACAGCUAAUACAAAAAAAAAAAAUUUUUUUGGUCCUCUUCCUACAUUAAUGAAAAGCACUUGCAAAUUAGUAGAAAACGAUCGUUGAUGACUGUUACGAUCAUAGUUAUUAAACCCGAUCUGGCCCGGCGGUUCAACUAGUCAACCCAAUGAACCGGCCAUAGAACCAGGCCAAGUUGCUAAUUAGAUCGUUUGGACAGCAGAACCGUUAACUUUUUGACGAACCGGCGGUUCAACCGAUCAACUGGCCGAUUUUCUGAGGAACCCGGUUGCUACGCGGAAUUUUUUUUAGAAAAUAUUGCAUUGAUGGUUCAAACUUGAGACCUUCUUAGAAUGUAGUGCAAUCACCACUAGACUGUAUAAGAAUGUAGUGCAAUCACCACUAGACUAACAAUCCAUUUGUUAGUUGUUUGGUCCUUCUUAUAUUAUAUAUUAGACUUUUAUUCUGAUUUUAUUUCUUCAAAACAAAAUUUAUUUGGAAUCUUUUAAUAAAAUUUUAUUUAUUUCCCAAAUUCCACAAGGCAAAUUUUAAUAAAAUAACAUUAUCUAGUUUAUUUCCAUAAGUUAAAACUAAAAGUUUGUUAAAAAUAAUGAAAUUUCCAUAAAGCAAAUUUAAGUUUUGUUGAUUCUUAUAAAAAUUAAUGAUUCUAUAAUAAAUUAGACUAAUUGAACAUUUACUAAGACAUAGUUUAUUAUAAUUUCAACUAUAUAAAAAAUUAUAAGACAUAAUAUUUAAGUAUAUUUAGUGACCCACCGGUUGGACCACUCACCCACUGAUUGAACCAGUAACCCGUUGACUCACCUCUUUCACCGGAUUCCUCCCCGGGCCGGGUUUAAUAACUAUGGUUACGAUAACGAUAAGCAGAUUAAAUAAGCGAAUUCAUCAAUGCAAAAAAAAAAAAAAAAAAGAGGAAAAGACAAUUUCUUUCAUGCACUGGUCUAGGUAUUACUUCCAACAUUCAGAGUUCCAGCUCAAGAACUUCGGAAGGAUACCAGUAAAAUAUCAGAUGAAAAAAUUGAGCCGCGAACUUGUUUUAUAUAUAUAUAUAUAUAUAUAUAUAUAUAUAUAUAUAUAUGUAUAUAUAUUAAUUCUUUUGCCUGGGAGAGUGCUAUCAGGAGAUGAAAAUGUUAGCCAUAGACCGUUAAAAAGAAAAAGAAACAAAAAAAAGAAGUCAGCGAAAAAGAUGCAAGUAUAUUAUAUAGAGCAUUCUAAUAUUGCUUCCAAGCUCGACUUCUACAUACUUCUUCUACAAGCCUGGAAACUAUAAAAGACUAGCAGCCAUACAAGCUGUAAUUAUGUGCUUGCUUGCUUGCUAGUUGUUAAUUGCUACUACUGCUACAACACAGGAGAAACUUUCUGCAGCACUCUGCACUCUGCAGUGAUGCAUCCACAUAUUACAUAUACAAUAGGCCUGCACAUAUAAUGGAACUUAGUAAGCCAUAGCUUCUGAUUUCCUCUUGGAAUAAUCCAUAAUGAUCAUCCCAUCAUGCAACUUCAUAGCAUCAUAGCGGGUGACCUUCUCUUCACUAGAAACAGGGAUCAUCAUCUGAUAAAUUGGGGGUUUCUGAGGUUGAUAUGGGGGACAAACUGAUAUAUAUGGGUUGGCAGCUGCAGGAGCCCUUUGCGGUGGUGGUAGGACUUGACGACUCGGCCUGCGUCUCCGGCCGAAAUAUUCAUCAAUUAUAGCAAAGCCCUCCUCGCUAAUCUUAACAAGGUCUGGCUGGGAUGCCAUUGAAUCUCAAAGGCUACACUGAAGAGAAUAGUAUUACUUAGCAAAAAGUAGUUGUGUGUUUGAUUUCUGAUGCAGAGGUAGAGAGGCAGAGGCCUUUAUAUAGAGGCUUUUUUUUUUAAAGAUAGCAAGGGUCCCCAAGUGGGGGAAAAAGUCGAACCAUAUGAACAUGGCUGCUUCAUGGAAACGAGACAACUUCCCAUGCUAAGUUACAAACAUUUUUAUCACUUCUAACGUUUAUGCCCCCACAUUUUUAUCACUUUCGCUGCAGUGUCUCUCGUUUUUUCAAAAUUUUAAAAUUGUUUCUACAUCUUUUUUUUUUUUGGCAUUAACUAGCUAUGAUUAAUUAUGAUAACUAAUUAUAACGAGCUAUAUUGAAAAGACCACAGCCGGAUAUAUAUAAAAUCCAUAAUCUUACAUCUAAAAUAAAAUAAAUAAAACUAAAAUUUUUUGUCCAAAAAAACAACUUAAUUUUCAUGAGUUACUUUCUACAAACAAAACUUUUAUCAUCAGUUUUACAGCUGUGUUACAUUACCCCACACAUUGCGGUAUCAUUAGCAAGCGGUUACUUUAAUGUAUACAUGAACUUAUUACAUUUUCUAGCCAUCACCUUGGUUCGAUUUUGGCAGAUUUAAUGAAAUGGUGAUGUGAAAAAUCUGAGAAAAUUCCCACUUCCCAAUAUGUGGCGAUUCCGGGAGACAAAGGCAUAAAGCUAAUGUGAAAGGGGGAGGCACCUGGUGAUUUAAUUCCGGAUUGUUAUAUUAUUCCGUUUGAUCGGCAAGGGAAAGUGAUUUUAUACGGUCGUGGUCUUGGCGGUGGACUUGGUGGUCUGAGUCUUUCCUCUUUCGGUGGAAUAGAACAUGACAAGUGUCUAAUGGAUUGGAUGCCUUUUAGUUCCGUUGAAGACUGGACGACUUCAAAUUUUCAGUCCAUUUGUGUUAAUCUUUCAUCUAUGUACAGAUUAUAAACUAAUUUUGAAAAAUGAUUAUAGACGAAACCAGAAUAAUUUGAAACGACUCGUAAGUGGAUUCUAGAUUUUAACUUUUUAAUUAUUCAGAAUUAUUAAAAGAAAGAAAAGAAAAGAAAUAAUCAGAUGAAUAGAGCUCCUAGUUAAGCCUGGUUGUUUGCUUGGCAGCCACAAUUACUAGUAAGCAGAAUUAUUCUUCUGACUGAAACAAACACAACAACUGAUCUUUUAUUGAUAUAACGAAAAUUCGGUCAAGGAAGAGAUAAUUCCCUUUUGCUUUUCUUUGGUUCUUUUCAUCUGACUAGGAUAGACCAAUCCAAAGUUCAGUCAAUUAACCUAUUUAGAAGCGUAAUCUUACUUACAGAAUCACAAAAGAAAAAAGAUUAAAAAAGGAAGAAAGUCUGCAAUUUGUUUCUGGCAAAAAGCUUUGUUUGGAUUGUGAUUUUUUUGCAGAAAAAUAUUUACAUUUUUCAUGAACAUAUUUUUAAUCAUAUUUUUACCUCACAUAUAUCAAAUCGUUACAAUAUAUUUUUCCACCAAAACUCCUAAAAAUCGCAACAGUACAUCAAAUUUGUAACUGGAAAAUGCAACCAUACUCAAAAGUUUACCAAGCUAGUGUUGUAUGCAACAAAAGUAUUACGGUGAGUUGUUUUGAUCAGAAGAAAGACACCAGAUCUCUCUGCUUCUAUGAGUUGUUUUGAUCAGUUAGGUUUUGAAUCUAUUCUUCUCCCAUGUUAUAUGAUUCUUUAUGUUUAAGCAUUUCGUUUUCAUUGGUUUGGAUAGACAAAAAUCUGAUCAAGUGGUGAAAUUAAAUCAAAUGACGAGGAAAGUGCAAGCUAAAUUACGAGAAUAGUGUAUACUCUUGACCACGUACCGUGCUAGAUCCAGCUCGAGCUCGCUUGGCCUUUCUGUAAAACCACUUUCUACAAUCAAAAGGUUACAACUUCAUAUGAAUUGUGAUUGAUACAAUGGUUUUAUGUUGUACUUCUUUUUUCAUAAAUUGUGUUUGCUAUAGAGGUUUCACGCAUUUUGCUGCUCUUUUUUUUUUUUCUUGAUACGCGUGCAUUUAGUUAGAAGAAACCACUUCAAGUUUCGGCAUAAAUUGUAAUGUCUAGAAUGAAAAUGUAAUGCAUCACAGGUUGAAAUAUUCUGUCAUGCAGCAAAUACAAAAAAAAACCCCUUCCUACAAUAAUGAAAAACACUUGCAAAUUAGUAGAAAACGAUCAUUGAUGACUGUUACGAUAACUAUUAGCAGAUUAAAUAAGCGAAUUCAUCAAUGAAAAAAAAAAAAAAAAAAGAGGAAAAGACAAUUUCUUUCAUGCACUGGUCUAGGUAUUACUUCCAACUUUCAGAGUUCCAGCUCGAGAAGUUCGGAAGAAUACCAGUAAAAUAUCAGAUGAAGAAAUUGAGCCGCGGACUUGUUAUGCUUUCGAUAUAUAUAUCUUUUGCCUGCCAUAGACGGUAAAAAAGAAAAAGAAAAAAAAAGAAAUCAGCGAUAAAGAUGCAAGUAUAUUAAAUAGAGCAUUCUAAUAUUGCUUCAAAGCUCGACUUCUACAUAUUUCUUCUGCAAGCCUGGAAACUAUAAAAGACUAGCAGCCAUACAAGCUGUAAUUAUGUGCUUGCUUGCUAGUUGUUAAUUGCUACUACUGCUACAACACAGGAGAAACUUUCUGCAGUACUCUGCACUCUGCAGUGAUGUAUCCACAUAUUACAUAUACAAUAGGCCUGCACACAUAAUGGAACUUAGUAAGCCAUAGCUUCUGAUUUCCUCUUGGAAUAAUCCAUAAUGAUCAUCCCAUCAUGCAACUUCGUAGCAUCAUAGCGGGUGACCUUCUCUUCACUAGAAACAGGGUUCAUCAUCUGAUAAAUUAGGGGUUUCUGAGGUUGAUAUGGGGGACAAACUGAUAUAUAUGGACGAGCCGCGGCAGGACCAGCAGGAGCCUUCUGCCUCGGUGCAGCAGCUGCCCUUUUUUUUCCUCCAUAUUCUUCCUCUUCCAGCAUCUGAAAGCCUUCGUAGCCUAUCUUAAGAAGCUUUGAUCGGUUGUCCAUCUUGUAGUUACUGGCCAUUUCUAAGCAAGAAGUGAGGAAAAGUGGGGAGGCUAGCUUCUGAUGAAACUGGGUUUGAGGUCUUCUUUUGUUGUGUAUGGAAAGGUUAGUUUGAGUUGGUGGUUUGGUGUAAAAGGCCGUGAGCAAUGAGCCCUUUAUAUAGGGAGGAUUUUUACUAAGAUAUAGCUAGGAUAAGGCUGGAAUGGAAAUCAGAUAUUUGCAUAGGAAAAAAAAAUAAAAGAAAAGAAGAAUCUUCAUGGGGUCUUAGUUUUCCCAACUUGUGUUGAUUCCCUUUCAGAUGUGCAUGGGACCAGUUUACAGGGAAAGGUAGGGGUUUUGGAGAUUCUUGAACGAUGAAGUUGAGUUUCCUUCCUUGUUAAGAGGGAAUAAAAAUACUAUGCUACUGCGUGUUCUUAUUAGUUAUGUAUUAUAACUGAAUUAGUGCAGCAUCCAAAUUAUCGAGGGAACACUGAGAACGUGGGUUGUUG